rnacentral:lncRNA from 1 species
UCCGGCACAGGGUCUGCAUCGAUAGUUAAAGCAUCUGCCUAAUUGGUAAGAAGAAGAAAUUCUUCAAACAACACUAAUACUAUGGUAGACUGAAAGCACAAGUGCUCCCUGGGUCAUUUUGGUAAUUAAUGGCAACAUAUCUCUUGUUGGACUAACACUUUUACCUAGUAUGUUUCAGACAAGUUCAACAAUAGAGUGGCAUGGACUAAAGGAUGUGAAACCCCUUCAAGAUGCUAAGGACAAAGGAUUGGCUCAAGCUCAAAGCUCAAGACUCUACAUUUUUUAUUUUAGUGAUCCAAGAUCACAUUGAGUCUAUAGGAAAAGCCAAUACUAUCAAGAGGGGAUGAGGUGUUGCUUAAUGGCUUGAUUGCUCAAAGUGCUUAGUGAUAUGCUCCAAAGCCCUCAACUACUUUCUCACAUCCACAUAUGACCUAAACCAUAAGUCAAACUCGGCCCCACCGAUUCUUUCUAUCCGGCGCCACCGAGUUCAGAUGUCUUAGCCACUGCCACAAACCCUAGGCAAAUCGGUCUCACCGAUAGGGAUCUCGGUCUCGCCGAGAUGGGAUUGUAAUCUCUCUGUGUAUGUCGAUUACCAAAAUCGGUCUCACCGAGUUUGAGCAAUCGGUACUACCGAGAUUACAAUGCAAACUCUCUGGUUAACUUAUUACCAAAAUCGGUCCCACCGAGUUUGUGUAAUCGGUCCUACCGAGUUUGCCUGACCAACUCUCUGGUUAGCUUAUUACCAAAAUCGGUCCCACCGAUUUUGUGUAAUCAGUCUCACCGAGAUUAUGUUAUGCCCUAACCCUAAUCAUAUCGGUCCUACCGAGUUGCAUGUCGGUCCCACCGAGAAUCCUAACGGUCACUAGAUUUGCUGAAUCGGUCCGACCGAGUUUCUCAAUUCGGUCCCACAAAGUUUGGCAAGUUGUGUGUAACGGUUAGAUUUUGUGUGGAGGCUAUAUAUACCCCUCCAGCUCAUCUUCAUUCGUGGAGAGAGCCAUCAGAACAAACCUACACUUCCAACUUCUAUUUUCUGAGAGAGAACCACCUACUCAUGUGUUGAGACCAAGAUAUUCCAUUCCUACCAUUUGAAUCUUGAUCUCUAGCCUUCCCCAACUUGCUUUCCACUCAAAUCUUCUUUCCACCAAAUCCAAAUCCUGUGAGAGAGAGUUGAGUGUUGGGGAGACUAUCAUUUGAAGCACAAGAGCAAGGAGUUCAUCAUCAACACACCAUUUGUUACUUCUUGGAGAGUGGUGUCUCCUAGAUUGGCUAGGUGUCACUUGGGAGCCUCCGACAAGAUUGUGGAGUUGAACCAAGGAGUUUGUAAGGGCAAGGAGAUCGCCUACUUCGUGAAGAUCUACCGCUAGUGAGGCAAGUCCUUCGUGGGCGACGGCCAUGGUGGGAUAGACAAGGUUGCUUCUUCGUGGACCCUUCGUGGGUGGAGCCCUCCGUGGACUCGCGCAACUGUUACCCUUCGUGGGUUGAAGUCUCCAUCAAUGUGGAUGUAUGAUAGCACCACCUAUCGGAACCACGGCUCAAAAAUCUCCGUGUCUCCAAAUUGCGUUUGAAUCCUCCAAUCCCUUCCCUUUACAUUCUUGCAAGUUGCAUGCUUUACUUUCCGCUGCUCAUAUACUCCUUGCAUGAUUGCUUGUUAUGUGUUGUGACUGUUAAACUGGUGCCUAAAUUCCACUCCAACGUAAAGAAGUCAAAAACUGCAACUUUUUGGUACUUAGUGUCUAAUCACCCCCUCUAGACACCUCUUCUCGAUCCUUUCAAUUGGUAUCAGAGCUCUGGUCUCCAUUGCUUUGGUUUAAACACCAUUGGAGGAAGAUGGAUGAGUCUACUUUGGGGAGUCUUAGACAUAGAGUGCCUAUACUUGAUGGAGAGUAUUUUCAUGAGUGAAAAAUGAGAUGCUUGUGAUUUUAAAUGAAUAUCAUUUGAACAAGUACCUUGCUAGCCCUUGUGCACCUCAUGUUGAUCCUAUGCAUCCUACCCUUGAUGAGUCAAUUGACAUGAUUCGCAAUCUUAGAACUGUUAAUCUUAUCACUAGAGGCUUGCCUAGAAACUUGAUUGGAUGUUUGCCUACUCUUGAGUGUGCCUACACUAUAUGGAAAUUUCUUGAGGAACGUUCUCCAGAUUAUUCCUUGAAAAAUGUGGAUGAAAUUCUCCAUAAGUCUAUUGCCUUGAGUAAGAUGAAUUCCAAUAAUCCUAAGUUUGGUGAUUGUCUAUUUGAGCUUACAAACCUUAUGCGUGCCAAAGGAGAUGUUGGAAUUAUUAGUGAUAUUAUUUCCGAAGCUAUUAAAAUUCAUAAAAAGGAUCAUUGUCAAACUCACUCUAACGAAUCACCCUCUCUAGGAAUUGAUCCACCACAUGACGAUGUUGAACAUGGAUACUAUGACGAGGAUGAUGAUGGUGACUUUGAUCUUGAUGAUGCAAUGAGACACUUUGGUCUUAUGGCAAAUCUUCGGGGAUAUAUGGCAGGAGGAAAGGAAUGGGCUUGAUAGUGGAUGUACCGAUCACAUGACCGGAGAUAAAGAUAUGUUUCGUGAGCUUGCUGAAAAUGACGGCCCUCGAAAUAUGUCACUUUUGGUGAUAACUCAAAGGGUAAGGUGGUUGGCCUCGGUAAGGUGGCCAUCUCACAUGAUAGCUCCAUACAAAAUGUCAUGCUCGUUGAAUCUCUUGGAUACAACUUACUUUCAGUAUCUAGACUUGUAGAUUUCGGUUUCAAUGUCCUAUUUACUGAAGUAGAUUGCCAAGUGUUUCGUAGAGGUGAUCUUUACAUUGUUGAUUUCACUAAAAAGGUUCAACCUAGAACUUGCUUUAUUGCUAAAUCCUCUAAAGGCUGGUUAUGGCAUAAACGAUUAGGUCAUGUUGGCAUGCGAAACCUUGACAAGCUUAUUAAAGGAAAUCAUAUCCUUGGCGUUAACGAUGUCAUAUUUGAUAAGGAUAGACUUUGCAGCGCUUGUCAGGCAGGUAAACAAGUUGGAGGGAGGCAUCCCGUGAAGAACAUCAUGACCACAAGGAGGCCACUCGAGCUACUUCACAUGGAUCUUUUUGGUCCCAACGCCUACAAAAGUCUCGGUGGAAAUUCUUUUGGUUUAGUUAUAUUUGAUGAUUUUUCAAGAUUUACGUGGGUAUUCUUUCUCAAUGACAAAUCGCAGGUCCAAAAGAUCUUCAAAAAGUUCGCUAGGAAGGCCCAAAAUCAAUUCGAAGUGAAGAUCAAGAAGGUUCGCAUCGACAAUGGAACGGAGUUCAAGAACGCAAAUGUGGACACCUUUCUUGACGAAGAAGGGAUCUCACAUGAGUUCUCGGCUACGUACACACCUCAAAAAAAUGGAGUUGUUGAGAGGAAGAACCGGACGCUCAUCGAAAUGGCGAGAACGAUGCUUGAUGAGUACAAGACGCCGAAGCAUUUUUGGGCGGAAGCGGUUGAGACAGCUUGUCAUGCAACAAAUCGCUUGUAUCUUCACAAGCUACUCGGCAAGACGGCAUACGAGCUUCUCACCGGUAACAAACCCCAAGUUGGAUACUUUCGAGUAUUCGGCUCAAAAUGCUACAUUCUUGAUAAGCAUCGUCGUUCUAAAUUUGCUCCUAAGUCUCAUGAAGGUUUCCUACUUGGUUAUGGCUCAAACACUCACACAUACCGUGUCUACAACAAUUUCACCCGAAAGGUUGAAGAAACGGUAGAUGUGAACUUUGAUGAAUCUAACGGCUCGCAAGUAGAGCAAUUGCCAAUUGAUGUAGGAGACAAAGAUCCCUCAGAAGCAAUCCAAGACUUGUCUAUUGGCAAGAUUCGCCCAACGGAGGUGAAGGAGAGCACCUCGUCCGUCCAAGUGGAAGCUUCUACCUCACGACAAGGUGAACCAAGAGUGGAUAUGGAAGUAUCCACAAGUGGGACAUACCAAGAUGAAGAAAACGAGGAAGUGCACCAAGACGAACGUCGACAACCUCCUUCUCCACAACGACAAGAGAACGACAACGCCAACAAUGAAGAAGACCGAGAAGAAGAACGAGAUGAAGGAGAUGUUCAACCAAGACCCAAGCAAAAGCUUUCACGAGUUCGAGCAAGAAUUGCUAAAGACCAUCCCGUCGAGCAAAUCUACAACGAUAUCCAAACCGGGAGAAUCACUCGCUCUAAAACUCGUUUAGCUAACUUUUGUGAACAUUAUUCAUUCAUCUCUAGCAUUGAACCUAUGAAGGUUGAAGAAGCAUUGGAAGAUCCGGAUUGGAUAAACGCUAUGCAUGAAGAGCUACACAACUUUGAGAGAAAUCAAGUUUGGACAUUGGUUGAGAAGCCCGACAACAACCACAACAUCAUCGGUACCAAAUGGGUGUUUCGCAACAAGCAAGAUGAAGAUGGACAAGUAGUUCGCAACAAAGCACGUCUCAUCGCCCAAGGCUACACACAAGUCGAAGGUAUGGACUACGGUGAGACUUAUGCUCCCGUUGCUAGACUUGAGUCCAUUCACAUCUUACUUGCCUAUGCUAAUCAUCAUGAUAUCACCUUGUACCAAAUGGACAUUAAAAGUGCUUUUCUAAAUGGUGAAAUAGAGGAGGAAGUUUAUGUUAAGCAACCUCCCGGCUUUGUUAAUCCUAAGAAACCUAAUCAUGUUUACAAACUUCACAAAGCCCUUUAUGGUCUUAAACAAGCUCCUAGAGCGUGGUAUAAAUGCUUGACCAAGUUCCUUAUUGAAAAAGGCUUUGAAAUUGGAAAAAUAGAUUCUACACUUUUUACUAAAAGGGUCAACGGAGAACUAUUUGUAUGCCAAAUUUAUGUCGAUGAUAUUAUAUUUGGAUCAACUAACCCUCAUUUUAGUGAGAAGUUUGGAAAUCUAAUGUCGGAGAAGUUUGAGAUGUCUAUGAUGAGUGAACUCAAAUUCUUUCUCGGUUUGCAAAUCAAGCAAACUAAGGAAGGUACCUUUGUCUCUCAAACGAAGUACACCAAGGACUUAUUCAAGAAGUUCAAUAUGCAAGAAUGCAAAGGUAUGACUACACCCAUGCCUACUAGUGGACAUCUUGAUUUGACCAAAGAUGGUGAACCGGUUGAUCAAAAGGUUUAUCGCUCUAUGAUUGGUUCAUUGUUAUAUCUAUGUGCUUCACGUCCCGAUAUCACGCUAAGUGUGUGCAUGUGUGCACGAUGUCAAGCUGCUCCUAAAGAAUGUCAUCUUAAGGCUGUGAAAAGGAUAGUGAGAUGCUUAAUCCAUACACCAAACUUUGGCAUUUGGUAUCCAAAGAGAGCCUCUUUCGAUCUUGUUGGCUACUCCGACUCGGACUAUGCCGGUGAGAAGGUUGAUAGAAAGUCCACUUCGGGUACUUGUCAAUUUCUUGGUAGAUCUCUUGUGUCUUGGUCUUCCAAGAAACAAAACUCGGUAUCCUUAUCCACCGCCGAAGCGGAAUACAUUGCCGCUGGUUCAUGUUGUGCUCAAUUACUUUGGAUGACCCAAACUCUUAAAGAUUAUGGGAUAUAUGUGAAACAUGUUCCAUUACUUUGUGACAAUGAGAGUGCUAUCAAGAUUGCUCAUAAUCCCGUGCAACACUCUCGAACUAAGCAUAUUGAAGUUCGUCAUCAUUUCAUUCAAGAUCAUGUUGCCAAAGGGGACAUUAAUCUUAAGCAUGUUCGCACCGAAAAGCAAUUAGCUGAUAUAUUCACUAAACAACUUGACGAGAAAGUGUUUUGCAGGUUAAGGGGUGAAUUGAACAUCAUUGAUGCUUCAAACUUGGAGUAGGAACUCCAUUGGAUACAUGCAAGACAUGAGCUUAUGACUAAUCCUUGAUAUUUCUCUUAUGAUGAUAAUGUUAUGUCUUGGAUAUAUUUGCACCUUGCAUGUUAUCUAAUCCAUGUAGGAACUUGGAUGAAUCUAAGUCUAUGAGAUUGCAACUCACUCACAUCUUGAGCAAUCUCUACAUCGCCAAGUCUCUACACAACGGUGGCUGAAGCCAAGGAAGCAUGAAACCAUUCAAACAUAUCCUUUGGAAAAUUCUAUGUUGAAUUUCAUGAUUGUCAUUUUGGAUACACAAGUGCUCUUCCUUGCAAAAACUAACCCAUGUAGGUAGAUGAACUCAAAUUCCAAGUGGUGCUCCCAACUCUUGAUGAGCUACAUCAACCUUGAGCAACCCACACAAGUUCAACUACAUGAUCACAAUCAACACCACCACCCAAGGUAUGUUAUUCCAUCUUAGAGAAGCUUUACUCCAAGUCAUGAGUUAGAGGAACUCGAUAAGAUGUGAAUACAUCAAGAUGAUUAACCCCAUUCUGAGCUUAAACUAUGAGUAUGACCUAUGAUCAAGUGAACUCACUUGACUCCUAAGUCAAUAUACUCUAACAUAGUUGACUUUGUCGCCGACCAAUUCUAGAUGAAGUUCUCUUGUGUUCUUUUCUGUGCUCUUGCAUUUCUCUCUUGCAUAUCUGUUCGCCCUUUCAAAAAAAACUUCAUCUAGAUUUCUUUUCUAUUUGUUCUGCAUUCCCCGCAUCCAAUUCUUUGCAAAUCUUUCAGUUAAUUCCUUGCAAAUCCUUGUGAGAUCUUACUUGUCUAAGUGAGCUGAGGUGACAAGUGUUUUCUCUGUGAUGAACUCAGUCACACCGGUCUCUUGUUUUUGGUCUAACCGAAUUCUUUCGGUGCAACCGAAGCAUACCACUCGGUGCCACCGAUUUCACUACAAGAAAGGCAUUUUGCCAUUUAUUCCUGCAUUACUUCUGAUCCAGCUCCACUCAAUGAAUCUUGUCCUCUACAAGCAUCACAUUUACCUUAGUGCUUUGUGCUGUGACUCAAGGACCAAACCCAUUCAUGACAAAUUCCAGAAGGCCCUUCUUGGAAAUUGAUGUCAAAGGGGGAGAGAGAGAUCACAUCAAAGCUUAAUCAUAUCUCUAGGGGGAGAGAACACUCAAGGAGAGAGUAAUCUUCAAGGAUCCCAGAUGCUUUGUGUUCAAGAGGAGAGAUGCCACAUGUCUUCUUGAGGGGAAAUACAUGUUCAUAUGUGCUCAUUUGCAAUUAGCUCUGUUUAUUUGUUUCCUUGAGCUCUGAUUUUCUGUUUGAGCUCUGAUCUUCUGUUCCCUAUCUUCUCCCAGUAUCCCAUGCUAGAUUCAGGGGGAGCAAGACUUCUAAGGGAAAGAAUCCUUAAAUUCAUUGCACAUCUUUACCUUUCGGGACAUGUCUAAAAUCCAAUGUGGUACUCAGUACUCAUUCUCUACAUGUCAUCCCAGUCUUGGUACUCUGGUGGUUUCUUGUAUUUGCUCUGGCUAGUAGGUGUAUCUGUGUUAUCUAACCUUGUUUACGCAGGUUCAUUCCAUCCUAAGCCAACUCAAGACCACAAGGUAAGUAUAUGCAUCACAGUCAUGUGUAUGAGGAAUUCUUGCUGAUGUAUAUACUGUUUGCAAGAAGGACUCAUAAGCAUGAACGUACAUUCACAUCUUUUGCUCUGAUGCAUAUAGCCAAGAUACAUGUAACACAUUGCCUACUCUAUCAUGGUUAUGCUCUCACAUGCUUCUAUAUUCCAUAUUCACAUGAUUGCAUACAUGUAGGGGGAGCAUAUGCAUGUUACAUGUCUUUCCAAAGCUUUACUUGCUAUUCUCUAUAUCUUUAUCUAAAGCUUUGAUGUAUGUUGUCAUCAAUUACCAAAAAGGGGGAGAUUGAAAGCACAAGUGCUCCCUGGGUGAUUUUGGUAAUUAAUGGCAACAUAUCUCUUGUUGGACUAACACUUUUACCUAGUAUGUUUUAGACAAGUUCAACAAUAGAGUGGUAUGGACUAAAGGAUGUGAGACCCCUUCAAGAUGCUAAGGACAAAGGAUUGGCUCAAGCUCAAAGCUCAAGACUCUACAUUCUUUAUUUUAGUGAUCCAAGAUCACAUUGAGUCUAUAGGAAAAGCCAAUCCAUCAAGAGGGGAUGAGGUGUUGCUUAAUGGCUUGCUUGCUCAAAGUGCUUAGUGAUAUGCUCCAAAGCCCUCAACUACUUUCUCACAUCCACAUAUGACCUAAACCAUAAGUCAAACUCGGCCCCACCGAUUCUUUCUAUCCGGCGCCACCGAGUUCAGAUGUCUUAGCCACUGCCACAAACCCUAGGCAAAUCGGUCUCACCGAUAGGGAUCUCGGUCUCACCGAGAUGGGAUUGUAAUCUCUCUGUGUAUGUCCAUUACCAAAAUCGGUCUCACCGAGUUUGAGCAAUCGGUACUACCGAGAUUACAAUGCAAACUCUCUGGUUAACUUAUUACCAAAAUCGGUCCCACCGAGUUUGUGUAAUCGGUCCUACCGAGUUUGCCUGACCAACUCUCUGGUUAGCUUAUUACCAAAAUCGGUCCCACCGAGUUUGUGUAAUCGGUCUCACCGAGAUUACGUUAUGCCCUAACCCUAACCAUAUCGGUCCUACCGAGUUGCAUGUCGGUCCCACCGAAAAUCCUAACGGUCACUAGAUUUGCUGAAUCGGUCCAACCGAGUUUCUCAAUUCGGUCCCACUGAGUUUGGCAAGUUGUGUGUAACGGUUAGAUUUUGUGUGGAGGCUAUAUAUACCCCUCCAGCUCCUCUUCAUUCGUGGAGAGAGCCAUCAGAACAAACCUACACUUCCAACUUAUAUUUUCUGAGAGAGAACCACCUACUCAUGUGUUGAGACCAAGAUAUUCCAUUCCUACCAUUUGAAUCUUGAUCUCUAGCCUUCCCCAAGUUGCUUUCCACUCAAAUCUUCUUUCCACCAAAUCCAAAUCCUGUGAGAGAGAGUUGAGUGUUGGGAAGACUAUCAUUUGAAGCACAAGAGCAAGGAGUUCAUCAUCAACACACCAUUUGUUACUUCUUGGAGAGUGGUGUCUCCUAGAUUGGCUAGGUGUCACUUGGGAGCCUCCGACAAGAUUGUGGAGUUGAACCAAGGAGUCUGUAAGGGCAAGGAGAUCGCCUACUUCGUGAAGAUCUACCGCUAGUGAGGCAAGUCCUUCGUGGGCGACGGCCAUGGUGGGAUAGACAAGGUUGCUUCUUCGUGGACCCUUCGUGGGUGGAGCCCUCCGUGGACUCGCGCAACCGUUACCCUUCGUGGGUUGAAGUCUCCAUCAACAUGGAUGUACGAUAGCACCACCUAUCGGAACCACGGCUCAAAAAUCUCCGUGUCUCCAAAUUGCGUUUGAAUCCUCCAAUCCCUUCCCUUUACAUUCUUGCAAGUUGCAUGCUUUACUUUCCGCUACUCAUAUACUCCUUGCAUGCUUGCUUGUUAUGUGUUGUGACUGUUAAACUUGUGCCUAAAUUCCACUCCAACGUAAAGAAGUCAAAAACUGCAACUUUUUGGUACUCAGUGUCUAAUCACCCCCCCUCUAGACACCUCUUCUCGAUCCUUUCAUAGACACAUCAUAUUGUGUAAUUUCCUUAUUAAGAAUUCAAUGAAGCCUACUUAACAUUGCUUAUGCCCGACAUUCAGAUUAGUAAAAAUCAUGUCAAGCAGCUUUGAAUCCGCACAAAUGAUCACAUCCUAAACUGGUCCUCAAAAAUCAGGACUGGAUAUCUACGAUCAUAGUCAUAGGUGCAGUACUAUUUCUUCAGUCAAUUAACAUGCUUUAGCCAAAAGAUGAUAAUCAUCCAUGUGACCAUGUCUCUGCAGCAUAAACAAAUGAAGUAUCAAUGAUUGUAUAUAAAUACUUGGACGGGGAAUGAAUUACUCGUGGGAAUUAACAGACAUUUUCUUGGCAAACAAAGCUCAAGUUCUGCAUAUUUAACUGUAGAACACUGGGCAAUAGGAAACAAUGCAUUGGAUAUUAUUCAUCACCGACAAUCCACACGACUAUACUAUAGUAAGCUAAAUAGGAGUUGAGCCAAUGAACCAUUUCAUUAAAACUAACUAAAGCACCAAUUAUAACAAAAUUGCAUUGUCCUCUGUUAAGUUCAAUCCAGUUGACCACUCUUGACUAUUAGUCCUAACUGAAGCGCCUGUUAACAAAUUAACUAAACCACCAUGAUUCGAAAAAACAAAACUACCUAAAUCACCAUUGCAAAGCCAAAGGAUAGCAGUAUCGACCCAGUUCCUUGCCAAACCCAAGUUCGUGUGUGCAGGAGAGGAGAUUCUGCCCACUAACAUGGCCAUCCAGUGGCACUCUACCUAGCACAUCCGCCAAUCCAUUCCACCCACAUUCCAUGAGAUAACUUCAGAGCAGAAAAUUACCUUGCUGGGUAGCCACUUAGAACACGGCCGAAUUUUCUACAGGGAGCGCGAUCUUCUCUGAAUACUUUCGCGCCUCGGUGGUCCCAAGUGUGGAGGGGCACAAUAGGACACCAUUAUUGUCGCCUAUAAGCAUCAUCUCAAGAGAGGAGUAACUGGGGACGUGACAUACGAUGGAGAGGAGGAACAUGAGGUGGGCACAGAUCGAUGAACGGGACGCAGUCGGCCUUAGCCCUGUUCCCUCCACCGGUCGCGUCGCCACACGCCACCGGAAGCAUCCGCUGCCAUGUGAAGGUCCAGGAGAGAGGACCAGGAAGAGAGAUGGUUCAUGGUGGUGGUGGAGGCGGUGGGAUGCGACAGAGGCUGGAUGUAGUGGAUAGCGGUGGACAGUGGCGGCAGAUGGGAAAUGGACCGACGACAACAGUCAGGAGCAGGGCGGCGGCGCCAUCCAUGGUAGGGGAUGAGUGGGAUGGUGGGCUUCGUGAGGUUAGGGAUACGGGAGAACGACAACCAUGAGGAAAAGGACCAUGGACCUCCAAAGCAUUUUUUUGCAGAAUUAAGCACAUAGUUAAGCAAAAUUACAUGGGUUAAUUGGGUUAAUCUCCACCAUAAUAACUCGGUCCCACCAGAUCAACGGCUCGUAAUUUCUAAUUAACGUGGUAAUUUUUAGGGAGUCUCUAAUUAGUAUAGGUAUAUAUAUGAUUUCAACUUCAUGACAUCCAGUUUAUUCAACAAUUUAUUCAUAUGAUAUAAAUGAAGCACAAGAGUAAAUGACAAGCUACUCCAAAAAGAUAUAAGUGAAGAUCAUGAGCAUAAUAUUUCUUUCUCUCAAAUUAAUUUAAGUGAAGCAAGAGAGAAUUUCUUCAAAAAUACUAAAGCACACCAUGCUAAAAAAUAUAUAUAAGUGAAGCACUAGAGCAAUUCCAUAGAAAGAACUUCGUUGAUAGGAUGUGAGUGCCGCUUACCUAGCCUCCCUGGCAACUAUGUGAGGACUCUAUUUUAUUUAAAAACUUUCAGAUCUAUGUAAUUUAUUAAAACAGCAAGCAAAACAAAAUAAAAUGACAUUCCAAGGAUAGCACAACUCAUGUGAAGAGGCAAAAACUUAGGCUCAACCGAUACUAACCGAUAAUUGUUGAAGAAGAAAGGUGGGAUGCCUACCAGGGCAUCCCCAAGCUUAGAUGCUUGAGACUUCUUGAAAUAUAAUCUUGGGGUGCCUUGGGCAUCCCCAAGCUUGAGCUUUUGUGUCUCCUUAAUUCCUCUCAUAUCACGAUUUUCCUAAAUCUCAAAAACUUCAUCCACACAAAACUCAACAGGAACUCGUGAGAUAAGUUAGUAUAAACCAAUGCAAAAACCUUGUCAUUCUCUACUGUAGGAAAUCACUAAAAUUAUUAUUAAACAUUGCAUACUAAAUGCCUUUGCAUAUUUAAUACUCCUAUCCUCAAAUAGAAUCAUUGAACAAGCAAACAUAUGCAAACAAUGCAAACAUAACAGCAAUCUGCCAAAACAGUACAGUCUAUAAAGAAUGCAAGAGUAUCAAUACUUAUUCAACUCCAAAAAUUAGGAAAGUUUAAAACACUGUAGAAAAUUUAUCAUAGCUUAUUUUGCAAAAAAUUUAAACAUUUUAUCACAUUCUCACUUUUCUAGGGGAUUUUUGGAACAACGGUAAACUUCCUGUUUUGAAACAGCAACAUGUAGAUUUGCAAAAUAAGCAUGGCAAAGGCUACACUUGACAAUUUUAUUGAAAUAAAAGAUGAAAAACAUUAUUUUAAAUAACAGCAAGCAAAUCCUAGUAAAAUAAUAUGACACUCCAAGAAAAACACAUAUCAUGUAAUGAAUGAAAACAUAGCUCCAAGUGAGGUUACCCAUAAUGUUGGAGACGAAAGAGGGGAUGCCUUCCGGUCAUCCCCAAGCCUGGUUGCUUCGAUCUUCCUUAAAUAUUACCUUGGGGUGCCUUGGGAAUCCUCAAGCUUAGGGUCUUGUCACUCCUUAUUCUCCUCAUAUCGAUAUCUCACCCAAAACUUGAAAACUUCAAUCACACAAAACUUAACGGAACUUCGUGAGAUGGGUUAGUAUGAUAAAGACAAAUCAUUCACUUUGAUACUGUCAAAGACAAGAUUCGUAAUUGUUCUCACACAAAGCCUACUGUACCUAAUCAUUUCCACAAUUUAUAAUGAGCAAAAUAAGCCAUAGAAACUAGGAAACAAGCAAACUAUGCAUUGAAAACAGAAUCUAUCAAAAAUAGAACAGUAUGUAAAGAUCUGAAUUAAGGUCAUACUUCCGUAACUCCAAAAAUUCUAAAAAAUUAGGACAACGUAGACAAUUUUUAUACCAUCAUCUGUAAAAAUAUCAGAAUUUUUCCACGUUCCAGUAAAAUAUAAGAAUUUCUGCACUGGAUGCAAAAGUUUCUGUUUUUGCACAUAAUCAAGUCAACUAUGAUCCACACUAUCCCAAAGGCUUUACUUGGCACUUUAUUGAAACAAAAGCUAUAAAACAUGAUUACUACAGUAGCCUAAUCAUGAACACACAAAAACAGUAGCUAAAAGUGUUGGGUUCUCUCCCAACAAGUGCUUUUCUUUAAUGCCUUUUAGCUAGGCAUGAUGAUUUCAAUGAUGCUCACAUAAAACAUAAGAAUUGAAACAUAACGGGAGCAUCAUGAAGCACAUGACUAGGACAUUUAAGUCUAACCCACUUCCUAUGCAUAGGGAUUUUGUGAGCAAACAACUUAUGGGAACAAUAAUCAACGAGCAUAGGGAGGUAAAACAAGCAAAACUUCAAGGUUUUCAACACAUAGAGAGGAAAUUUGAUAUUAUUGCAUUAUGUAGAAGCAUAUGUUCCUCUCUCAUAAUAAUUUUCAGUGGCAUCAUGAAUGAAUUCAACAAUAUAUCUAUCAAAUAAAGCAUUCUUUCCAUGAUCCACAAGCAUAGGAAUUUUAUUACUCCCCACAUAAGCAAAUUUAUUCUCAUGAAUAGUAGUGGGUGCAAACUCAACAAAAUAGCUAUCAUGGGAUUGAAAAUUAAAAUCAUGAUGACAAGUUUCAUGGUUAUGAUUAUUCAAUAUAGUAUACAUGUCAUCACCAUAAUCAUCAUAUAUAGGAACUUUGUUGUCAUAAUCAAUUGCAACCUCCUCCAAAAUAGUGGAUUCAUCACUAAACAAAGGCAUGACCUCUCCAAAUCAACUCUCGUCAAUAUAAUCAUCAUAAAUAGGAGGCAUGCAAUCAUCAUAAUAAAUUUUCUCAUCAAAACUUGGGGGACUAAAAAUAUCAUAAUCAUCAAAUAUAACAUCCCCAAGCUUAUGGCUUUGCAUAUCAUUAGCAUCAUGAAUAUUCAAAGAGUUCAUACUAACAACAUUGCAAUCAUGCUCAUCAUUAAAAUAUUUUGUGCCAAACAUUUUAUUGACUUCUUGUUCUAAAAACAGAGAACAAUUUUCCGAUCCAUCAUUUUCAGGAAAGAUAUUGUAAAGAUGAUCAAUAAUAUGAUGCAACCUCAAUUCCAUUUUUGGUAGUUUUCUUUUAUAAACCAAACUAGUGAUAAACAAGAAACUAAAAGAUUCAAUUGCUAGAUCUGAAGAUAUACCUUCAUGCACUCACCUCCCCAGCAACGGCGCCAGAAAAGAGCUUGAUGUCUAAUACACAACUUUAUUCUUGUAGACACGUGUUGGGCCUCCAAGUGUAGAGUUUUGUAGGACAGUAGCAAUUUUCCCUCAAGUGGAUGACCUAAGGUUUAUCAAUCCGUGAGAGGUGUAGGAUGAAGAUGGUCUCUCUCAAACGACCCUGCUUCCAAAUACAAGAAAUCCCUUGUGUCCCCAACACACCCAAUACAAUGGAAAAUUGUAUAGGUGCACUAGUUCGGCGAAGAGAUGGUGAUAAAAGUGUAAUAAUGAAAGUAGAUAUUUAUUUUUGUAGUAGGAACAAUAAAAAAACAGAAAGGUAGCAAGUAACAAAAGUGAGCACAAACGGUAUUGCAAUGCUUAGAAACAAGGCCUAGGGUCCGUACUUUCGUAGUGCAACCUCCCAACAUUGCUAACAUAGUUGGAUCAUACGAUUAUCCCUCAAAGUGCAAUGAAGAAUUACUCCCGAGUUCCUAUUAGUGGAGAACAAAAUAUAGAAAUUGUUUGUAGGGUACGAAACCACCUCAAAUCUAUUCUUUCCGUUCGAUCUAUCCUAGAGUUCGUACUAGAAUAACGCAAGCUAUUCUUUUCCGAUCGAUCUAAUCAAGAGUUCGUACUAAGAUAACACCAAAGUAAAUUCAUAUUCCUAAUACUCAAUCCACACAAAGAACUAUAAGGAGACCCCAAAGUUUCUAUCGAAGAAAAGAUAAUAAAAAUGUGCAUCAACCCCUAUGCAAAGAUUACCCCAAUAUCACCGCGGGAAUCCGCAAGUUGAGUACCAUAACGUAUAUCAAGUGAAUCAAUACGAUACCUCAUUGUCACCUCAAGUUUUCAUACCGCAAGACAUACAUCAUGUGUUCCCAAAUCUGAACAUUCAAUCCAACAUGACAAAACUUCAAAGGGUAAAGAUUCAAUUCGUCACAACAAGAGUAGUAUAGGGGGGAGAAACAUCAUAUGAUCCAUCUAUGUUAACAAAGCCCAUGAUAUAGAUCACGAGAGAGAGAUUAAACACAUAGCUACUGGUACAAACCCUCAGCCGCGAGGGUGGACCACUCCCUCCUCAUCGUGGUGGCCGCCGGGAUGAUGAGAAGAUGGCCACCGGAGAUGAUUCCCCCCUCUGGCAGGGUGCCGGAACGGGGUUUAGAUUGGUUUUCGGUGGCUACAGAGCCUUGCGGCAGCGGAACUUCUGAUCUAGGUUAACCCCGAAGGGUUUCGGAAUAUUUGGGAAUUUAUAGUGUAAAGAGGGGGUGCGGGAGGCCACCGAGGUGGGCACAAUCCACCUGGGCGCGCCAGGGGGGCCUGGCGCGCCCUGGUGGGUUGUGCCCCCCUCGGGGCACCCCCCAGGUGCUGCUCUGGCCCGUCGGGAGUCUUUUGGCCCGUAAAAAAUCCACAAAAAGUUUCGUGGUGUUUGGACUCCGUUUAAUAUUGAUUUCCUGCAAUGUAAAAACAAGAAAAAACAACAACUGGCACUUGGCACUGGGUCAAUAGGUUAGUCCCAAAAAAUGAUAUAAAGUUGCUAUAAAAUGAUUGUAAAACAUCCAAGAAUGAUAAAAUAACGGCAGGAAUACUUCAUAAAUUAUAGAUACGUUGGAGAGGUAUCAAUACAUACAGAUUCGUUUGCAAAUGAAAGAAGAUUUGUUUGCAUUCUCAAAUGUAGGCGCACCAGGCAGACCAGUGCCGUGUCGUGGUGGUCGCGGUGUCAUACGGACGCUUAGCACCUAGCUACCCACCACCUCCCUCCCCUCCUCCCCCGCCCCCAAAAAAAGAACGGCGAUAAAAGAAGUUUGUGCUUCCACAUUUCGGAUUGAAAUAUCUGGCAGCCCCAAUUCCAGCCGUGCGAAAUCUCAAUUCUCCACCGUCCCCUUCCGCGCCAGAUUCCUCAAAUCCCUAAUUCUCCGCCAACCCAAGUAAAGUUCGAAUCUCCCCUCGUCUCGUCUCUUUCCCCACCUCUGUGCCGGACGACGAUGAUGAAGAUGACGGUCGCGCUUCACCACCGCACCGGAGCUACCUCAUCUACGCCCUCGUCCACCGCUCUAGGUGGUCCACCGACAACGUCGGCCGCCACAACCGACGUGCCUCACAGACACCGACUUCCACCGCAUCAGGUGCGUUUCACCGACGCCGUCUCCCACCUCACCGAGGCUACUUCACCAAGCACAUCGUCGCACCUCCGCCCCCGAGGCCGUUGGGGCUUCACCAACGGUCUCGUCCACCGCAUCAUAGCGCUCCGCUGCCACUCAAGAUCUACAUGCGUGCGUGGCCAGCCAACGCCGGUGCAUUAGCCUCAACGGCUCUGAAGUGACCCGCACUCUAGCUAGGCGAGCAUGCCCAAACACCGGCCCGAACUAGGUAUCCACACAUCACUCCCUUGUGCACUGUUCCGACGAUGUUUGGAUAUCCUUUCACUGCUCUCUUAGCUUACACGCCUAUGCAACUCUGACUUUAACUCUUAUUUCUUUUGAACAUAUCAUCUGAAACAAGCAAAACCAUUUUUAAGCGAAGCAUGACGGCGCUACAGGGUCUGGUACACAUCCUGCACACCCGUAUAACCUUGUAAGUAUCUGUCCUCUGGUACAACAGCAAGGUCGAUUCCUCUUAUUUGAUCAACCAUUCGCCGUGUCAAAAAUGCAGAGGGGGAUGCAAGGAGCAUAAGGCCUGCACAUCCAAGCAAGUGGUAACAUGGACUUGUACAUGGAACAUCUCAAGCGCAAGCAGAGCUGUAGUGAGCCUGUACAACGAGCUAGCGUAAGUCCCUGCAUUUUAUUUAAUUCGUACUGGCGUGCGUGUAUGAUUUGUGUGCAGUGGCGGAUCCACGAAUUCAAGUUACCAGGGGCGAACAUUUAAAUUAAAAAAUACGAAGGCACUUGCACUCCGGAAAUCAACAUAACUUGAGAAAUGUGAAGCUACAUGCACUUUGAAAACUAGCUAAUGAUCCAAAGUAGUUCAGAUUAUAAAAUACUAAAUGAUGUAAGCACCAAAAAUACAAAAUGCAACAUGGUGUACAAGCACUACUAACAUGGUCUGUACCUGCUUGAAUUAUUCGUUCUCCCGCUGAAAAUAUCAAAGUGUAAUUGCACUUAUAACCAGUGCACAAACUGCAUAUCAAUAUAUCUAUCCAGCACAAGUAUGCCAAUAGUUUCAAACAACAGAUUAGAAAAGCAUUUAUGCUACGUUUUCAUGAUACGGGGACUUUCUGGUAGAUGGCCUCGACGUUUCCUCAAGCCAUGAAAAUGUAGUAAUUUGCUUGUCAUCAAUGCCUGCAAAUCUCCAUGUCUCUCUCAACAUAGCAGAUCAUCAUUAGACACUAAAUCCUUCAAUGGGAGCUUGCAAAAUGCUUGCAUUAGAUCCCUCAUUAGGCACUAUAUGUUCAUCACCAGGAGCAUGUAAAAUGUUUGCAUCAAAUCCUUCAUUAGCAGUCUGUUCAUUAGACACUUCAGGCUCAAGAACAACAUGAGCUUGUAUGUUUGCACCGGAAACUUGAUUAGAUACAUCAGAUUCAGUCAGUUCAGUAUUGAUUGGGGGAGUUAUUAAAUAAGCAGAAAUUGGUCUCAUUUUCUCAUAGAUUCCCUACAUACAAGCAGUUUUACAACACCGUCAGGUUUAACUAUUGGCUAGAAAUUGAAUAGUUGAAUUAGAUAUAAUCAGGGAUGUGAUGUACCUGCUCGUUGCGCAUGCUGCUCUUGCAAGCUGUGACUGUCCGUUUGCACAAGCUCGAUGCCAUGCCCGUGCUGCCGCCGCUGCCUCCCACGUAGGCUACACCUAGGGUUGGAUCAUCAUCUUCUUGUCCUUCCAUUCGCUUGAAGCCCGGCGACCGCCCUCCAACGAGGGCGCAAGGAAGUGUUGUGUCAGUCUGUCCAGCGGUGGCUAGGUUAGGAGCGAACCAGACUGGAGGCUGGAGCGAACGAAUUGGGAUUUUUCCUGCUGUCGAUAGAUAUGGGAGGCGCUCGUUUGGGCCACGAGCCUGCUAUAGGCCUGCCUUGCACUUAUGUUAUUGGCCCAUCCAAAUUGAAACGUUUUUCUUCAUUUUUUACAUUGCCUGCUCGUGCGCUGGGAUGAACAAAACUAGCCUGGGCCAACCUAGACGACUCAAACUAGGUGCACACUUUCCAGCCACCCAAGGCGGCCGCCCAUACCAGCCCCUACGGUGGCGUCGCCCCUUUUUGCGUGUAUGAUUGGGGUAGUGAAAAAUAUUCCAGUGGCGCUUUUGAUUUACCCACAGAAUGGUUGAAUUGCUUGUUUCUAUGAACUGAGUUCGCCAAUAAUGUGAAGGAUGCCAGUCUUUUCAUCCUAUUAUAGACUGCUUAGAUCUCGAUAUGCCAAAUGUAAUCGCAUGAAAUAGAUAGUAAAAGCCAGUGUGAUGUGUGUGGCUACAACUAGUCUGACUACCCGUCCUCAUAUAACAUAUCAAUGACGCACCAUCUUACCAGAUUAACCAUUUGACUUACCAAUGCAGUGUGGGAAGAAAUAAGUAUUGGGACUGCGUAUCCAAGCAAUUGAUGCCAUGGACUCCUUCGUAGAACCUUGUAAGCGAAAAAGAAGUUGAAGUGUGCCUGUAUAAAGAGCUAGCGUAAGUUCAGUUACCUGCUUCUCGGAAUUUUAGUUAACCACUUAUUGCAAAAUUGUUCAAUUACGUUGCUUGGCUUAAUUUAGUUUGCUACUGAUUACAUAAUGCCAUAGCCUGUUAAUCCUAUUAUAGACUGCGCCUAUCUAUGUUUGAUACUUACUGUUGAGAAUUACAUGUUUGCCUGAACUUAAAUAGCUACUUAAGCAUGUAGAUAGCUAGUAUAUGUACUUCUAGGGUGCAGCAGAAUUCACGUGUAAUUUACGUUCUGAUACCCUGUUUGUUUAAAUGGUUUGCUGUUAUCACUUGUAGCACUAGUAAUGUUUCCAUGUUCAUAGAUGGACAACUGUCAGGUUUAUAUGAGGGACACCAUCUUUUUAACUUAUAUAUGUGUUGGAAUCAUUUUGCUUACAUCAAAGAAAUUUACAGAUGUCUGUGUUGCUAGUAAACGGUACCGACUUGUUACUUUAAUAUGUUGCCAAGAACUUGUUAGUUUUACUAGUUCAUGUGUAAUUAAAUACGUUGCCAAAACUGGUUAGGUUUACUAGUUUGAUGUUAGUUUCUUAUGGCUCUUGCAACACUUUAUUUAUGAUUGAUAACAUUCAAGUUUGCAGGAUCCAACUGAAACUCCGUUGGCACAACAGGUAUGUUUUUAGAAACUUCCUUGUUUACCUGGUUUGCUGCUGUAUCUUGUUGCUGUAAUCAUCUUACCAACUUCAAGUUUUCAGGAUCCAAUUGGAAGUCCAAUUGCACAACAGGUACAUUUUCAAAAAUAUAUUUGUGUAACAGGUUUGCUGUUGACUUGUUGCUCUAAUCAAGUUUUUGACUACUCAACUUUUCAGGAUCCAAGAGAAACUCCAAUGUCACAACAGAUUCCUUUUGCAAAACUUGUUUGUUUAACUACUUUGCUGCUGCAACCGGUUGCUCUAAUCACGUUACUGGCUACUCAACUUUUCAGGAUCCAAGAGAAACUCCAAUGCCACAACAGGUACCUUUUGCAAAACUUGUUUGUUUAACUGCUUCGCCGCCGCAACAACCGGUUACAAUGAUGUUAAUAAGUACUUUUCAGCAUCCAAUUGAAAAUCUUUAAUUCCUUGUUUGUUUAACUGGUUUGCUGUUAUAACUCCCAGUUGAGAUGUUUUGCUAACUUCAACUUUUCAGAAUCCAAUCGGAACUUUAACGGCAAAAAAGGUUAGCCCAAGAUCAAAGAGCGAGGUCCCCAUGGACGCUGUAUCAUCCCACAGCAGUGGCACCGGCCCAAUCAUGCAUCAUGAAUUGCCAACUGCUGAUGCUUUAGAGGCUAAACUAUUUGUAGAAAGAGAUUCUGCUUCUGCACUUGAGAUGAAGUUGACAUGUUGAGGAAGCAAACUACAAAGUCACAAGCAGUACUCAAGACAACCAUUAAAUAUUUAGUGGAUUUCAAAAUGAAGCAAGCUGAGACUGACCGCAUUGUUAAGGUCCUGAAGGAAAAAAAGGAAAUUAAAUUCCCACUUGGUAAAUCGUAGGUGAAAUGUUAUUUCCAUCGCUGAAUAACCUUUGUGUUGUUUGUUCAUGUAAUCAAUCAAACCAUUUGUUCUAGAGAUCAUGUAAUAACUGUUUUUUGUUUUUUGGUUUGUAAUUUUUUUAGCACUAGUCUGUAUUAAUUGAUAAGACUCGGAGACAUUUCAUUUUGAAUGCUAUGCCAGACCUACAAAUAUGGCAAUCAGGCUGAAUGCACAUUCAGCAAUAAUAGUAGUAUAGAUGGACCUUAAGUGGCAUGCAUCGGAAAGGGCCAAGACGUUGUACUAGCUUCGCUAAAAAAAGGAUGCUCUUCUAGCAAAAAAAAGUACAGCGGCCUGGCUUAUAUAUGUUAGUUGACAUUAUUGAUCCAUAUACUCUGUCGGUGUUUAUAUGUCUGUUAGUUUUGUACAUUAUUGGUUGAUUGACUCGGUAUUUGAAUCUUGAUACAUCGCUUGUGUACAUAUAUAAAUGGGAGUACACAUUAUGCUGCGUGUGACACUUGAGUUGGACAUAAAGUGGUUUCAAAUAUUCGAAUUCACCUUAAACUGGAUUCUAGCUUCUGAAUUCGACUAUCGGCAUUUGUAAAUCAUAUUCAUAUAUGAUAGUGGAAUACAUCUGUGUUGUGCUUUUGAAGAUAUAUAAAAACACAUACAAUGAUUUAUAAAUAUUCGUAUAGGAAUACAAAAUGGAUUCGAAUUUAGUUGCCAGGGUAAAUGUGGAUGUUUAUUGUCCCAAAAUUUGAAAGAAGCGGCAAAAUGUCCACUCGCACGUUUGCUGCCCGAAGCCAACUAUUUGGGAGAUGGAAAUUACUCUCUACCCCUUACAUGGACAAUCCAUCGGCCCGAUUUCCACUGCUCUCAAUAGGGGUAGGUUAGUAACUUCAAUUAGACAUGAUACGACCGCCUCUGAGCCCAUUCCGACACGGUGGGCGCCAAACAUGGGCGGCAAAACACAUUUGAUUCAAGCUCGUCUGAAAGACCUCGUCUCUCCCUCCAUUUCCCCAUUCAUACACGGUGGGCGGCAAAACAAACUCGACUCGGCUGAAAUCGAUGUAGGCAAAUAUUUUCAAUAGGGGCAGGUUUGUAACUUCACUCAAACAUGACACAACUGCCCUACCUGUCAGCCCCGUUCAUACACCGUGGGCGCCAACUAUGGGCGCCAAAACACCCUCUCCUCGCCAGAAAUCGCUCUGGGGAAAUAUUGGCGAGAUGCGAGAUUACCAUCCUAUCCCCAACCGACGGGACGUCCAAAUUUUAAACGGGGGCUAAGUUCGUAACUUUCCCAUAUUUCAGACAGGCGCAUCCCAAAAACAUGGUUACCCAUACCUCUCCCUCCAUUUUCCCAUUCAUACACCGUCCGCACCAGAACACCACCCCCACACCAGCCUCCUCCGUUUGCCACCCCAUCCAUCGCCGCCGUCCUCCACCCCAUCCAUCGCCACCGUCCUCCACCAUGCCGGAGCGCCUACCAAGACCGCGUCGUCCAUUGUAGAGAUGUGCGUUUCUCAUCGACGGCAACAGACCAAGAGCCUUGCAUCGCGUCCUCUCGCUUCAUCGGCGCUGUCGUCCUCUUUGCCGGGGCCGCUCACACGACCUUCUCUUCCACCGCAACGUGGCUUAUUCCCCGAUGCACCCGUCUACCAUCGCAGAUCUACUUCAACGCCACCGAUAGGUAGCGCACCCCCGAUGCCUACACGGCGCCGCAAGAGAGUGGUACUUCAUAUCUCCUCAACUUUUUGAUCUCAACCAGAAAAUAGAUCGUAACUUGGUUACUGUACUCUCUUUUCAGCUCUUAGAAUUUAGUUCUUAGUUCGAAGCAAACAAUGGAUGCUAAAUAGCAUUUCCCUGAUUUGCAGCUUUAAAUCUACCAUGGCACAGUCAUAAUAGGGUUUAAUUGAUCAUGCUUAGGGUUUAAUUGACCAUGUUGGUUCCAUGGUGGUUUAUUUAAUAGAAAUCGGAGGGGAAACCCUCUUUUGCUCAAAAAAAUGCUUAGGGUUUCCCCCUUUUAUGAUCACUAUACGAUCAACAUACGUGCUUCGUGUCAUAAUAGCACUGCUCCACCCAUCAAGCUAAACAAGCUUAGUUGUUCAAAUACGAAUAUGAUAUUAUUAGAACAGAGUCGUUUAAUUGGUCAGCUAAAUGUCCCUAAUUUAGAUUCGAAAAUGCAUGUUCGCCACUCGGGUGUGUAUCUCUACAGGGUGCCCAUGGUGGGCCGCGGCCCACCCAGGGAUUUUGGGUCGGCCCAGGCCCCGAUUCCCCUCUGUUCUGCUGCGCGCUUCCGAUCUCUACUCGCCCCCAGCCGCCUGCCUCGCCGGCGACUUGCCGUCCCCAGACGGCAUGACUCUAGGAGGAGACGCCGGACUAACAUGAGGUCAGGAGCCGCCGCCCAACAGCAUCACCGCUGCCCGGGCACGCCGCCGUGCCUACCAUCCCAGUCCGUUCAGGGCUCAGGCGUGCAACACCCACUAAGCCAACCCGAUUUAUCCUGAGAUAUGUCCUCAACACUCAGCAGCCACUCCUAAUCACCCAUUUUCUUAUUGAUUCAUUACUCAUUAGGCAGUACUGUCAUUAGGGUUUUUUGUGUGCUCAGUGCUACCUACACUUAAUGGUGCAGAUGUAUUUCAGUAAUCUUUAGUACCUGUGAUGUUCACAGGGUUUCAAAAUUCCGUCCCUAGGAACAGACACUAGUCAUUUUGGAUUGUUGGUCGUAGUGACAUUGAUCCAGAUUACAACUGCAGGCCAGGUUUGUUGAGAAUUUUACUUGUCUUUCUUACUCAUUCGAUAUGAAAUCCAAUUAUUCACGUCGAUUAGUUGCAAACAAUAAGUGCUAGACAAACUUCUUGAUUUAGAUUUUGGACGGUCUCUUACUGCAGUUACAAUUCUACAUACUGGUCCUAGUAAGCUCACAAGUAAAUGAUUGAUUCACCACAUCUAUGCUUUCCUUGUCAUAUUUGUUGUCAAUAUUCUUUUAGGGUGGACCACUCUGUUUCAAAAUACUGGAACCGCAGACAUGAGUGAAUAGUAUUUCUCUGUGUAAUCUCUUCCAUCAUGUGUGGGCAACGAACACUGCAUUGUAUAGAAAGAAAGUGCCAUUUCCAGCUUUUACAUAAACUAUGAUCUUUUACAUGGAAUACAAUCUGCCUACUUGCUUUGUGUCCCACUACCAACACUCCACCCUUGAAGCUAAACAUUAUGCCACUCAUAAUUCCAUAAUUUAUUUGUUCAAAUACGAAUUUGAUAUGAUUCUAAUGUUCCUACUUAGUUUUGAAAUGUGUGUCUACCUGUUAUAGAGAUAUAAGAGGUUUGUAUUUCUGUGUGUGGUCUGGUCAGCACGGUUGGGGGGUGAACUUUUCAUAUGCAGGGGUUUGUAGGUAGACACUCUUCAAGUUGAAUCCGCAAUGCAUUCCAUAGAUAAUCUGACUACCUUUUAUGUUUUCAUGAAUCUCUAAUGAUUAUGAGCUUGCGCGCAUGAAAAGAAUAAAGCAGAACAAUGCCAUGGCUGUCAAACUUGGCAUUAAGGGACUGAAAUCAAGUCUGGAUGCAAUGCAAUGCAAACGCUCUCCACCAACAGAUUCAUGCUCACAAUAUGAUCCUAACAGUGAUUCUAAGCUAGAGGGAGACCUAAGUCAAUGUAGCUCCCUAGUGGAGGAGUCAGAGGUAGAUGCCCUAUCUUAUUCACCCAUCAAGGUGCUUGCUCUAACUUUCCACGGUUAUAUUGGUCGCACAUAUCUUGCAACUGAUGCUUUGCAUUGCUUCUACUUUGUUGCACUGCCAUUAGCUUAGUUUACACAUCGUGUAUGUGAAUACGCCCUGCCUAUCCAUUUUUAGUACAUAUUCCAUCUGUCAUCAUACCAUAUUUAUCCAUUCAAAUGUUGUUGUUGUGUAUUAGACGUUCAAAAGGAAGAGGGCGAUUGCUGAUCGCGGAGGAGCAUGAGCAAAGUAUUUGGAAAAGGUAGUGACACAUGAUAAAUCAAACAGCCCAUUAGGUGUAGUUGCAAUAUCACCUGACCCACAAAACAUGGCCCCAACUCUAGCAGACUCUAGCCCUACUACACUGCUCAUUUCUGAUGCCCCAACUCAGCAGACCCCAACUGCAGCAAACAGUAUGAUGGUGCCAGUUGAGAUAGCACCAGCUCUAUGACGCAAAACCCCCAUUCCAGCAAAGAGUACACCAAAUCCAGUUGCCAAGUCCCUUUUCGGACCAGAGAGAGCCCCAAUUGCAGCAAAUAGGUCCCCUGUUCCAUUUUUUCCCAGUUUAGAAGAUGAAGCUUAUAUUUUUGUCAGGAACUUUGUGCGCAUCUGUCCUUCAUGGAAAGAUUAUACAGAACAAUUUCCAGUCUUCCUCUGCAACUUACACAUAAGUAAUGUACUAAUGUUAUUCAUGGUAAUUACUGCAUAUGUUUCUACUGACAGAAGACACAACAUUUCAUUCUUUUAAAUAGGCGAGGAGCAAACUGGAUUAUCAAGACGAGCAAGGGUUGGUUCCUCUUUUCAAGCACUCGUUGAUGAAAUAUCAUUCCUACCUGAGGCAAGCGCACUUCGAUGGCAAGCCUCUAAACAAAAUUUCUGUAAAGUCUCCGGUGCUACAUUUAUCAGACAGUGACUGGAAUAAUCUUGUUACACAUUGGUCUCGUCUGUAGCAUAAGGUACUGUCUAUGAUAUCACAUCACAAUUUGAACUACAUUUCUGCAUUUGCCUUAAUGUCUCACUUAUACGAAAACUGUUAGCAGAAGAACAUUCAUUCUCAAGGGACCACAGAAUCUCGCAACUAUAGUGCACACUGCAUUGCUCUUGUGAGUACAUCUUGCCCUGUAUGACCAUACUUACUUUCAUAGAUGUUUGAUUAUGUAGCAUCACUGCACAUGUUAACCUCUUUAUCGUCCAUUUGGUGGACAUUAUAAGAUCCUAUGGACUCUUACAUAAAUUUAGAAUCAACCCAAUGCCUUUGAAGAGGUUUAGCUCUGCAGUCCUCUUGUAAGGACUCAACAUCGUCUAUCACUGUACUUACAUUAACAGCUACUUCCUCUAUCCCAUAAUGUAAGAACGUUUUGUACAGUACACCAGUGUUCAAAACACUCUUGUAUUAUGGGAAGAGGGAUAGGUUCAUUGUGUAGCAUUCUGCAUCUUAUCUCCCUCGCCCACCAUUUACUAAAAAAAUCAGAUCUAUAUUUAAUCUUACCAAAAAGUUGAAUACACAGACAAUGCCAGUGCAGAAGUGUAGCCCAUUGCUCUUUUCAGUACAUUUUGUCCUGUAAUGCUUGUACUUCCAGGGAUUGGUAGUUGACUAUGUAGCAUCAAUCUGCAUCUUAUCUUCAUUAUCCUCUAUCCCUUCUAGUAUUAUUAUAUCUAUAAUUACACUCCACAAAAUGUAGAGUACAUGCAAUGCUUAUGAAGAAGAGUUUGUGCUGAAAUUCUUGAGUUAUCCUUCCCUUGACAUGGAGAAGGGCAUUAUAAAGCCGGUAUCAACUGUUAAUGUAAGUCAGUCCUUCUAAAGCCUUUAUCCUCAACUGCUGUUUAAUUUUCUCAUACUCCCUAUCGUUAACUGCUAUUUAGUUUGCUGUUUCUAUCAAAAUGCAUGUUCGCAACAACCGUAAGUUCCAAGUUUUACUUGUAAAACCAAAUUGCUUAUUCAUACCAUGCACAUUACUCAAUACUCCCUAUAUGUAUGCUUGUUUUUGUGGAUCUAUAAUCUAGUGUGUGGUGAAGCAGCCCACAUUUGCACCUUGUCAUCUCCUGUUUUAUCUUACUGAUGUGGCUGAUGAUAUGAACAACAUGCCAUGCACAUUAACCAAAAUUGAUACAAUGAUUGUCUUUGCCCUUCAUCUAUGCUUUUUAUGUUGACAUGGUAAUCCAGUAGUGUGGUGAAGCUCCCCGCAUUAUGAACAAUGCCAAAUUAUGCUAUUGAUAUUUUGAACUUACUCUUUAUUUUCUAAUUUGAAAUUGGAUGGAAUUGACAACACAAUUAUCAUCUUUGUUUAUACACGUGCAAAACCAGUCAUCUCUCUGCUUGUUUCAUGGUGAUAUGCCUGAUGGCAUGCACAAGUUUGCUGAAGGCUGUGAGAAAAACCCAACAUAUAUUGCAGCAAAGAAGGCAAAACAUCUUGAAGAUAGCGAGACAACCCCAAAGUCUUGUCUUGACGCAGUGUUCAAGUUACUUGAGACUAGCAGUCAGACAAGCUCACAUAAAUUGCUGCCUGAAUCAGUUCGACUUCUUCAGUCCCAAGUUCUAGCAGAAAGGCAUUCUACAGCUCAACUUCGACUUGAAGUCCUAUCUCUAAGAAAGAUUGCGGAGAACACCAAUGAGAACCUCAUUUCUAAACAGCUACACCUGGAAGCUAUGACCGACAUGCUAGGCCGGUCUCACAGCCUAGCUCAGCAGCUCGCGCAGCAGUUCCCACGCAAGCCUAACCUUUCUUGAACUGUCUUGGAAGUCAUCUCGGUUCAGUAUUAUUUUGUUACACUGCAAUGGUGCCCAGUUUUUGUAAUUUGUUUCUUCGUUGCGCUUUAUGAUCACUGGUGGCGAACUUCGAUGCCCAGUGGAUGUAAUAUACCAUAAAUCCUUAUUGUAUAGUGUAGGUUUAUUCUAAUUUACUAUGCCGUAAUUUCUUUAUCGUAUAGAGUAGGUUUGUUCUUAAUUCCUACUAGUUACUGUCAUCAUUCGUUAUCUGAAAAAAUCUGAUGUAGCCGACUGGGCCGAAACAUUUGCCUCUAACGGGCCUGGUUUUUAGCGGGCCACAAUUGGGCCGGCCUGCAACUUUCUUGGUCCCGAAUGGCCAUUGGGGCCUUCAAACUUUGCGCCAGGCCCACAACUUACUCUGUCCUAUAUUCGGCCCAAAAUUUAGUUGGGCCUUUUGUGGACCCAGCGCUUAGUUUGGCCCAUGUAGCUUUGGGCCAUUAACAGGCUGAAUAUUCUCCUGGCCUGUUACAGCCCAGAAGAAACCAUGGGCCUUUAGCAGGCCGAAAUGCAUGUUGGGCCUCAAUUUUCACUAGUCGUCGAUGGGCCUUCAGCAGGCUGAAAUGUAGACCGGGCCUUUUUUGGCCCAGUUAUAUGACGGGCCGUUACCAGGCCGAAACAUAUCUCAGGCCUUAGUUGGCCCACUAAUAUCAUGGGCCUUUAAGAGGCCGAAAGCUUAGUACAUGCAUCAAUGAGCCGAAUUAUACGACAGGCUAUUAACAGACCCAAUGUCACGUUGGGCUGAACUGUUGCCACCUUUAUCACGGGCCGUUAGUGGGCCGGAUGUCGUGUCAGACCAUAUAUGGCCCAUGGGCAGCACGGGCCAUUCCCAGGACGAAAGACACACGGGUUGAAAUGGGCCAAUGUCUACAUUGGGCUUCUAAUAGGCCAAAAGUCACCGAGUUGUAAUUGGGCCCAAAUAUUCAGCGAACAAUUAACGGGCCAGAUCUGGCUUCGGGCCGUAAAUGGGCCAUGUUUAAACAGGCCGUUAUUGGGCUGGCCCACUAGUACCUGAGUAAGUACUACAGGCCUUUGACUGGGCCGGCCUUUUUAACCUAUAUGGGCCUCUGUUGGGCCCUGCCACGUGUCGACGUAUCAUAGGCAUGCCUCCUCCAAUGGACGGACGAAAUCUGGCCCAUCGAGGAGCAGACACGUGUUUCCUCGAGCCAAUGAUGAUUUUACAUGUGGAAAAUGCCCAUUGGUCUGGGCUGUUAACGGGUUUCGAAUCCAAACUGGAACCCUAUAGCUUAAUGGCGACCUGUUAUGGUGGAUGCCACAUGUCGGUCACCCUUGAUGAAAGCACUUCUAUGACAUGCGAUUUAUCGUCAUGGAAGUGGAUACUUCCGUGAUGAUAAUUUUGGUAAUGUCAUGGAACACUUGUACGACAGCACAUGUAUGACUAUCAUGAUUCUGUCAUAAAAUCGUCAUGGAUGUACAUGCAUGACAAAAAAUGUGACCUACUGUGACAAACACGUAUCAUCAUGGAAGUGUAUUUUUUUGUAGUGCACGCGUUCGCAAAAAUAGACACAGACACACACAUGCCACCCCAUCUAUCUGCAUCCUUCUUUUAAGACACACACCCUUGUAUAUUCUCUCCAGCUAUAGGUAUAUAUACAUACCCCUAUCUCUCUCUCUCUAACUCACAUGCACAUCAAAAUUCUAUAUCUCUCUAAUUCACACCUCUCUCCCGAUGUCCUCAUGUGUAUCUCACACACUCACUCCAUGAUUAUGUCUAUUUGUCUCCAUGUUGCACAAUACAAAGCCCCAUUCGCAUGUCUCUCUCUAUCCUCCACACACAAACACACAAAGAAUCUCUUAUCUCUACCUCAGUGUCUCCAUAUAGUACACACGCAAUAUCUCUCUCUUGCACACAUGCUCAACCAAGGUUUUCUUGCGAAACAAUUACCAUCAAUUCAUCACCAGUCGAGCUAGUACGACGAACACGAGAUGUGAAAAAGAAUACAUCUACACGUCCGUAGACCCCCUAGUAUCACUACGGACACUAGAGCAAGCCAAAGGCGCACCGCUGUCAUCCCCAUACUUAUCGGAGACAGGAAAACCUUGUUUUACACACUCGGGGAGUCAGCGUGCUAAGGCCCACAUGCUCAAUCAUUGAGUAGAACUUAGAUCCAAGUUUAUGGAAACAAGUAUCAGUAAUACGCUUCUGUUAACAUAGUUUUGAGUUUUUCAUCAAGAUAUUAGUCACUCAUGGUCAAUAUUUAGUUUGAAUUACAAAAACAUAGGUACCAUGUAACUAGCCAUGCUUAUUGGCUUCCAAAGCUUAACUUUCAGUCCUACUUACAAUAUGUAGAGUAUUUAACAAAAACACUACCACUUUCAACCUGCCCUAGCAAGAAAAUACUGUACAAAAAAUAUCAAAAACAUACCCAAAAUUUCUUAAUCCACGCCAAAAACUACUACAAGUGCCGAUUAGGCUCGUUUAAACCCGUCUAUGACAGGGUUCGCCCACACGUCCGUGCUGACGAGGCAGCUUAAGUCAACAUCGUCUGUUUGACCAUUGUGUUUACAGUUACAGCAGGUGGGACCCACAUGUGAGCAACUAUUUUUUUCUUCCUCCUCCAAUCAUUUAUUUUUCCUGAGCAUUACUCGAAACAGUUCGUAUGCCUGUUCGUCGGCGGUGCCGGUGAUGGGCGAGCUGGCCGCCCCUCCAUCGGACGGGCGGAUGUCGUGCUGGCCUCCGCACGGGUUGGUUGGCUGGCCCGAGCGCGACUCACUCGCGAGCAAGCCACCGCGCUGGCCUUUGCUCGAGCCAAAUGGCUGGCCUUAGCGCGGCACGUGUGAGCAAGCCGCCGCACCGUCGUGCCAACCUAGCUAGCAAACCUUGCACACAAGCAGCUGGAUGCAUCCAGCAGGGUGUGUGCUAGCUUGGCUAGCUAGCGGCCGCGAUCACCACGUGGAGCCGUCCUUGGGGCUACCGGAAGAUGGACUCCGCACCGCCGGCGCUUUUGACCUCGCCUUCUGCUGGCGGCAGCGGCUGCUGCCGAGGAUGACUAGGUGGACGGGCCGGAGGUAGGAGGUGACUUGGGGAUUUUUGUCCAGACUGACACGUAGGUCCCACAAGUCAUAACGCCUAACUUGUCGGUCAAAUAGACGGCAUUGACUUAAUGUGCCACGUGGGUUUAAAUGUGCCUAAUCGGCACUUGGUACUUUAUUGCGACGGAUUAAGAAAUUUUUGGUAUGUUUUUGCUUAUUUUUGUAGAGUAGUGGUUUCUUGGUAGGGCUAGUUGGUGUCGGGGAGAUGGACACCAGGCAGGCAACAGAACCAGGAUCCUUUUCAAAAACAUCGGUGCCAGCAACGCCCCUCAAUCCGGCACACCCUGGCCGGCUUCACAACACAACCCGACCAGCCGCAGCAACCCGCCAGCCGGCUGGCGCAUGUCGGCUGGCCCCAAGAAGCCAACCUCCAUCGACAAGUAAGAAUGGCUGCAGUGCGCCCCUCUUUGCGCCUGCCUCGGCGGGCGUGGCAGUCGUGCCGACCAAGCCACUACCUGGGGCAGGUCUCAGAGGCGCAAUACUGUAGCAAGGCGGCCCUGCCGUCCCAUGACAUCCAGCACGGUGUGCCAACAGUAUCCAGUAGUCGGCCAUAACCGCGCCAGGCAGUCCCGUACGACCCGCACCCGACGGACUCGGUGAGACCCGCACCAAGCAGACCCAGUAGACCCGGCGGCCCCUACUGCUGGUUCCUAGACACUGACAUCUAGGCCUUGUGCCCAAGUAGUAUUACCAUUGUAACCCUGGGGGGCUGCCUAUAAGACCCCCCGGUGCUGCUCCAUGCAAAGGGUCGACCAUCAGUAGAACGCACACAUACACACAGAGAAGGAGCAGCCUAUGCACUGGCCUAUCUUCCUUCCUCCCCAAAACAGCUCAAGUAGCAAGCUCGUAUCCACCUCAUAUAAACCAUACUCGACAGGACUAGGGGUGUUAUCUCUCCGGGGAGCCCCAAACCUGGGUACGUCUCGUGCCUCACACUUGCACAUGCCAACCUCGCUUCUGGAGCCCACCGGUGCCCUUGUCCUUGUCCCCCCGUUUAGCCAUCCCAUGGCAUCUGCUGUGAGAUCACCACAACAAUUGGCGCCCACCAUGGGGCAGUUUGAGGCAUCGGCCGGAGUUACAUCCCAAACGGGGCCCUUCAUCGACUCCGACACGGAGAUCAUGCAUUGCGUGGUCCCCACGCUCGGUGCGGCGCUGGCCGGUUUCACUGGCCCGUCCAUUGUCCCCUUUGAGGCGCUGCACGUCUUCGUCGCGCUCGCCUCCGACGAGUACCCCAGGGAGGUGCUCGACGUCACCGACUCCCCCGUCCUCGUUGGCAGCGACAUCUCCGACGACAUGGCAGAUCUCUGCACCAGGGUGGAGGUGCUCGUCACCGGCUCCGGCUCCACUUAUUCUAGCACCCCGAAGAAGGCCGCCAUUGCCAAGGCCGCAGCGGAGCGCGCCAGCACGACUGACCCGCUGCGCGCCACACUGCAGAACCUCAGCAUCCCGAUCACCACCGACGUCAAUGCCACCCAGGCCAAGGCUCAGCUUGACAAGGAGCGCAAGCUCCUGCUGGAUGAGGCGACAACGCUUGGUGCUACGCAGCACCAGCUGGAGUCCAUCCAGUGGGAACGCGGCGCCGCGUAUGGCUUCACGCCGGCUGCGGCAGAACCCAUCCGGGUUGCCAAGGUACGAACCCGUGGCGGCGCCAUCGGCCACGCCCUAGGUGCGAACCCGUGGCGGCGCCAUCUGCCAUGCACUGGGCACGGUCCCGCCCGUCUACGACACCCCCGUCAAAAACAUGUGCGCCGCGGAGGCGGCCGCCGUGGGCCUGGAGCAGCGAUAGGGCGAGGAGCUACCACUACAAAAAAAUACACUUCCAUGAUGAUACAUGUUUGUCACAGUAGGUCGCGUUUUUUGUCAUGCAUGUACAUCCAUGACGAUUUUAUGACAGAAUGAGGAUAGUCAUACCUGUGCUGUCGUAGAAGUGUUCCAUGAAAUUACCAAAACUAUCAUCACGGAAGUGUCCACUUCCAUGACGAUAAAUCGCGCGUCACAGAAGUGCUUUCGUCAAGGGUGACCGACACGUGGCAUCCACCGUAACGGAACAUCGUUAAGCUAUUGGGUCGGGUUUUGGAUCCGAUAACCCGUUAACAGCCCGGACCAAUGGGAAAUUUCCACGUGUAAAUUUCUGAUUGGCCGGAGGGAACACCUGUCAGCUCGUCAGUGGGCCAGAUGCCGCCCGUCCAUUGGAGGAGACAUGCCUAUGAUAUGUCAACACGUAGCUGGGCCCAACAGAGGCCCAUAUAGGUUAAAAAGGCCGGCCCAGUCAAAGGCUCGUAGUACUUACUUAGGUACUAGUGGGCCAGCCCUAUAACGGCCUACUUAAUAAAGGCCCAUUUACGUCCCGAAGCCAGAUCUGGCCCAUUAAUUGUUCGCCGAAUAUUUUGGCCCAUUUACGGCCCGAAGCCAGAUCUGGCCCGUUAAUUUGUUCGCCGAAUAUUUGGGCCCAAUUACAGCCCAGUGACUUUCGGCCUGUUAGAGGCCCGAUGUAGACAUGGGCCCAUUUCAGCCCGGUGUGACUUUCGGCCUGGGAAUGGCCCGUGCUGCCCAUGGACCCACUAACGGCCCAUGAUAAAGGUGGCAAUAGUUAAGCCCAACGUGACUUUGGGCCUGUUAAAGGCCUGUCACAUUAUUCGGCCCGUUUAUGCAUGUACUAAGCUUUCGGCCUCUUAAAGGACCAUGAUAUCAGUGGGCCAACUAAGGCCCGAGAUAUGUUUUAGCCUGGUAAUGGCCCGUGACCUCACUGGGCCCAAAAAGGCCCGGUCUACAUUUCAGCCUGCUGAAGGCCCGUCGACGACUAGUGAAAAUUGAGGCCCAACAUGCAUAUCGGCCUGCUAAAGGCCCAUGGUUUCAUCUGGGACGUAACAGGCCAGUACAAUAUUCAGCCUGUUAAUGGCCCAACGCUACCUGGGCCAAACUAAGUGCUGGGUCCACAAAAGGCCCAACUAAAAUAUAGGCCGGUGUAAGUUGUGGGCCUGGCGCAAAGUGUGAAGGCCCCAAUCAUUCGGGCCCAAGAAAGACGCAGGCCGGCCCAAUUGUGGCCCGCUAAAAACCAGGCCCGUUAGAGUCGAAUGUUUCGGCCCGGUCGACUACAUCUGAUUUUUUUCAGAUAGCGAAUGAUGGCAGUAACUAGUAGGAAUUAACAACAAACCUACUCUAUACAAUAAAGAAAUUACGGCAUAGUAACUGAGAAUAAACCUACACUAUACAAUAGAGGAUUUAUGGUAUAUUACAUCCACUAGGCAUCGAAGUUCGCCACCAGUGAUCAUAAAGCGCAACGAAGAAGCAGAUUACAAAAACUUGGCACCAUUGCAGCGUAACAAAAUAAUACUGAACCGAGACCACUUCCAAGACAGUUCAAGAAAGGUUAACCUUGCGAGGGAACUGCUGCGCAAGCUGCUGAGCAAGGCUAUGAGACCGGCCUAGCAUGUUGGUCAUAGCUUCCAGGUGUAGCUGUUUAGCGAUGAGGUUCUCAUUGGUGUUCUCUGCAAUCUUUCUUAGAGAUAGGACUUCAAGUCGAAGUUGAGUUGCAUGCCUUUCUACUAGAACUUGGGACUGAAGAAGUCGAACUGAUUCAAACAAUGAAUUCUGUGAGCUUGUCUGACUGCUAGUCUUAAGUAACUUGAACACUGCAUCAAGACAAGACUUUGGGGUUGUCUCGCUAUCUUCAAGAUGUUUUGCCUUCUUUGCUGCAAUAUAUGUUGGGUUUGUCUCACAGCCUUCAGCAGACUUGUGCAUGCCAUCAGGCAUAUCACCCUGAAACAAAGCAGAUAGAUGACAGGUUUUGCACGUGUAUAAACAAAGAUGAUAACUGUGCUGUCAAUUCCAUCCAAUUUCAAAAUAGAAAAUAAAGAGUAAGUUCAAAAUAUCAAUAGCAUAAUUUGGCAUUGUUCAUAAUGUGGAGAGCUUCACCACACUACUGGAUUACCAUGUCAACAUAACUGGCAUAGAUGAAGGGCAAAGAAAAUCAUUGUAUCUAUUUUGGUUAAUGGGCAUGGCAUGUUGUUCAUAUCAUCAGCCACAUCAGUAAGAUAAAACAGGAGAUGACAAGGUGCAAACUUGGGCUGCUUCACCACACACUGGACUAUAGAUCCACAAAAACAAGCAUACAUAUAGGGAGUAUUGAGUAAUGUGCAUUGUAUGAUUAAGGAAUUUGGUUUUACAAGUAAAACUUAGAACUUACGGUUCUUGCGAACAUGCAUUUUGGUAGAAACAUCUAACUAAACAGCAGUAAACGAUAGGGAGUAUGAGCAAAUUAAACAGCAGUUGAGGAUAAAGGCUUUAGAAGGACUGACUUACAUUAACAAUUAACACAGGCUUUAUAAUGCCCUUCUCCAUGUCAAGGGAAGGAUAACUCAAGAAUUUCAGCACAUAAUCUUCUUCAUAAGCAUUGCCUGUACUCUACAUUUUGUAGAGAGUAAUUAUAGAUAUGAUAAUACUGGAAGGGAUAGAGGAUAAUGAAGAUAAGAUGCAGAUUGAUGCUACAUAAUCAACUACCAAUCCCUGGAACUACAAGCAUUACAGGACAAAAUGUACUGACAAGAGCAAUGGGCUACACUUCUGCACUAGCAUUGUCUGUGUAUUCUACUUGUUGGUAAGAUUAUAUAUAGAUCUGAUCUUUUUUAGUAAAUGGUGGGCGAGGGAGAUAAGAUGCAGAAUGCUACAUUAUGAACCAAUCCCUCUUCCCAUAAUACAAGAGUGUUUUGAACACUGGUGUACUGUACAAAACGUUCUUAUAUUAUGGGACGGAGGGAGUAGCUGUUAAUGUAAGUACAGUGAUAGACGACAUUCAGUUCUCACAAGAGGAGUGCAGAGCUAAACCUCUUCAAAAGGAUUGGGUUGAUUCUAAAUUUAUGUAAGAGUCCAUACGGAUCUUAUAAUGACCACCAAAUGGACGAUUACGAGGCUAACAUGUGCAGUGAUGCUACAUAAUCAAACAGCUAUGAAAGUAAGUAUGGUCAUACAGGGCAAGAGGUACUCACAAGAGCAAUGCAGUGUGCAGUAUAGUUGCGAGAUUCUGUGGUCCCUUGAGAACGAAUGUUCUUCUGCUAACAGUUUUCGUACAAGUGAGACAUUAAGGCAAAUGCAGAAAUGUAGUUCAAAUUGUGACGUGAUAUCAUAGACAGUACCUUAUGCUGCAGCCGAGACCAAUGUAUAACAAGAUUAUUCCAGUCACCGUCGGAUAAAUGUAGCACCGGAGACUUUACAGAAAUUUUGUUUAGAGGCUAGCCAUCGAAGUGCGCUUGCCUCAGGUAGGAACGAUACUUCAUCAACGAGUGCUUGAAAAAGCGCAACCAACCCUUGCUCGUCUUCACUAUCCAGUUUGCUCCUCGCCUAUUGAAAAGAAUGAAAUCUUGUGUCUUCUGUCAUCAGAAACAUAUGCAGUAAUGACCAUGAAUAACAUUAGUACAUUACUUACGCGUAAGUUGCGGAGGAAGACUAGAAAUUGUUCUGUGUCUGCGGUAUAAUCUUUCCUUGAAGGAAAGAUGCACACAAAGUUCCUGACAACAAUAUAAGCUUCAUCUUCUAAACUAGGAAGAAAUGGAACAGGGGUCCUAUUUGCUGCAAUUGGGGCUCUCUCUGGUUCGAAAAGGGAUUUGGCAACUAGAUUUGGUGUACUCUUUGCUGGAAUGGGGUUUUUGCGUCGUAGAGCUGGUGCUAUGUCAACUGGCAUAAUCAUAUUGUUUGCUGCAGUUGGGGUCUGCUGAGUUGGGGCAUCAGAAAUGACUAGUGUAGUAGGGCUAGAGUCUGCUAGAGUUGGGUGUUUUGUGGGUCAGGUGAUAUUGCAACUACACCAAAUGGGCUACUUGAUUUAUCAGGUGCCACUACCUUUUCCAAAUACUUUGCUUGUGCUCCUCCACGAUCAGCAAUCGCCCUCUUCCUUUUGAACGUGUGAUACACAAGAACAACAUUUGAAUGGAUAAAUAUGGUAUGAUGACAGAUGGAAUAUGUACUGAAAAUGGAUAGGCAGGGCGUAUGCACAUACACGAUGUGUAAAUUAAGCUAAUGGCAGUUCAACAAAGUAGAAGCAAUGCAAAGCAUCAGUUGCAAGAUAUGUGCGACCAAUGUAACCUUGGAAAGUUAGAGCAAGCACCUUGAUGGGUGAAUAAGAUAGGGCAUCUUUCUCUGACUCCUCCACUUGGGAGCUACAUUGAGUUAGGUCUCCCUCUAGCUCAGAAUCACUGUUAGGAUAAUAUUCUGAGCAUGAAUCUAUAGGUGGAGAGCGUUUGCAUUGCAUUGCAUCCAGACUUUAUUUCAGUCCCUUAAUGCCAAGUUUGACAGCCAUGGCAUUGUUCUGCUUUAUUCUUUUCUUGCGCGCAAGCUCAUAAUCAUUAUGAUGUUGUUCAGAAUCUAAGAUUCAUGAAAACAAAAAAGUAGUCAGAUUAUCUAUGGAAUGCAUUGCGGAUUCAACUCGAAGAGUGUCUCCCUAUAAACCCCUGCAUAUGCAAAGUUUACACCCCAACCGUGUUGUCCAGACCACACACAGAAUUAGAAACCCCUUAUGUCUCUAUAACAGGCAGACACACAUUUCAAAACUGAAGUAGGAACAUUAGAAUCAUAUGAAAUUUGUAUUUGAACAAGUAAACUAAGGAAUUAUGAGUGGCAUAAUGUUUAGCUUCAAGGGUGGAGUGUUGGUAGUGCGACACAAAGCAAGUAGGCAGAUUGUAUUCCAUGUAAAAGAUCGAAACGUAUGUAAAAGCUGGAAAUGACACUUUCUUUCUAUACAAUGCAGUGUUCAUUGCCCACACAUGAUGGAAGAGAUCACAUAGAGAAAUACUAUUCACUCAUGUCUACGGUUCCAAUAUUUAGAAACAGGGUGGUCCACCCUAAAAGAAUAUUGACAACAAAUAUGACAAGGCAAGCAUAGAUGUAGUGAACCAGUCAUUUACUUGCGAGCUUACUAGGACAAGUAUGCAGAAUUGUAACAGCAGUAAUAGACCAUCCAAAAUCUGAAUCAAGAAGUUUGUCUAGCACUUAUUGUUUGCAACUAAUCGACGUGAAUAAUUGGGUAUUAUAUCGAAUGAGUAAGAAAGACAAGUAAAAUUGUCAACAAACCUGGCUUGCAGUAGUAAUCUGGGUCAAUGUCACUACGACCAACAAUCCAAAAUGACUAGUGUCUGUUCCGAGGGCCGGAAUUUUGAAAACCCUGUGAACUUUAGAGGUACUAAAGAUUACCGAAAUACAUCUGAACCAUUAAGUGUAGGUAGCACUGAGAACACAACAAACCCUAAUGACAGUCCUGCCUAAUGAGUAAUGAAUCAAUUAGCAAAUGGGUGAUGAGGAGUGGUUGCUGAGUGUUGAGGACGUAUCUCAGGAUAAAUCGGGUUAGCUUGGUGGGUGCUGCACGCCUGAGCCCUGAACGGACUGGGAAGGUAGGCACGGAGGCGCGCCUGGGCAGCGGUGACGCUGUUGGGCGAGCGGCUCCUGACCUCCUGUUAGUCCGGCGUCUCCUCCAAGAGUCAUGCCGUCCGGGGACGGCAAGUCGCCGGCGAGGCAGGCGGCUGGGGGCGAGUAGAGAUCAGAAGCGCGCAGUAGAACAGAGGAGAAUUGGGGCCUGGGACGACCCAAAAUCCCAGGGUGGGCCUGCCCAUCGUGGGCACCCUAUAGAGAUACACACCCGAGCGUCGAACAUGCAUUUUCGAAACUAAUUUAGGAACAUAUAGCUAACCAAUUAAACGACUCUGUUUUAAUAAUAUCAGAUUCGUAUUUGAACAACUAAGCUUGUUUAGCUUGAUGGGUGGAGCAGUGCUAUUAUGACACGAAGCAUGUCGGGGGGAUGAACCCCGGGCAGGCAACGGAACCCGGAUCCUUUUCAAAAACAACGGGGCCGGCGUCGCCCCUCAAGCCGACACGCGCUUGGCCGGGUCGCUCAACCCGGCCAAACCCCGCAACCCGGACAAACUCUCUGACCCGGCCAAGUACCUCGACUCAGCCUCAAUUACUAGUACAAGAUAGCCGAACCCGGCGCGACCAAGGCUUCCUCAACAAGCCAGCUCCACCGUGGCGUGCUCCGCAACCCAGCCACGGGUUAGCUCCCGUCCCAUCCAGGUCGUACAAUGGGACGAGUCUUCAGCCACUGAUGACCAAGGCAAUAGUGCCCCGCCCAUGCCUCUGGUCAGCCGGAGCGUGGCAACAGUGCCCCUCACCUACCCGCUGACCAGGGCCGGCGUGGCUACAGUGCCCCCGCCAUCACCGCUGACAACAGCAAGCGGCGAACUGACGGAGCGCCACUGUACAUGACUCGACUCGGCCAGGCCCCGACGAUCGCAAGACGGCGCACAGUCCCCCUAGGCACGCGGGGCCCGCACCUAGGGGAGCCCGGCGAACCACAGGCCCCCAGCAGGUCCAAGUCCGGGUCCCCAGACGCCGACGACCCGAACCCACCAACUUGUAACAUUACCAUUGUAACCCUGGGGGGUUGGCCUAUAAAACCCCCCAGGAGCCCACGCAUACACGAGGAGGACACAACAGAACAAGUAGAAGGUAAUGCACGUAGAGAAGUAAGCAAGCAGGAAAGCAUAGAAGAACUAGCUACCAAGCAGUAGCAUCCACCCGGGGAGAAGGAGCAGCCAUAGCCUUGGCCAGCCUUCUUUCUUCCUCCAUAUAGCUCUAGGAGCAACCUUGCACUAUCGCACAUCAAACUACACUCGGCAAGACUAGGGGUGUUAUCUCUCCGGAGAGCCCCGGACCUGGGUAUGUCUUGCGUCCCGCGCUUGCUCAUGCCAACCCCACCUCUGGAGCCCACCAGUGCCCUCGAGCCUCCUCCUAUCUUUAGCCAUCCCAUGGCAUCUGCCGUGGACCCACCACGACAGUUGGCGCCCACCGUGGGGCAGCUCGAGGAGCUGGCCGGGAGCAUGCUUCAGACGGGUCCCUUCUCCUACUUCGACGAGUCCGUCAUGCUGGCGGACGGCGUCGUCGAUGCACUCGCCGCCUCCUUCGCCGCGCUGCGCAUCUCUGAUGCGCCCGCGGCCAACGAGUACCCCAGCAAGGUACUUAGCUACUCCGAUUCCCCUCUCUCCCUCGGCGGUGGCAUUUCCGCUGGGGCAAUGGAUGUCCACGUGGAAGUCUUCCUCACUUGUGACGGCACCUCCUCCUCGUCGAGCAAGACAAGGAAGGCUGCCGAAGCCAAGGCCGUAGCGGAACGGACCGAGACGUCCAAUCCAUUGCGCACCGUGAUGCAGAGCCUCCGCGUCCCCAUCGGCACCGACAUCAACGCCACCAACGUCGCUGAGGCCCGAGCCCAGCUCGAGGAAAGGCGCUAGCAGAUGCUGGACCUGUCCGAGACGCUCGCCGCCACCCAGCGUUGCCUGGAUUCCGCUCAGCUGGAGCGCAAUGCCGCCUACAGAUUCACGACCGCCCCGGCCGAGCCGAGCCGGGUCGCCGACGUGCGCGCCUGGGGAGGAGCGAUCGGUCGGGCCCUCGGCGCCGUCCCAACCCUCUACGAGACCCCAGCGAAGAACAUGCACCCUGCCCAGGCAGCAGCAGUCGACCUGGAUCAGCUCACGGGCAAAGAACUGCAGGAGCGCAUCGGGCGGAUGCGCGACCUCCUCAACGCGGCCAACGCCAAGCAGGACCGCCUCAACCAGCUCGCCAGGCCGGUGGGAUCCGGCACCGCCCGCACCGGUGGGCUCGGCGAAGUUUAGCACACGGGCGCACUCUGGCCGAACCCGGACUCGGCGCGACCCGGCCGCCACGGCCGCCAGAGGUUUGGGCGACGAGCUCGUCCCGGAGAUCCAGCGCGGACCCGGCCAGCAUGGCCGGCGUCCGGCUCCAACCGACCCGGCCGCCCGUGGCCUGGCCGCCGGUCGACUCGGCCCACGUGCCCUCGACGACACCGACGCUCGCCACCGCCUUGACCAGCUCGCUCACUUCCUGGAGGUGGAAGAAAGCGGCGCUAUCGGGCCGGCGUGCUUCGGCCCGCGCAUCCGGGAAGAGCCCUUUCCCAAAGGGCUCAUGCUUCCCCGCGACACCCCCAAGUACAAUGGGACGGUGAAGCCAGAAGAUUGGCUCACCGACUACACCACCGCCAUUGGCAUCACCGGUGCCAAUCGCCGACUCGCCGUGCGCUACGCACCAGUCAUGCUCCAAGGGUCGGCCCGCACCUGGUUGAACAGUCUGCUGAUGGGCAGCGUCAACAUGUGGGUCGAUUUCGAGCAAGCCUUCGUCCGCAACUUCACGCAGACCUACAAGCGACCCGGCCGUCCUAGCCAGCUCGCCAUGUGCGUGCAAGGGCCUACGGAGACCGGUCGCGAAUACCUCGCACGCUGGACCGAGCUCCGGAACAGCUGCGAGGGCGUCCAUCAAGUCCAAGCAAUCCAGUACUUCGUCAACGCGUGCCGAGACGACACACUCCUCGAGCACAAGCUCUUGCGCUCCGAGCCGGCCACCAUGGCCACGCUCAUGGUGACGGCGGACAAGUACGCCAACGCCGACUCCGCCAUGAAGAUCCAGGUGGCACUGGAUGAAGCCAGUAAGGCAAAAACGGUUCCCCCUCCGAAGCCGGCCAGCGAAAGCAGCCGGCAGCAGCACCACCAGAACAACAAGCGCAAGGCCGACCAGCCGGCACAGCGCUACGACAAUUGGCUUGUCGCAGCCGCCGAGCCCGCGGCGGACCCGGCAGCCAAGCGCUGGCAGCCCGGCAAGACGGCGUGGCAACCCGCCAUGAGCUUCGAAGAGAUGCUCGACGCCCCCUACAAGCACCACAGCGGCGCGAGGCCAUCCACGGACACGCUUCGGCAGUGCGGCAUCACCAAGCGCAUCAUGAGGGGCGACGUCCCGGCUCCUCCGGCUCCGGCCCCAGGCGCGGGGCAGCCGCCUCCGCCUCCACCACCGCCUCCAGCCGGCGGCGCAAUGCAUGACGACGCCUACCCGGACCAGAAUGCGGCCUACAUCGUCUUCACCAGCCUCGGCAAUGACAAGCGCAACGAGCGCCUCCUUCGGCAGGAGGUGAACACCGUCGUCCUGGCCAAACCAGAGUUCAUGCACUGGUCGGACCGCCCGGUCACCUGGACCCGGGAGAACCACCCGGCAGUCAUGCCGAAUCCGGGUGGCUACGCCCUCGUCCUCAACCCCACCAUCGUCGCAUGGCGCACGUGCAAGUUAUCCCGAGUCCUCAUCGACGGUGGCAGCAGCAUCAACAUCCUCUACCUCGACACGAUGACCAAACUCGGCCUCAAGGCUGAGGACCUGGAACCAACCCAGACGAUCUUCCAUGGCAUCGUACCCGGCCUCUCCUGCUCUCCCAUUGGCCGGGUCCGGCUCGACAUCCUGUUCGGCGACAGCAGCCAUUUCCGGCGCGAACCAAUAUGGUUCGAGGUGGUGGACCUGUCCAGCGCAUACCACAUGUUCCUGGGCCGACCCGCGCUCGCCAAAUUCAUGGCGGUCCCCCACUACGCGUAUCUAAAGAUGAAGAUGCCGGGUCCGACGGGCCUCAUCACCAUUACCGGCGACUACCGCAAGUCCUGAGUGUGCCCGAGACGGUGCCAAGCUGGCCGAGUCACUGGUCAUUGCCGAGGAGCGGAUCCAGCUCGACCGGAUCGUCGCCAUGGCGGGCGUGGCCUCGGCCGCGUCGAUCCCAACCGGGGACCCGGCCGACGAAGCCGCCUUCAAGCCCUCCUAGGAGACCACGAAAGUGAAGCUGAACCCGGAAGACCCCAGCUGCAGCAAGUACGUUGUCGUAGGCGCCCGCCUCGACAGCAAAUAGGAAGGCGAGCUCGUUGACUUCCUCCAUGAGAAUCGGGAUAUCUUUGCAUGGACCCCCAAGGACAUGUUGGGUAUCCCGAGGAAGUACACCGAGCACAAACUCCACGCACAAAAGGAUGCUAAGCCUGUCCGUCAACCCCUGCGACGUUUUUCCGAAGAGAAGAGAAGAACCAUCGGUGAAGAGGUCACCAAGCUUUUGGCGGCCAGCUUCAUCAUGGAAGUGUUUCACCCCGAGUGGCUGGCCAAUCCAGUCCUCGUCCUAAAGAAGAAUGAGACCUGGCGCAUGUGUAUCGACUACACCAGCCUCAACAAGGCCUGUCCCAAGGAUCCGUUCACCCUCCCGCGGAUCGACCAAGUCAUCGACUCGACCGCCGGGUGCGAGCUCCUGUCCUUCCUGGACGCUUACUCCGGCUACCACCAAAUCAAGCUGGACCCGGCCGAUGCCCUGAAGACGUCCUUCAUCAUGCCCUUUGGGGCGUAUUGCUACAUCACCAUGUCGUUCGGCCUGAAGAAUGCCGGCGCCACCUUCCAACGCUGCAUGCAGAAAUGCCGGCUGCUGCAACUCGGCCGCAAUAUCCACGUUGACGUGGACGACAUCAUGGUGAAGACCAAGCAGCACCUCACGCUCCUCGACGACUUGAAGGAAACAUUCGCCAACCUCCGCGAAUACAAGGUCAAGCUUAACCCGGAAAAAUGCGUUUUUGGCAUCCCGGCCGGAAAGCUACUCGGCUUCCUCGUCUCGGAACGCGGCAUUGAGGCGAACCCGGAGAAGAUCAAGGCCAUCGAGCGCAUACGCAAGCCGGCUCGGCUACGCGAUGUCCAGAAGUUCACCGGCUGCUUGGCCUCGGUCAGCCGGUUUCUAAGCCGGCUGGGCGAGAGGGCGCUCCCCCUAUACCAGGUGAUGAAGAAGACGAAGUCGUUCGAAUGGAACGACCAGGCAGACGAGGCCUUCCGGGACCUCAAGCGCAUGCUCUCCACUGCACGAGUCCUGGCCGCGCCGUCCGACAAGGAGCCGCUGUUGCUCUACAUAGCCCCGACCUCACGGGCGGUCAGCACGGUGCUGGUGGUCGAGCGACCAGAGAAGGCCAAGAUCCAAGCCAUCGAGCGCCAGGUCUACUACCUGAGCGAGGUGCUCUCCAACUCCAAGCAGAACUACCCGCACUACCAGAAGAUGUGUUACGGUGUGUACUUUACCGCCAAGAAGCUGAAGCAGUACUUCCAAGAGCACGUCAUCACUGUGGUCAGCACGGCUCCGAUCGGAGAAAUCAUCGGGUGCCGGGAUGCCUCUGGCCGGGUCGCCAAAUGGGCGCUCCAGCUGGCCGGCCACACCAUCCUCUACGAGCCCCGCACCAUGAUCAAGUCUCAGGCCCUGGCCGAUUUCCUCGUCGACUGGACCGAGACCCGGUACCUACCGCCGACCCCCGACUCGACGCACUGGCGCAUGCAUUUCGACGGGUCCAAGAUGCGACUCGGCCUAGGGGUCGGCAUUGUGCUAUCGUCCCCAAAGGGCGACCGACUCCGCAACGCACUCCAGAUCCACUUCGCCGCCUCCAACAACAUCGCCGAAUACGAAGCCCUUGUGCACGGCCUCCGGCUUGCCAAGGAACUCGGCAUCCAGCGCAUACUGUGCUACGGCGACUCGGACCUGGUGGUGCAGCAGUGCUCCGGCGAGUGGGACGCCCGCGACUCCAACAUGGCAAGCUACCGCUUCUUCGUCCAGAAGUUGUCCGGGUUCUUCGAGGGUUGCGAGUUCCUCCACGUUCCGCGCGCGGAGAACGAAGCGGCCGACACGCUCGCCAAAAUCGCCUCGUCCUGACAGUCCAUCCCGUCUGGCGUCUCCCUUGAGCACCUGCACAAGCCAUCCGUCAAGCCGUCGCCGGACUCCGAGUCCAUCGACGUUCCAGAUGACCCGGCUGCAUCUCAACCGGCCCGGGGACUGCUGAACCCUGCCCGGGGGCUGCCGGACCCGGCCCAGGGGCUGCUCAGCUCGACCUGGCCACCGUCGCCCCAGACCCGACCGUCGCCAUCCCCGACCCGGGGGCUGCUCAACUUGGCUCGGGGGCAGCCAACCCGGAUCCCGCCCCGGUGGCCGUCUACGCCGUGGUAACGGCUCCGUCUUGGGCCCUGCCAAUAUCAGAAUUCCUGGAGAACGGGGUUCUUCCCAUGGAUGAGACCGAGGCCCGGCAAGUGCAGCGCCGGGCAUCCGCCUACAGCAUCAUCAACAACGAGCUCGUCAUGCGCAGCUCCACCGGUGUCAUCCAGCGCUGCGUCGAGCAGGAGCAGGGCGUCGACAUCCUCCUCGACAUACACCAGGGCGAAUGCGGGCACCACGCCGCGUCGCGAUCCCUGGUGGCCAAGGCUUUCCGCCAUGGUUUCUACUGGCCCACAGCCCUCCAAGACACUGAGUCCCUCGUUCUCAAGUGUGAGGGGUGCCAGCGCUUUAGCAAACACAGCCACCAGCCGGCGUCAGCACUCCGCACCAUUCCGAUCGCCUAGCCCUUCGCGAUCUGGGGACUCGACAUGGUGGGACCCUUCAAAACCGCCAGAGGCAGCAUGACGCAUCUACUAGUGGUGGUGGACAAGUUCACCAAGGGGAUCGAAGCACGGCCAAUCAAGAAACUGGACGGGCCAACAGCCGUCCGGUUCAUCAACGACAUCGCAGUUCGCUACGGCAUGCCGAAGAGCAUCAUCACGGACAACGGCACCAACUUCGCCAAGGGCGCGCUCGAGCAAUACUGCUCCGUCUCCAGCAUCCGCCUCGAUCUGGCCUCCGUUGCACACCCGCAGUCCAACGGGCAGGUCGAGCGGGCCAACGGACUCAUCCUGUCCGGCAUCAAGCCGCGACUCGUCGAGCCACUCAUCCGCUCACCCGGUAGCUGGCUCGACGAGUUGCCGGGCGUUCUCUGGAGUCUCCGAACCACGCCGAAUCGGUCCACCGGGUUCACCCCGUUCUUCCUCAUCUAUGGAGCCGAAGCCAUCAUUCCGACUGACGUCGAGUUCGACACGCCGCGUGUCGUGAUGUACACCGAAGCCGAAGCCAGAGAAGCCCGCGAAGAUGGCGUCGACCUACUCUAAGAAGCCCGCCUCCUGGCGCUCAGCCAUUCGGCCAUCUACCAGCAAGGCCUGAGGCACUACCACAGCAAGAAGAUCAAGCCCCUCGCAUUCCGCGAGGGCGACCUCGUCCUCCAACUCAUCCAAGAGCAAGCCGGCCAGCACAAGCUGUCCCCUCCAUGGGAGGGCCCAUUCAUCGUGAGCAGGGCCUUGCGCGAUCGCAACGCCUACUACCUCAUUGACGCACGCAAGUCAAACAAGCGCAAGAGAGACACCGCCGGCGAAGAAACGACACGGUUGUGGAACACGGAACUCCUCCGCCCGUUUUACAGUUAGCCGCAUGAGUGUAUGUAUCGUCGCCUUUUGUAAACGCAUGAAACUAUGGGGUCCCCGAAUGAGACUCGGGGGCUGCCUUUUGUCGACCAACUUAUUGUGUCCCUACUUUUUUAGCAUCACUAUGCUCCUGAACCCGGCCGCCGGUCCGACUCGCUUGACCCGGGGGCUCGAGGGCUUGCCAGCUUGAUCGCCACCCCGCCGCCUUACUUGGUGAUUCCUGAUGCAGUAAGGUCGCCGUGGUGGCACACUUCGCCCUAAGCCACAGACCCGGCUUCGUCUGUCGGCUGGCAAGCACAACAGACCAGAGCCCCUUCACGCUUCAAACGCCAAGUCAAAGGCUGCCGGGUCGACCAACCCGGCCCGUCGCUCCAAAAAAUAAAAAGUAAACAGCCGCACGACCGGCUGCUCGCCAACUGGCUCCGCCGGCUUGCCGCCAGCCGACCCAGUGGGUGUUUCGCUCGCGCUCAACAUUUUGAGAAGCCCAAAGUACUACGCGCUUCUCUCAAAGAACCGAACUCCUUGUCACAGACCAGAGCCUCGGCUGUCUANNNNNNNNNNNNNNNNNNNNNNNNNNNNNNNNNNNNNNNNNNNNNNNNNNNNNNNNNNNNNNNNNNNNNNNNNNNNNNNNNNNNNNNNNNNNNNNNNNNNNNNNNNNNNNNNNNNNNNNNNNNNNNNNNNNNNNNNNNNNNNNNNNNNNNNNNNNNNNNNNNNNNNNNNNNNNNNNNNNNNNNNNNNNNNNNNNNNNNNNNNNNNNNNNNNNNNNNNNNNNNNNNNNNNNNNNNNNNNNNNNNNNNNNNNNNNNNNNNNNNNNNNNNNNNNNNNNNNNNNNNNNNNNNNNNNNNNNNNNNNNNNNNNNNNNNNNNNNNNNNNNNNNNNNNNNNNNNNNNNNNNNNNNNNAGAAAGGAGAAGCGCAAGAAAUCGGUUCAAAAACGAAAAGCAAGAGUAAAAACAUUCACGACAUACACACAUAAAUAUUUAAAGGCCCACGACCCGAGUUCAUUACACCCAGAACCCCCAGUGGGUGGGUGGACUUGCUACCUAACAAAUCUUACUAAGACGUCUCAAGCAUCUCCAGCGCCGCGUCGCGACAUCGACGGCUCUCCCCUGGCGGCCUCCGGGCCCAGCAAGGUACCGGUGUCCUCCUCAGCACCCCGUCGCGGUAGACGCCCGUCUCCUCGGAGCUCCCCUCCAGGUCAUGAAGAAGCAGGCCGUAGUCGUUGCAGGCCACGACCCCGCCGUCCUCCGUCCGCUCGAGGUGCAACUCGUCAUGGAAGGCGAACUCGGCGAUAUAGCUGGCCCGGGAAGCAAUCCGGCCGGCUUGCUCCUGCAACAGCUGCUUCGAGCCGGCCCGCUGGCCCAUCAGCGCAUCCAGCUGCAGGUCCGGAUGCCAAGACAGUGCAAACCGGAGCGCCAUUUUAGCACCAGCACGAGCGGCGGAGACGCGCCACUCGUGAAGCCGGUCCGGCCCCAUCUCCAGCCAACGCGCCAGCCGCAUGAAACUGUUCGGCUCGACGGAGCCCGGCCAAAGGGCUGUCGUCAUUGCCGUGCCGGACUGGGACUGCCGCCCCAGCUAGUCUCCCAAGACCCGCAGGCGGGCCUCAGCGGCGGUCAUAAUUUCCGGGAAGGUCCACACCACCUGCGGGUCCGUCCUGGACCCGACGACUCCCGUCGGGUCACGCUGAAAGCGGACGGCUUCCUCCGCUAGCCCAUGCGUCUCCGGGAAGGCCCCUGCUAGAAAGCGAGGCAUGUCAGGAAAAAGGACAACAAGGACAAAAAGCCGGCAGAAAGCAAGAAAAGCACUUACUUGAGAAGGACUCUUCCAGGUGCUGCGCUUCGAGCAACGUACCGCGCCGCUCCUGCUCAAUGGCGCGGUCGCGCUCCCGUAGCGCCUUCUCCAGGUCGGCCGCAUUGGCAAGGGCCGCCUUCAACUCGGCGUCCUUAUUAGAGGCCACCUUCUCGGCCGCCUCGCGACGGCGGGCCUCAUCCUGACGGGCCCCCUCUGCCGUAGCAGCCUGCUCCCUCAGGCGCUCCACUUCGGCCUGGAGCCGGCCCUUGUCAUCGGCCAGCCUGCCACACCACUGGUCCGCCUCGACCAGGGCCUACAGCGUCUCCACCACCUUGGCGGCCUCCGCCCUAAGGAGCUCCACCUCGGCCUCGAGGCGGCUCUUAUGACCCGCCAGCUGCUCCCGCAGCUAGUUGGCCUCGUCAAGCGACCGCCUGGCUGCUGCCGCCUCCGCCCUCGCCUGCGCCACCUCGGCGCCAAGGUGGCCGGUGUCAGCGACAAGCCGGUCAUAGUGAUGACCAGCCCGGAGCAGCCGGGUCUGUCAGGACAUCACCUCGGCUGCAAAAAGGAAGACUCAGGAAAGGAAAAGCAAGACUUAAGAUUUGGCCCAACUGUUACACAGUUGGCCCGAAUCUCGGGGGCUACACCCAGUGGGUGCGCUAGCGCGCCCCCACUAGAAAAUAGCAUGAAGAUACCUGCGGCAACGCGGAGCUCCUCCUCCUUGGCGGCGAGGUGCUCCUUGAGCUCCCGGUAUUUGCCCAGGAGGCGGUUGAAGGCGCCGACCCGGUAGGCGUCGACUUGCUGAAGAAAGCAGUGAUCAGAACAAGGACGACAUUCUAAAGAUUCGACCCAACUACUACAUAGUUGGCCCGAACCUCGGGGGCUACACCCAGUGGGUGCGCUGGCGCGCCCCCACAAAGAAGAAAUUGCAGAAGAAGCUUACCAAAACGGCCCGCGUCCGUUCCACCUCGGCCUGGACGAAGGCCUCGAGCCGGUCCGUCCGGCCACACAGACAGCGGCUGACGGCGUCCAUCGCCGCCUCCUCCUGGGUCUGAGGUCCGAAGACCACGGCGCUCCCGCUCCGCGCCGGCUGCGGCGCGGCGACCCUACGCCCUCCCUGCCGGGGCGCUAGAGCAUGCUCCCCACUGGCCGCUCCCCACGCGCUCCAGCACCUCCGCCGAGCGCCGUCGACGACCCAGAUGCCGGGACGCCCUGCGUCGCCACCACCGGUCCAGACGCCAUGGCAGCCUGCUGCGCCACCACCGGCCCAGCUGCCGGGGUGGCCUGCGGCACCUCCACCCGCGGCGCCUCCUCCAAGACGGCGCCACCGCCGCCUCCGUCGGCCCCCGCACGCUCGGCGGCAUCGACCCGCGGCGGGCUGUCGUCCUCCACCUCCACGACCUCCUGGUCGAGGAUCACCACCUCAGCCCGGCCUCCACGGUCGUGCUCCCCCACCGACGACGGCUCGAAGACCAUCGCCGCCACCACCGAGCCCUCCGGUAUUUCUCGCCAUGCCGGCUCCAUGCCGGCUCACGCCCACGCUGCCGCAGCGUCGGUACAAGCCCGGACCGACGCUGCCUCCAACUCCGCCUCGGCCCUGUUCCUGUCCCGCCACGCCAGGCCCUCGGCGCCGGUCGGAUCCAGGCCGAGGUCUGGGUCGGCCCGCUCCUCCACCUCGACCUGAUCGACGGGGUCGGACCGGCUCCUGUGGAACGCGGCCUCCUCGGCGGCCGCGGCAUCCGCCGCCGCCCUCGCCAGCGCGAUCGGUGACCUGAAGAAGAACACAGAAUGAGCGAAAGCAAAUCCAGCUCGACCGUUCGGACACGCACAGGAGAAGAAACUUAGCCUGUCAAGACCGGCCGGGGGCCGGCCUCCCGUGCCCGGCGCCGCGCUUCCUCUUGGCCGGCCUCCCGCUUCCGGCCGGGUCUGCCGCGCGCUUCGGGGCCCAGGGCCGCGGCGCGACGCUGUCCUUCCCAUGCGGGCGGCUCGGCGCCGUCCCACGUGACGACCUGGCUCUGCCCGCGUUGCUGCCUCCCCCGCCCAGCGCCACUACACCAACAACGGGCGUCAGCAUCGCCCGCACCGUGUCGCGAUCAGCAAUUCGAGAAACACUAAGGAAAAGACAAGACUUACACACGCGACGCCCAGCGCCGGCGUCGACCUCGGCCUCCUCCUCCCCGCCGUGGGCCGCGGGCUCCUCCGACGCCACCCGCACCACCUGCGACGGAGCCCGGGCGUAAGGUGGCCGGACGGCAUUCAGAAGCACCUCCCGCGUCGCGUCAGGGCGAACAAGGAGAUGCGUGGCAGCAAAGUAAGGAGACCAAACACUCACCAGUGGCGCCGGAUUUGACUCGCUGGACGGCACCUUGCCGAACCGCCAGUCCUCCCCAAGGUUGGCCUUGGAGAUGUCUUUCACUCGACGCGCCAUCUUCUCCGCCGUCAGGCGCGCCGAUCCCAUGCGAUUGGGAUCUUGAAGACCGGCCAUCUCGCCGAUGAGGCAGGAGCGCCUCUGCAGCGGGAGAACCUGGUGCAUAAUGAACGCGGCAAUGAGGUCGUUGCCAGUGAGCCCCUCCCGCGUCCUCAUCACUACCACCCGCUCGCAGAGAUUGAGAAUCUCCUGCGACGGGCGCCUGGGGGAGUAGCCCCAGUUCAUCUUCGCCCGCGGCGGCUCGAUGGCGAAGGCCGGAAGAUUGAUACAGUCCGCACCCAAGUUGCGGACGUAGAAGAUGGAAUUCUGCCAUUUCUUGGCAGAAUCCUCCAGCGGAAUCUUGGGGCAGUCCGCGCCCGACCGCUUCGAGAUAACGGCGGCGCCGCAGUCGGCGAACUCCCCGGCCGUCGGUCCCUGCUGCUUCAGGGAGAGGAAGUGCGCCUAGAGGUCGAUCAUAGGCUCGACCCCUAGAUACCCCUCGUAGAGGGUGACGAUGCCCGAAAGCUGGACGACGGCGCCAGCGCCGAGAUGGUGAGGCUGGAGCCCGAAGAACUCCAGGAACGUGCGCAAGAAGGUGCUCGCCGGCAACCCAAAUCCACGCUCGAAAUGCGCGAGGAAGACCACGCGCUCCAACCCGUGGGGCUGUGGCCUCUGCUCGCCGCGCGGUAGGCGGACGGCGACGUCCGUCUCCCGCGACAAGCGUCGGGACGCGUGAAGACGGGCGAUGUCCUCAACGGUGACGUUCGAGCCCAUCCAAGAGCCCGACGGCAGCGCCAUCAAUGAAAGCAAGAGAGGAAGAAAGAAGACGGACGAUGGCAAGGUUCUGCUCGAAGCAACGGGCGUCGCAGUGCGGCUGUCGCGAGAAGCAGAGCAAGACCGAAGGAGCAGGAGGGCGCGGGCGAGAAUGAUGUCCGCCGCCCCCCUUGCUCCCAAUUUAUAACCUUCGGUUUGAACGUGGGGGAGUGGGAUCGUCUGCGCUCACCCUUCCCACUACCCCGCAAUAAGUGCGCACGUGCGCACGCAAUAACUGCCUGGGGAAGAGCAACCGGCCCCCGGACGCCACGAUAAAUCGGCACGCGUGGGCCAAGCGAGCGCGGCAGCGGGCCCCAGCCCGUCGCCCAGUCCCGUCACGCGCGUGGCCUGUCAGGCUCCUCCGACUUCCGGGAACCACGUGGCGCCCGCGCGAAGCCCGAGGGAUUGCCCCAAGAUUCGAUGGACUCCUCGGUUCCCACCACCACCGGGAUGCUGCGAUCCGGUUUCCGAGAAAACCGGCACACAGUGGGUGUUGUCGGAACCGGCGCUCGUAGAAUUCACCUUGCUUAAGGGGGAAACUGCGAAGGCCCACUCAUCCGAAGGCGGCAGACCUUCACAGCUUCGGGGACCACUGUCGGGGGGAUGAACCCCGGGCAGGCAACGGAACCCGGAUCCUUUUCAAAAACCACGGGGCUGGCGUCGCCCCUCAAGCCGGCACGCGCUUGGCUGGGUCGCUCGACCCGGCCAAACCCCGCAACCCGGACAAACUCUCCGACCCGGCCAAGUACCUCGACUCGGCCUCAACAACUAGUACAAGACAGCCGAACCCGGCGCGACCAAGGCUUCCUCAACAAGGCAGCUCCACCCGUGGCAUGCUCCGCAACCCAGCCAUGGGUCAGCUCCCGUCCCAUCCAGGCCGUACGAUGGGAUGAGUCUUCAGCCACUGAUGACCAAGGCAACAGUGCCCCGCCCAUGCCUCUGGUCAGCCGGAGCGUGGCAACAGUGCCCCUCACCUACCCGCUGACCAGGGCUGGCGUGGCUACAGUGCCCCGCCAUCACCGUUGACAACAGCAAGCGGCGACCUGACGGAGCGCCACUGUACAUGACUCGACUCGGCCAUGCCCUAACGAUCAACAAGACGACGCACAGUCCCCCUAGGCACGCGGGGCCCGCACCUAGGGGAACCCGGCGAACCACAGGACCCCAGCGGGUCCUAGUCCGGGUCCCCAGACGCCGACGACCCGGACCUACCAACUUGUAACAUUACCAUUGUAACCCUGGGGGGUUGGCCUAUAAAACCCUCCAGGAGCCCACGCAUACACGAGGAGGACACACCAGAACAAGUAGAAGGUAACGCACGUAGAGAAGUAAGCAAGCAGGAAAGCAUAGAGGAACUAGCUACCAAGCAGUAGCAUCCACCCGGGAAGAUGGAGCAGCCUAAGCCUUGGCCAGCCUUCCUUCUUCCUCCAUACAGCUCUAGGAGCAACCUUGCACUAUCGCACAUCAAACCACACUCGGCAGGACUAGGGGUGUUAUCUCUCCGGAAAGCCCCGAACCUGGGUAUGUCUUGCAUCCCGCGCUCGCUCAUGCCAAGCCCGCCUCUGGAGCCCACCAGUGCCCUCGAGCCUCCUCCUCUCUUUAGCCAUCCCAUGGCAUCUGCCGUGCACCCACCACGACAAAGCACGUAUUCUGAUCGUAUAGUGAUCAUAAAAGGGGGAACUCUAAGCAUAUUUUUUAUCAAAAGAGGGUUUCCCCUCCGAUUUCUAUUAAAGAAACCACCACAGAACCAACAUGAUCAAUUAAACCCUAAGCAUGAUCAAUUAAACCGUAUUAUGACUGUGCCAUGGCAGAUUUGUGACACCCAAAAUUUUUGACCUUGUUUUAUUUAUUAAAAUGUUGCCAGGAAAUAAAACUUUUCCAUUUUGUCAAGAUUUACCCUUUGUGGUUUUGGAUUUUUGCCUCUAGUGGAAAAAAAACUUCAAAGAGUAUUGUUGGACUUGAAUACUCUCUUUAAUAAAAAAAUUCUUUAUCAGUGGAUUUAUUGCAAGAUUUGUUUUCCCAGAGCUUUAUUCUUUUAAAAUGAUUUCUUUUGAAUUUGGAGCAUGUUUUGCACUACAACCAUUUGACAAAUGCAUUUAAAAUUUCCACCAAAAUUUGGGGAUGUCAUGUGAUGUUUCCACAUCACUUUUAUGCAAAAAUACCUUUUGGCCAUUGGAGAUUUUGAGCUCUACACCAACUUUUCCAAUCUGGUCCAGUAGGCACUUUUGCACUACAACCCAUUUAAAUAUUUCUUCAAAAAUUCUUCCAAGUGUUUGGAGAUGUCAUUGGAUGCAUACAAUUCAACUCUAUGCAAAAACCCAGUGAUGUUCUUUGAAAAAUUUGAGUGAAUCAACCUCUUUUUCAUUCUGGCCCAGUUUGGUGAUUUGAACUGCAACUCUAUUUUAUUUUGCUCUGGUGCCCAUGACCCUUUUUCCUACUUGUAGCCCUCCCUUCAAAACCCUUAAGUCCAGAAGAGUGGACUCAUUGGAGGUUUUGAAGUGCAUGCAAUAAACCCUUUUUCUUUCUGUCCAAAACUGGAGUUUUGCAAAACCUACACUAACAAGUUUCUGGUUUUGCCCAUAUGAUCUUGCCUUCAUCAUCCACACCUAAAGAGACCCUGAUCUGGAGAUUUUGGCCACUCCAAGAGUUGCCUAAGUACACUUGGCAUUCUGUCGAACACUUGGUGUGCACAGUCUGUUUUGGCAUGAGUUCUUUGUUUGCACUGUGAUCUUGUUCUAAUGACCCAGCAACCUUGUCCACUGAACUCCUGGUUGUCUCUAUCCUAGUCCUGUUAAUUGCCAGCCCCACCCUCGCUCUCUAGACAGCCCUGGCAUUUCGUCGAGCAGGUUCCGUGCGUGCUCUGGGCGCGCCCAGAGCGCACGUUUUGCACGCGCGCGCACUGAGCCGCCGCGCCGCACAGCCGCACUCGACGCGACCCGUCCCUGGCCCCUGCUCCACCGCUGAACCGCGCACUAGCUCGCCCCCUCUCCACGCCAUCUCUGGCGCCCUGCAGCGCCGCUGGCAGAGCCCUUGGUGGCACGCCGGCGUCGGCAGUGAGCCUCUGCCAUGUUCGGCACCGCCCAAACCACACCAGCGCGCCAGCUGCCCCCAUGAACAGCUCAGUCUUAUCCCGAAGCUCGUCGGCACGCGCUCGUCGCCGCCACGUCGCCCUGCAGCUACAGCACGGCUGUCGCCGGCGAUCUUAUCCUCAGCCGCCGCGGUCCAACCUCGAGCGCCUAUUUAAGGGAUCCCCGAGCUCGUUCAAGACCUCAGGCAACCUCAGACUUUCCUCCUAGCGCUCCCCAAGCAGUGGAUCGACCCGUAGUGGCCAUCGUCCUCGUCUCCGGCCAGCUCGGCCGCCGCCAAGUUCCGGUGCGAUACGUCGUAGCCAGUCACUCCCUCGCCCAAGCAACGCCACCAGUAGCUUCCCCUUGUCCUUGCGGAGCUGCCCAACUACCCAACCUCGAUCGGAGACCACCGGAGCCCAAAAACCACUUCUCCACCGUAGCCCCCUCCGCCGCGGAGCUCGCCGCCGGCGACUCCUUCCACCUCCGACGACCCAGCGACCACCAAGGGGACCGCCUCGGUCUGGCCAGUCCAUCCCUGCCCUCAGAUGCCCUCGAGGAGCCGCCGUUCGUCACCGGCGAUCGCUGGAGUCCCGCUCCCGUCGGGCAGAGAAGAGGAGGGAGAGGGAGGAACGGUCAAACCUGACCAGUGGGCCCUCUGGACCCACUGUCAGUGACCCGCGCGCCGUCUCCUUUGUUUAAGUGAAGGCACAUAAGUCCCGAGUAUGUCUCCUCUGCUGCGAAAGCGUAUUUCUCCCGAAACGUUUUCUUUUCUGGUUUUAUUUAAAAACAGAGAUUUGGCCAAACUUUGACUGGCUAUAACUUUUAAAAUAAAACUCCAAAUGAAUUGAUUCUUUUUGCUACCUCUCUCAAAUUCCACCUAGUUUAUUUUAAGAUUUAUUUCAAAAAUAUCUGAGACAACCUUUUGUACUGUGUUUGAAAUAUGUGUUGUUUGGAUAUUUCUCAAAAUAGGAUUUUUGGAGAAAAGGGAAAGCUUCCAAAAAGUGCAUCCCUUGCAUACUCUUGAUGGCAAGCAUUUCUGAACUCUGGCAUAAUAAUUUGUUGUGGUGUUCUGAUACGAUUACAACACCAUUUGGCUUGGAGUAUGCGUUAUCUUUAUGUAACGAUAAAGUCUCGUGCAUGAGUGCUUUUUUGGAGAUAUUUUGUGGUCAGCAAUGGAUACGCUAGUGAUUUGGAUCAUCCUCGUGAGCUCCUCAUGCAUACCGGAAGGAAGCCGGGAAAGUCGUGGUCUUGGGUAGACACGAGCUUGUCCCUAGUCCCUCGUCGAGACGAGUAUGUCCGGCAUGGCAUGGUGAGGCUUGAUGAGUGGUGAUUUAUUCCACUAAUGGUAAUAUUGUUGGAGGAUACUUGUACCACCUGAGUCGGUCGUAGAUCGAGUUUUGAUCAGUAACUUCCUUAUUUGUUGGUACUACCACUUGUCCCUGUCGCAGACGGGGUAUGGUCCAGUAAGUUGUCAACCCCUUACCAAAGCACACACCAUACAGAGAGGCCAUGGUGGAAGAUACCGGAGGCAUCCGGUAGGCAUGCCACCUGGUCCGGGGGCAUGGGUGUUUCGGUUGUAGCCGAAGGGGUAGCUCCCCUAGUUUGCGCGCGGUAUAAAUUUUGUGAUCCCAUGCUACAUCGAGGUUGUAGCCUCCCCACUUAGAGUUUUGCUUGGCAGGUGUCGUGGGUGAUUCCAAACACCGGUGAGUUAAGCUGGUGUGUGCAGGUCAGGCGUUUUUUCAAUUAAAAGGCCGUAGGCGGAAUUAGUCCUGAUGGACUAAGUAAAUCCGUUACUCGUGGGAAAGUUGUACUCCCUCUGAAGAGGAUAUAUCCUGUUGGAUAGCCAUGUUCACAGGUAAGGACCACAGUCUGAGUGGAAUCUAGUAACGGUAUUCGGAUGGAGAACGAAUUAGCUAGAACUCAGUGAAGGUUUUCGGAUGGAGACACGGCUAACUGGAUCAUACUAACGGUAUUCGGAUGGAGAAUGAAUUAGCUAGAACUCACUGACGGUUUUCGGAUGGAGACACGGCUAACUGGAUCAUAGUAACGGUAUUCGGAUGGAGAACGAAUUAGCUAGAACUCAGUGACGGUCUUCGGAUGGAGAAACGGCUAGACUAGACUUUUGUUUAUGACCUGUGACAUCUGAGGAUCAUGUUUUAAUUUUGUUAUCAUUAUGGACUAACCAUUAACAUUUUGUAUUUUAUUGAGUGUCCCUGGGAUGGUUCUACCUCCUGGAUACUCAUUGUUUAUUUAUCUUUUAUAAGCCCUUUAUGUGGUGUCGCUCAGACGCCCGACUGCGGCAUGCUUGUUGUUUAUUUAUCUUUUAUAAGCCCUUUAUGUGGUGUCUCUCAGACGCCCGACUGCGGCAUGCUUGUUGUUUAUUUAUCUUUUAUAAGCCCUUUAUGUGGUGUCGCUCAGACGCCCGACUGCGGCAUGGCUACUCUUGCAUUUUCCUCUCGAGGAGUCAUUCAGACACUCGCUUGGCCCUCAGUAUUUUACUUUGGGAUUUCGGGAGGACUACCGCCCGACUUCUCUUUUGUUUCCCAUGCAUCAUUAUCUCUAUGUCUGAUUGCACUCGUUAAUCUGUUCUCAUGCAUCGUGUUUACAUUUGUUAUAUCUUAUGUUUGAACUAUCUUGCGAGUACUUUCAUAGCACUCACCCACGUACUGCAUGUUCAUAUUAUCUCUGCAUGCGAGCAGCGCAGACUUUCGUGGCAGACAUUGUGAUCAUAAUUAUUUCGGAGCAGGAGUGUCCCUUAUUAUAUUAUACCCGUGUUCUUAAUGUUUGCAAGUACAUUCAAACGUACUCACUGGCUUGUCCCUGGCUAUUGUCUUGGCCAGAUUCCUUGCUUGGAGAUAAGCAUCGCGAUGACGGCCCCGGUACUUGCGCAGCAACAAUAGCAGCCUUGCGAAGAUAGGAGUUAUCCUGGUUAGCUGUUCUUGUGGGAAAUGGAGUCCCAUAGACGCAGAUGUAUCCAACCGCUUCCGCCCUCAACCAUUAGAAACCAAAUGUUGUACUCCUAGGCCACAAUGGUCUUGUACUACAUAUUUUUGUACCUUGCUUGGAAUUCUUGUAUCAAGUUGGUGCCUCAACAGCUAACAGUAAUCCUGGGGCUGGUGAGCACAAAGGCCGUUUUUCUGGGAAAUUAUUAUCCCAAAAAUCCGGUCGUGACAAGAUUUGAAGCUGCAAACCGGAGAAAUGAUAUUUAGCAUCCAUUGUUUGCUUCGAACUAAGAACUAAAUUCUAAGAGCUGAAAAGAAAGUAGAGUAACCAAGUUAAGGCCUAUUUUCUGGUUGAGAUCAAAAAAUUGAGGAGAUAUGAAGUACCACCUCUCUUGCGGCGCCGUGUAGGCAUCGGGGGUGCGAUGGCUAUCGGUGGUGUUGAAGCAGAUAUGCGACGAUAGAUGGGUGCAUCGGGGGAUAAGUCCCGUUGCGGUGGAAGAGAAGGUCGUGUGAGCGGCCCCGGCAAAGAGGACGACGGCGCCGAUGAAGCGAGAGGACGUGAUGCAAGGCUAUUGGUCCGUCACCGUGGAUGAGAAACGUCCAUCUCUAGCAGUGGACGACGCGGUUUUGGUAGGUGCUCCGGCAUGGUGGAGGAUGGUGGCGAUGGAUGUGGUGGAGGACGGCGGCGAUGGAUGGGGUGGAGGACGGCGGGGAUGGAUGGGGUGGCAGACGUAGGCUGGUGUGGGGAUGGUGUUCUAGCGCGGACGGUGUAUGAAUGGGAAAAUGGAGGGAGAGGUACAAGGAACCAUGUUUUUGGGACGCGCCUGUCUGAAAUAUGGGAAAGUUACGAACUUAGCCCCCGUUUAAAAUUCGGAAGAAUGGUCGGUUGGGGAUAGGACGGUAAUCUCGGAUCUCGCCAAUAUUUGCCCAGAGCGAUUUCGGGCGAGGAGAGGGUGGUUGGCACCCAUGGUUGGCACCGGUGUAUGAACGGGGAUGACAGGUAGGGCGGUUGUGUCACGUCUGAGUGAAGUUACAAACCUGCCCCUAUUGAAAAUAUUUGCCUACAUCGAUUUCGGCCGAGUCGAGUUUGUUUUGCCGCCCACCGUGUAUGAAUGGGGAAAUGGAGGGAGAAACACAGGUCUUUCGGACGAGCUUGAAUCAAAUGUGUUUUGCCGCCCAUGUUUGGCGCCCACCGUGUCGAAAUGGCUCAGAGGCGGUCGUGUCACGUCUAAUUGAAGUUACUAACCUACCCCUAUUUAGAGCAGUGGAAAUCGGGCCGAUGGAUCGUCCGUGUAAUGGGUAGACAGUAAUUUCCAUCUCACAAACACUUGGCUUCGGGCAGCCGACGUGGGAGUGGACAUUUUGCCGCUUCUUUCGAAUUUUGGGACAAUAAGCAUCCACGUUUACCCUGGCAACUAAAUUCGAAUCCAUUUUGUAUUCCUAUACGAAUCUUCAUAAAUCAUUCUAUGUGUUUUUAUAUAUCUUCAAAAGGACAACAAAGAUGUAUUCCCCUGUCAUAUAUGAAUAUGGUUUACAAAUGCUGAUACUCAAAUUCAGAAGCUAGAUUCCAGUUUAAGGUGAAUUCGAAUAUUUGGAACACUUCAUGUCCAACUCAAAUGUCACACGCAACAUAAUGUGUACUCCCAUUUAGAUAUGUACACAAGCAAUGUAUCAAGAUUCAAAUACCGAGUCAAUCAACCAAGAAUGUACAGAACUAACAGACAUAUAAACACUUAUAGAGUAUGUGGAUCAAUAAUAUCAACUAACAUACAUAAGCCAGGCCGCUGUACUUUUUUUGCUACAACAGCAUCCUUUUUUUAGCCAAGCUACUACAGCAUCUUGGCCCUUUCCGAUUCGUGCCACUUAUGGUCCAUCUAUACUACUAUUAUUGCUGAAUGCACAUUCAGCCCGAUUGGCAUAUUUGUAGGUCUGGCACAUCAAUCAAAAUGAAAUGUCUCUGGGUCUUAUCAAUUAAUACAGACUUGUGCUCAAAUGAAAUUACAAACCAAAAAACAAAAAACAAUUAUUACAUGAUCUCUAAAACAAAUGGUUCGAUUGAUUACAUGAACAAACAACACAAAGGUUAUUCAACGAUGGAAAUACCAUUUCACCUAUGAUUUACCAAGUGGGAAUUUAAUUUCCUUUUUUCCUUCAGGACCUUAACAAUGUGGUUAGUCUCAGCUUGCUUCAUUUUGAAAUCCACCAAAUAUUUAAUGGUUGUCUUGAGUACUGCUUGUGAUUGUGGUGUUUGCUUCCACAACAUGUCAACUUUAUCUCUAAGUGCAGAAGCAGAAUCUCUUUCUACCACUAGUUUAGCCUCUAGAGCAUCAGCAGUUGGCAAUUCAUAAUGCACGAUUGGGCCGGUGCCACUACUGUGGGAUGAUACAACGUCCAUGGGGACCUCGCUCUUUGAUCUUGGGCUAACUGUUUUGCCAUUAAAGUUCUGAUAGGAUUCAGAAAAGUUGAAGUUAGCAAAAUAUCUCAACUGGGAGUUAUAACAGCAAACCAGUUAAACAAACAAGGAAUUAAAGAGUUUCAAUUGGAUGCUGAAAAGUCGUUAUUAACAUCAUUAUAACCUGUUGUUGCAGCAGCAAAGCAGUUAAACAAACAAGUAGCUAUUUAAGUUCAGGCAAACAGGUAAUUCUUAACAGUAAGUAUCAAACACAUAGAUAGGCGCAGUCUAUAAUAGGAUUAACAGGCUGUGGCAUCAUGUAAUCAGUAGAAAACUAAAUUAAGCCAAGCAACGUAAUUGAACAAUUUUGCAAUAAGUGGCUAACUAAUAUUCCGAGAAGCAGGUAACUGAACUUACGCUAGUUCUUUGUACAGGCACACUGCUACUUCUUUUUCGCUUACAAGGUUGUACGAAGGAGUCCAUGACAUUAAUUGCUUGGAUACGCAGUCCCAAUACUUAUUUCUUCCCACACUGCAUUGGUAAGUCGAAUGGUUAAUCUGGUAAGGUGGUGCAUCCUUGAUAUGUUAUAUGAGGACGUGUAGUCAGACUAGUUAUAGCCACACACAUCAAACUGGCUUUUACUGUAUAUUUCAUGUAAUUACUUUUGGCAUAUCGAGAUCUAAGCAAUCUACAAUAGGAUGAAAAGACUGGCAUCCUUCACAUUAUUGGCGAACUCAGUUCAUAGAAACAAGCAAUUCAACCAUUCUGUGGGUAAAUCAAAAGCGCCACUGGAAUAUUUUUCACUACCCCAAUUAUACACGCAAAAAGGGGCGACCCACCAUAGGGGCUGGUAUGGGCAGCCGCCUCGGGAGGCUGGAAAGUGUGCACCUAGUUUGAGUCGUCCAGGUUGGCCCAGGCUAGUUUUGUUCGUCCCAACACACGAGCAGGCAAUGUAAAAAAUGAAGAAAAAUGUUUCAAUUUGGAUGGGCCAAUAACAUAAGUGCAAGGCAGGCCCUAUAGCAGGCUCGCGACCCAAAUGAGCGCCUCCCAUAUCGAUCGACAGCAGGGAAAAUCCCAAUUCAUUCGCUCCAGCCUCUAGUCUGGUUCGCUCCUAACCUAGCCGCCGCUGGACCGACCGAGACAUCACUUCCUUGCGCCCUCGUUGGAGGGCGGUCGCCGGGCUUCAAGCGAACGGAAGGACAAGAAGAUGAAGAUCCAACCCUGGGUGUAGCCUGCGCGGGAGGCCGCGGCGGCAGCACGGGCAUGGCAUCGAGCUUGCGCAAACGGAUAGUCGCAGCUUGCAAUAUUAGCAUGCGUAACGAGCAGGUACAUCACAUCCCUGAUUAUAUCUAAUUCAACUCUUCAAUUUCUGGACAAUAGUUAAACCUAACGGUGUUGUAAAACUGCUUGUAUGUAGGGAAUCUAUGAGAAAAUGAAACCAAUUUCUACUCAUUUUAUAACUCCCCCAAUCAAUACUGAACUGACUGAAUCUGAUGUAUCUAAUCAAGUUUCCGGUGCAAACAUACAAGCUCAUGUUGUUCUUGAGCCUAAAGUGUCUAAUGAACUGACUGCUAAUGAAGGAUUUGAUGCAAACAUUUUACAUGCUCCUGGUGAUGAACAUAUAGUGUCUAAUGAGGGAUCUAAUGCAAGCAUUUUCCAAGCUCAUUGAAGGAUUUAGUGUCUAAUGAUGAUCUGCUAUGUUGAGGGAGACAUAGAGAUUUGCAGGCAUUGAUGACAAGCAAAUUAUAGUGCAUUUUCAUAGCUUGAGGAAACGUCGAGGCCAUCUACCAGAAAGUCGCCGUAUCAUGACAACAUAGCAUAAAUACUUUUCUAAUCUGUUGUUUGAAACUAUUGGCAUACUUGUGCAUUAUAGAUAUAUUGAUAUGCAGUUUGCGCACUGGUUAUAGGUGCAAUUACACUUUAUUUUCAGCCAGAGAGCGAAUAAUUCAAGAGGUACAUACCACGUUUGUAGUCCUUGUACACCAUGUUGCAUUUUCUGUUUUUUGGUGCUUGCAUCAUUUAGUGUUUAUAAUCUGAACUACUUUGGAUCAUUAGCUGGUUUUCAAAGUGCAUGUAGCUUCACAUUUCUCAAGUUAUGUUGAUUUCCGGAGUGCAAGUGCCUUCGUAUUUUUUAAGUUAAAUGUUCGCCCCUAGUAACUUGAAUUCGUGGAUCCGCCACUGCACACAAAUCAUACACGAAUGCCAGUAAGAAUUAAAUGAAAUGCAGGGACUUACGCUAGCUCGUUAUACAGGCUCACUGCAGCUCUGCUUGCGCUUGGGAUGUUCCAUGUACAAGUCCAUGUUACCACUUGCUUGGAUGUGUAGGCCUUGUGCUCCUUGCAUCCCCCUCUGCAUUUUUGACACGGCGAAUGGUUGAUCAAAUAAGAGGAAUCGACCUUGAUGUUGUACCAGAGGACAGAUAAUUACAAGGUUAUACGGGUGUGCAGGACGUGUACCAGAUCCCGUAGCGCCGUCAUGCUUCGCUAAAAAAUGGAUUUGCUUGUUUCAGAUGAUAUCUCCAGAAGAAAUAAGAGUUAAAGUCAGAGUUGCAUAGGCGUGUAAGCUAAGAGAGCAGUGAAAGGAUAUCCAAACAUCGUCGGAAUAGUGCACAAGGGAGUGAUGUGUGGAUACCUAGUUCGGGCCGGCGUUUGGGCAUGCUCGCCUAGCUAGAGUGCGGGUCACUUCAGAGCCGUUGAGGGUGAUGCGCUGGUGUUGGUUGGCCGCGCAUGGACGCAGAUCUUGAGUGGCAGCGGAGCGCUACAAUGCGGUGGACGAGACCGUUGGUGAAGCCCCAAUGGCCUCGGGGGGCGGAGGUGCGACGAUGUGCUCGGUGAAGUAGCCUAGGUGAGCAGGGAGACGGCGUCGGUGAAGCGCACCUGAUGCGGUGGAAGUCGGUGUCUGUGAGGCACGUCGGUUGCGGCGGCCGACGUUGUCAGUGGACCACCCGGUGCGGUGGACGAGGGCGUAGAUGAGGUAGCUCCGGUGCGGUGGUGUAGCGUGACCGUCGUCUUCGUCAUCGUCGUCCAGCACAAAGGUGGGGAAAGAGAUGAGACGAGGGGCGAUUCGAACUUUGCUUGGGUUGGCAGCGAAUUAGGGAUUUGAGCAUUCUGGGCGCGGAAGGGGACGGUGGAGAAGGGAGAUUUUGCAAGGCUAGAAUUGGGGCCGCCAGAUAUUUCAAUCCGAAACGUGGAAGCGCGAACUUAUUUUGUCGUCGUUCUUAUUCAUGGGGGGUGGGGGGAGGUAGGGGCGUGGGUGGCUGGGUGCUACGCGCCCGUCCGACACACGCGACCACCACGACACGACCCUGGUCUGCCUGGUGCGCCUACAUUUGAGAAUGCAAACGAAUCUUCUUUCAUUUGCAAACGAGUCUGUAUGUAUUACUAUGCCCGUGUUUUCCUUGCAAUAAUUAGUCAUUCAAAACGAGAUACUCCCUCCGUUCACUUUUGUAAGUCGUUUCAGACAACUUAAAAUGAACUGUUUUGCACAUUGUCUGAAAUGUCUUCAAGGUCUUAUAAAAGUGAACAGAGGGAGUACUAUAAAUUAAUUAAUGAGGAGUUAUUUGAAAAAAAAUCGAAAAGGUAUCCACGGUAUCCAUGCUAACGUGAAUUAGAGUGUGUGUCACAUAAUUUUUAUUUGAAUUAGAGUGUGUGUCAUGUAGAGAUCUCCAAUCCUAACGUGGAUUUCGCAUUUCACUAUAUCCAUGCUACUUUUUUAAUACAAAUUCAUAUGUAUAUGAUGAACACAAUGGUAGUGAGAAAACUUUUGGAUGGAUUCUAACAUAUGACCUACCAAAUAGCACAACAAAUCGAGUCAAUGUUAACUUUUCGAAACCUAGUAUGGCACGAAUUCGAAAUAAUUACCCAUAUGCAUGGUCCUUAGUUCAAAUCUUACAAUGCACACCGAAUUGAAACAUCAAUAUUAAGUCUCGUACUAUCUACAUUCAAAUGUUGUUUUUAGCCCCCCCCCCCCGCAACCACCCUGUAUCGGUCAAUCUUCCUCUCCUAACCACCUUAGGAAGGUAUCGGUUUCCAACACACGUUCAUUCUUUCUCUCCAUGUUUCGAUCUCUAACUAUCUCAACUACACAGCCCCCUUUUUCCACUCUGUUACCAAAUGUAUUUACCUCACACACCCGCCAUUGCACACCAUGCCGAGCUCUCUCUCUCUCUCCCUCUCACCCUCUCACGCUAAAUUAAUACAUGCAUUGCCAAUCUAGCCCCCCAAUCUCUCAUGCGCAUGCACACACGUUGUCUAUCUAGGUCACUCCCUCGAGACUGUCUCACUCUUUCUUCCGCACGGCGAGCCACACUCGCUCAAUCUCGCUCUCUUUAUCUGAGUCUUGUUUAACCUCAUUUUCUUUCACACACAAAUGAUAUCUCCCCCUAUUCGGGCCUCGAUCGACACACUCUAUACUCUCUCACGCAGAUUGUCUAUCUAGGUCAGUUCAUCCAAGCCGCCCCCACUCUUUCGACCUCAUGGCGGGCCACGCUCGCUCAAUCUCUCUCUCUCUAUAUAUAUAUAUAUAUAUCCCUCUCUCUCUCUCUCUCUCUCUUUGUAUGUCUCGGUUGACCUCGCUCUUUCUUGAAAAAUGAUAUAUCACCAUGUUUGAGCCCAAUUCGACCUAUUCACAUUGUAUACUCUCUCACGCACAUUGUCUAUCUAGGUCACUCUCUCCAACCCGUCUCACUCUUUCGAUCGCACGGCGACCCUAUGUGAUCGAUUGACCUUGCUUCCUCCCACGCACAAAAUAUAUCUACACGUCUAUGACUGGAUCAUCUCUCAAGCUCUAUCUUACAGCCCUCACCCUUGCCAAAACCUCAAUCGGACAAUAUCCCUCCAGAGCAUAUAUAUCUUGUCAAUGAAUGUCGUACCACACUCACUUUGUCUCUCUAUCUAUAUGUCUCUCGAUUGACCUCGCUUUCUCACACCGUAUCUUCCACGCAUUGAAGCUACCUCUCCAUCCCUCGCAAAGCCGGGGCUAUUUACAUUGCGAGGGGCACUCCAACCUUGGAUUAAUUUGUAUAGGCAUUUAUUCUGGUCGGUUUAGAUUAUAUUUUCGUAGCAUUCGACCCACAACUACUCCAAACACCGUUGCAACUCCCGCAACUCCCCUAGUUGAUUUCCCUCUGGCUCGGUCAUCGCUCUCUCGCACGUCCUUUCUCGCCUUCAACGUAGAACCAUGGUAUUAUUCCAAAAAAAUCUAUUGUUCUCUUUAAUUAUUAUAAAUAAGCUACAAAACUACACACCGAUAGACCACUUGGAAUGGAACAAAUUUUGACCCACAAAUUAAAGUGCUACAAACUACACACUGAGGGGCCCACAUGUCAUGAAACAAAUUUGGACCCAUAUACAAAUUAAAAAAUAAAGGACGAGGAUCAAACAUGCGACCAGGGGCUUCAAGCUGCACGUCAAUAGGCAACAUACGUAGAACAACAAUGUUUCUUGUACCCCCCUUUGUUCACAUAAUGUUUUUAUAUUACCAUAGCCUAUUUAAUGGAUAACAUGUAAUAUUAUUUUAGUACUAUUCGCCUUCACUUACUGGUGGGUUCCAUGUGUACUCUCUCUCUCUCCUCCCCGUGUGCGUUUAGACGCAUGGGCAAACACGAAGAACUCGCGGGCGAUGUUGCCGUUGACCAUAUCUGGACGCGUUCACAAGUUACGGCACCAGUUUCACAUACUAGCAGCACUAGUCAGUGUGUACGUGCAAUGCACGUUAAUUUCGAAGUAUAUUAAGUGCAUGCGGAUAUUAAGUAGGAUAUUAUUUGCAUGUUAUUAUGUGAUUAGCACUAUUUUUGCCAUGAAAUUAACUGCACGCUAAACGUGUUGAGCGCUCAACAUUGAAGCGGUCUAGGUCGUUGGAUGACAAGGAAUACAUGUGGCUUGAUGACGUUUUAUAUUUAAUUUGAUACGGCUCUACCAGAACAUUCAAUCGAUCAAACCAUAGAUUUCUUUUUGUCUGACUCCGACUUUAAUUUAAACGACGAUCGAUAUAAAAUAAACGAAAAUGAUAAACAUUCGGAUUUUAAGCAUGGCAAUCCGAACGUUUUUCAUGGCAAAUUUAGAUUACGCGGCGGCGGCGGGGGCGUUUUGUGGUGGGAAGCGGCUCCUCUGCCGUGCUCUGUGUGUCGUCGGGCCACUGACCGACAUCGACGGCAUCAUCUUGCGCCGUUGUUGGCGUACUCCUGGACGUUGGCCUAGCUUCAAGGAAGGCCAAAAUGUUCUGGACUUUGGAGCAAGUGAACUUGCGGGAGGAGGCGACUGGCGUUGGUGCAAGGAAGCGGUCGACGGCGGCCAUCCAUGCCGCUGAGGGGGGCACUGGCACCAGCGGAGGGAAAGGCGCUGUCAACAGCGCGGCGGAGACAUUCGUGUGCACGGGCACCGGCACGGGCGCGCACGUCAGUGCACGCGCAGGCUCAUGCGCUGGCAGGUGAAACAGGCACCGGCACGGGCGUGCGCGUCUGUCCAUGCGCAGGCGCAUGCACUGGCAGGUGCACAGGCGUGUGAAAGUCGGCGGGGACCUCGUGGAACCCUGUGGCAUCAAGCUCGGCGACAAUGUGUGGCUCCCAGCCCAUCAAUGCCACGGGGAUGGGUGCUGGCGUAGUCGGUGCGACGGGAGCCGGAACGGGAGCGGGCACAGGCGCGGCGUCUUCCCGCAAGGCCAGUUCAAGCUCGUCCCAAAGCGCCUUAUGUUCUUGAGACUCCGGCUGGGUGUCUUUGUCAGGAAACUGGAAGACUAAGGGCAGACCAUCAUGAUGCGGCAUGGCGUACGUUUAGGUCAGGCUAGUUGGAGGUAGAUGACAGGAGAAUCGGAGAGGAAGAGAGAAGGUUGUAGCGAUACCGGGUAGUGCGGGGUUGACUUUAAACUGCGGUGCCGGCGACAUUAAAAGUGGGAGCAGUUGGGACGAAGGUGGGCGGCGGAGCCUGGUCAAAGGGCUUGCCUGCCGGUGAGCCUACACAGCGGUCUGCUCGCAUGCCUCCUUGUCAGCCGGCGCAUCGGUAUGCUCGCACGCUUCCCGUCGACUCACACGCUUGCUCGGACGACACCUGCCGAUGAGAAGCGGGACUCGUGGCGGCACGUAAACGCCCACGGUUUCAAUACUGAAAGCGUUCGCCUUAACGUGACAGGUCUUUGUUCCAAAAUACCUUGGCUCUUCAUUUGUGCAACUUGUCAUAAUCAGCUUGUCUCAAAUUGAAGAAAAAAAUUACGAAGUAAUAUUUGUGCCAUAUCACGUGACCAUGCUCAGUUUCGAGAAUUUAUGGUCACGUUUGGAUUUUCUGAAAUUUAAGAUCCAGGAUUCGAAACAAUAUCAUAACCUGCAUCAUGCAAUAAAUUUUCAAGCCAUACAUCUGUCCUGUUGUAUUUCUUAAGAAAGGAUUUGGUCAAACAUUUGCUUAGUUAGACUUCAGACAAGUUAUAUAUGCAGAGUAAAAGGAUAAUCCCUCUGUACCAGUGCAUUGCCUGAUAUAUUAACUCAAGUACUAGGCACGAACAAAAGGGCUCAAUUUUGUGCUCAUCCUGGUGUAGUAGUAGUACUAGGCAAUGCAGUUGACGGGUGAACUUAGCGAGCGGCGACCGAGGGAAUUGAACCGUGCUCGGCAUGGUAGGUAACGUUGUCUAGUUACUAAAGCAUCCCUCCGUUGUUCAUCUGUAGUCAUUAUGGACCGGGGACAUGAGGGGAAUUUCCUAGGGCUGGAAUUCUGGCCGCCACAUAUUUCGACUCGAAAUGCUGAGGCUCGACUGGUUGGGGUUGCCUAAUGUGCGUACUUCGAGAAUACGAAAGGAACCUUUUAAAUUGCCGAACGAAUCUAUGUGUAUUACAAUGCCCGUAUUUUCCUUGCAAAUACUAAUCUCAACGUGGUAAAUGAUUUAUGACGAGUUGUUGAAUUAGAGUGAGUUUGUGAUAUAGUGAUCGCAAUGUGGAUUUCACAUUUCAUGGUAUCCCUAGUAAGUUUUUCAAUGCAAAUUCAAAUUUAAAAGAUGAACAAUAUAGAGGUGAGAAAAUUUUGUAUGUAUCAAGCAUAUGACCACACACAUAGAGAGACACAGACACGCAUGAACACAACAACAAUCCAAUAAUUAUAGAGCAUCUAUUUUUCCAAACCAUGCACGUAUGACACGAAUUCAAAAAUACUCCUUCUAUUCCUAAAUAUUAGUCUUUUAGAGAUUUCAACAAGUGACUACAUACGGAGCAAAAUGAGUGAAUCUACACUCUAAAAUAUGUCUAUAUACAUCCGUAUGUGCCAGUCCAUUUGAAAUCUCUAAAAAGACUAAUAUUUAGGAACGAAGGGAGUAAAAUUUAAGACAUGCAUGGUCCUCAAUUCAAUAUUUAAAAUGAACAUGAAACUGAAACAUGAAUAUUAAGUCUAGUACUAGAGUUCAUGCAAAUGUUGUGUUUAGGCGGAGCUAUGAUUGUCGGGGGUCAACCCCUCGACCUUAGAUAAAAUUGUGAAGCUCUGUUUAGGGUUGUUUAGAUUAUAUUUGUCCCCACCCUCCCAACCACCGAUUGGUUGUGCACCCCCCACCCCUCCUCACCGGGAGAAUAUCAUGUGCCUCCAUUGUUGGGGAACGUAGUAAUAAUUCAAAAUUUUCCUACGUGUCACCAAAAUCAAUCUAGGAGAUGCUAGCAACGAGAGAGAGGGAGUGCAUCUUCAUACCCUUGAAGAUCGUUAAGCGGAAGCGUUACAAGAACGUGGUUGAUGGAGUCGUACUCGCGCCGAACGGAUGGCGCCUCCGUGUUCAACACACGUACAGCCCGGGGACGUCUCCUCCUUCUUGAUCCAGCAAGGGGAGAGGAGAAGUUGAGGGAGAACUCCAGCAGCACGACGGCCUGGUGGUGGAGGAGCUCGUGGUUCUCCGGUAGGGCUUCGCCAAGCACUACGGAAGAUAGGGAGGAGUUGGAGGAGGAGAGGGCUGCGCCAGGGAAGGGGUGUGGCUGCCCUCUCUCUCCCUCACUAUAUAUAUGGGGAAGGGGGGAGGAGGAGGCGCCCUAGGGUUCCCUAGGGGAGGAGCGGCGGCCACAGGGGAAACCCUAGAUGGGUUUGGGCGCCCCCACCCCUAGGAAACUUGCCCCCCAAGCCGGGACGUGUGGCUGCCCUAGGGGUGGCGCCCCACCUCUCCAGGUUACGUGAUAUGGGGUGGGAGUGGCGCUCAGCCCCUUAGUGGCCUGAUGUGCCCCCUCCCAUUGGCCCAUAAGGCCCCCCAACGCUUGUCGGGGCCUCCGAAACCACUUUCAGACAUGCUGGUCGUCACCUGGUACCCCCGGAACAAUUCCGGACUCCAAUACUCUUCGUGCAAUACAUCGAUCUUCACCUCCGGACCAUUCCGGAGUUCCUCGUCACGUCCGGGAUCUCAUCCGGGACUCCGAACAACCUUCGGUAACCACAUACUAUUUCCCAUAGCAACUCUAGCGUCACCGAACCUUAAGUGUGUAGACCCUACGGGUUCGGGAAUCAUGCAGACAUGACCGAAACAUCUCUCCGGCCAAUAACCAAUAUCGGGAUCUGGAUACCCAUGUUGGUUCCCACAUGUUCCACAAUGAUCUCAUCAGACGAACCACAAUGUCGAGGAUUCAAACAAUCCGGUAUACAAUUCCCUUUGUCAAUCGGUAUGUUACUUGCCCGAUAUUCGAUCGUCGGUAUCCCAAUACCUCGUUCAAUCUCGUUACCGGCAAGUCACUUUACUCGUUCCGUAAUGCAUGAUCCCGUGACUAUAUGCUUAGUCACAUUGAGCUCAUUAUGAUGAUGCAUUACCGAGUGGGCCCAGAGAUACCACUCUGUCAUACGGAGUGACAAAUCCCAGUCUCGAUUCGUGCCAACCCAACAGACACUUUCAGAGAUACCUGUAGUGUACCUUUAUAGCCACCCAGUUACGUUGUGACGUUUGGCACACCCAAAGCAUUCCUACGGUAUCUAGGAGUUGCACAAUCUCAUGGUCUAAGGAAACGAUACUUGACAUUAGAAAAGAUUUAGCAGACGAACUACAUGAUCUUGUGCUAUGCUUAGGAUUGGGUCUUGUCCAUCACAUCAUUCUCCUAAUGAUGUGAUCCCGUUAUCCAUGACAUCCAAUGUCCAUGGUCAGGAAACCGUAACCAUCUAUCGAUCAAUGAGCUAGUCAACUAGAGGCUCACUAGGGACAUGUUCUGGUCUAUGUAUUCACACAUGUAUUACGAUUUUCGGUUAAUACAAUUAUAGCCUGAAUAAUAGACAAUUAUCAUGAUCAAGGAAAUAUAAUAAUAACCAUUUUAUUAUUGCCUCUAGGGCAUAGUUCCAACAGUCUCCCACUUGCACUAGAGUCAAUAAUCUAGUUCACAUCGCCAUGUGAUUAACACUCAUAGUUCACAUCGCCAUGUGACUAACACCCAAAGAGUUUACUAGAGUCAAUAAUCUAGUUCACAUCACGUGUGAUUAAGACUCAAUGAGUUCUGGGGAUUGAUCAUGUUAUGCUUACGAGAGAGGUUUUAGUCAACGGGUCUGCAACAUUCAGAUCCGUGUGUUCUUUGCAACUCUCUAUUUUAUAUUGUAGAUGUUGCUACUAUGCUCCACUUGGAGUUAUUCCAAAUGGUUGCUCCACUAUACGUAUCCGGUUUGCUACUCAGAGUCAUCCGGAUAGGUGUUAAAGCUUGCAUCAACGUAACCCUUUAUGCUGAACUCUUCAUCACCUCCAUAAUCGAGAAAACAUUUCCUUACUCCCAAGGACAAUUUUGACCGCUGUCCAAUGAUGCACUCCUGGAUCAUUCUUAUACCCCUUGCCGGACACGUGGCAAGGCACAUCGCGGUACGCUGCAUGGCAUAUCGUAUAGAGCCUAUGGCUAAGGCAUAGGGGACGACUUUCGUUCUUUCUCUUUCUUCUGCCGUGGUCGAGCUUCAAGUCUUAACUCCACACCUUACAACUCAGGCAAGAACUCCUUCUUUGACUGAUCCAUCUUGCACUCCUUCAAGAUCAUGUCAAGGUAUGUGCUCUAUGAAAGUCUUAUCAGGCGUCUUGAUCUAUCUCUAUAGAUCUUGAUACCCAACAUGUAAGCAGUUUUACAUAGGUCUUCCUUUGAAAAACUCCAUUCAAACAACCCUUUAUGCUUUCCAGAAAUUCUGCAUCAUUUCUGAUCAACAAUAUGUCAUCCACAUAUAUUUAUCAAAAUGUUGUAGUGCUCCCACUCACUUUCUUGCAAAUACAAGUUUCUUGCAAAUUUUGUAUAAACCCAAAUGCUUUGAUCACCUCAUCAAAGCGUAUGUUCCAACUCCGAGAUGCUUGCUCCAGUCCAUAGAAGGACCGCUGGGGUUUGCAUACCUUUUAGCAUCCUUAGGAUCGACAAAACCUUCUGGUUGUAUCACAUACAGCCUUUCCUCACGGAAACCGUCAAGGAAACUUUGUUUUGACAUCCAUCUGCCAGAUUUCGUAAAUGAAAAUGCAGCAACUGCUAACAUAAUUCUAACAGACUUUAGCAUCGCUAUGAUUGAGAAAGUCUCAUCACAGUCAACUCCUUGAAUUUGUUGGAAACUUCUUUGAGACAAGUCGAGCUUCAUAAAUGGUGACAUUACCAUCAACGGCUGUCUUCUUCUUAAAGAUCCAUUUAUUCUCAAUGGCUUGUCGAUCAUCGGGCAAGUCCAGCAAAGUCCAUACUUUGUUCUCAUACAUGGAUCCUAUCUCUGAUUUCAUGGCUUCCAGCCAUUUGUUGGAAUCCGGGCCCACCAUUGCUUCUUCAUAGCUCAUAGGUUCAUCGUUGUCCAACAACAUCAUCUUUAAGACAGGGUUACCACUCAGAAGUUGUACACACCCUUGUCGACCUAUGAGGUUUGAUAGUAACUUGAUCUGAAGCUCCAUGAUCAUCAUCAUUAGCUUUCUCUUCAACUAAGGUAGGUGCCACAGAAACAUUUUUCUGUGCUACGCUACUCUCUGGUUGAAGUAAAGGUUCAACAACCUCAUCAAGUUCUAUCUUCCUCCCACUCAAUUCUUUUGAGAGAAACUCUUUCUCGAGAAAGGACCUGUUCCUCGCGACAAACACUUUGCCCUCAGAUCUGAGAUAGAAGGUACACCCAAUCGUCUUGUUUGGGUAUUCUAUGAAGACACAAUUUUCCGCUUUGGGUUCGAGCUUUUCUGGCCGAAGCCUAUCGACAUAAGCAUCGUAGCCCCAAACCUUAAAAAACAACAACUUAGGUUUCUUGCCAAACCAUAGUUCAUACGAUGUCAUCUCCAUGGACUUAGAUGGUGCCCUAUUUAAAGUGAAUGUAAUUCUCUCUAAUGCAUAACCCCAAAAUGAUUGUGGUAGACCGGUAAGAGACCUCAUAGAUCGCACCAUAUCCAAUAGGGUGCGAUUACGACAUUCAGACACACCAUUAUGCUAUGGUGUUCCAGGUGGCGUCAACUGUGGAACGAUUCCACCUUGUCUUUAGUGAUUGCCAAACUCAUAACUCAGAUACUUUUCCCUUGAUUAGAUCGUAGGAAUUUGAUCUUCCUGUUAUGAUGAUUCUCAACUUCACUCUGAAAUUGCUUGAACUUUUCAAACGUUUCAGACUUACGCUUUAUUAAGUAAAUAUAUCCAUAUCUACUCAAUUCAUCGGUGAAGGUGAGAAAAUAAUGAUAUCCACUGCACGCGUCAACACUCAUCGGACCGCACACAUCAGCAUGUAUGAUUUCAGUAAGUUACUUGCCCGGUCCAUUGUUCCAGAAAAUGGGGUUUUAGUCAUCUUGCCAACGAGGCAUGGUUCGCAUGUGUCAGGUGAUUCAAAAUCAAGUGACUCCAAAAGUCCAUCGAUAUGGAGGUUCUUCAUGCGCUUUACACCAAUAUGACCUAAGCGGCAGCGCCACAAAAAGUGGUACUAUCAUUAUCAACUCUACAUCUUUUGGCAACAAUGUUAUGAACCUGUGUAUCACUACGACCGAGAUUCAAUAAACCAUUCAAAUUGGGUGCAUGACCAUAGACGGUAUUAUCCAUGUAAACAGAAUAACCAUUAUUCUCAGACUUAAAUGAAUAACCGUAUUGCAAUAAACAAGAUCUAAUCAUGUUCAUGCUCAAUGCAGACACCAAUGCAAACAACAUUUAUUUAGGUUCAACACUAAUCCUGAAGGUAGAGGGAGCGUGCGAUGGUGAUCACAUCAACCUUGGAAACACUUCCAACACACAUCGUCACCUCACCCUUAGCUAGUCUUCGUUUAUUCCGCAGCUUUUGUUUUGAGUUACCAAUCAUAGCAACUGAACCGGUAUCUAAUACCCAGGUGCUACUAGGAGUACUAGCAAGGUACACAUCAAUAACACAUAUAUUAAAUAUACUUUUGUUGAAGUUGCCAGCCUUCUUAUCUACCAAGUAUUUGAGGCAGUUCCGCUACCAGUGACCGUUCCUCUAAUAGAAGAACAUAGUCUCGGGUUUGGGUUCUUUGGGUUUCUUCACUGGAGCGGCAACUGGCUUGCCAUUCAGGAAGUUGCCCUUCUUUCCCUUGCCCUUCUUUGAAACUAGUGCUCUUGUUAACCAUCAACACUUGAUUCUCCUUCUUGACUUCUACCUUUACGACCUUAAGCACGACGAACAGCUCCUGGAUCAACUUCCCUUGCAUGUUAUAGUUCAUCACGAAGCUCUAGAUAGCUUGGUGAUAGUGACUGGAGAACUCCGUCAAUCACUUCUCUUAUCUGGAAGAUUAACUCCCACUUGAUUCAAGCGAUUGAAGUACCCACACAUUCUGAGCACAUGCUCACUGGCUGAGCUAUUCUCCUCCAUCUUGUCGGCAAAGAUCUUGUCAGAGGUCUCAAACCUCUGAACACGGGCAUGAGCCUGAAAUACCAAUUUCAGCUCUUGGAACAUCUCAUAUGUUCCAUGGCGUUCAAAAAGCUUUUGGAGCCCCAACUCUAAGCCGCAAAGCAUGGCGCACUAAACUAUCAGGUAUUCAUCAAAACAUGUCUGCCAGAUGUUCACAACAUCCACAGACGAUGCCAGAGGGGUUGGCGCACUGAGCGGUGCAUCAAGGACAGAAGCCUUCUGUGUAGCAGUGAGGACAAUCCUCAGACUACGGCCCUAGUCCGCAAAUUUGCUUACAAUAUCUUUCAACUUAGUCUUUCUCUAGGAACGUAUUAAAACAAGGAGCUAAAGCGCGAGCUAUUAAUCUACAACAUAAUUUGCAAAGACAAUUUAGACUAUGUUCAUGAUAAUGAGUUCAGUUAAUCAAAUUAUUCAAUGAACUCCCACUCAGAUAGACAUCCCUCUAGUCAUCUAAGUGAUACAUGAUCCGAAUCGACUAGGCCGUGUUCGAUCAUCACGUGAGACGGACUAGUCAUCAACGGUGAACAUCUCCAUGUUGAUCGUAUCUACUACACGACUCAUGUUCGGCCUUUUGGCCUCUUGUGUUCUGAGGCCAUGUCUGUACAUACUAGGCUCGUCAAGUCAACCUAAGUGUUUCGCAUGUGUAAAUCUGGCUUACACCCGUUGUAUGCGAACAUUAGAAUCUAUCACACCCGAUCAUCACGUGGUGCUUCGAAACAACGAACCUUCGCAACGGUGCACAGUUAGGGGGGAACACUUUCUUGAAAUUUUAGUGAGGGGUCAUCUUAUUUAUGCUACCGUCGUUCUAAGCAAAUAAGAUGUAAACAUGACAAACAUCACAUGCAAAUCAUAAAGUGACAUGAUAUGGCCAAUAUCACCUUGCGCCUUUGAUCUCCAUCAUCGAGGCGCUGCAUGAUCACCUUCAUCACGGGCAUGACACCAUGAUCUCCAUCAUCAUGUCUUCAUGAAGUUGUCUCGCCAACCAUUACUUCUACUACUAUGGCUAACGGUUAGCAAUAAAGUAAAGUAAUUACAUGGCGUUUUUCAUUGACACGCAGUUCAUACAAUAAAUUAAGACAACUCCUAUGGCUCCUGCUGGUUGUCAUACUCAUCGACAUGCAAGUCGUGAUUCCUAUUACAAGAACAUGAUCAAUCUCAUACAGCACAUAUAUAUAAUUCAUCACAUCCUUUUGACCAUAUCACAUCACAUAGCAUACCCUGCAAAAACAAGUUAGACGUCCUCUAAUUGUUGUUGCAUGUUUUACGUGGCUGCUAUGGGUUCCUAGCAAGAAUGUUUAUUACCUACGCAAAAGCCACAACGGUGAUAUGCCAAUUGCUAUUUACCCUUCAUAAGGACCCUCUUCAUCGAAUCCGAUCCGACUAAAGUGGGAGAGACAGACACCCGCUAGCCACCUUAUGCAUCAAGUGCAUGUCAGUCGGUGGAACCUGUCUCACGUAAGAGUACGUGUAAGGUCGGUCCGGGCCGCUUCAUCCCACAAUGCCGCCGAAUCAAGAUAAGACUAGUAAUGGUAAGCAAAUUGAACAAAUCAUCGCCCACAACUACUUUGUGUUCUACUCGUUCAUAGAAUCUACGCAUAGACCUAGCUCUGAUACCACUAUUGGGAAACGUAGUAAUAAUUCAAAAUUUUCCUACGUGUCACCAAAAUCAAUCUAGGAGAUGCUAGCAACGAGAGAGAGGGAGUGCAUCUUCAUACCCUUGAAGAUCGUUAAGCGGAAGCGUUACAAGAACGCGGUUGAUAAAGUCGUAUUGGCGGCAAUUCAAAUCGCGGAAGAUCCGAUCUAGCGCCGAACGGACGGCGCCUCCGCGUUCAACACACGUACAGCCCGGGGACGUCUCCUCCUUCUUGAUCCAGCAAGGGGAGAGGAGAAGUUGAGGGAGAACUCCAGCAGCACGACGGCGUGGUGGUGGAGGAGCUCGAGGUUCUCCGGCAGGGCUUCGCCAAGCACUACGGAAGAGGGGGAGGAGUUGGAGGAGGAGAGGGCUGCGCCAGGGAAGGGGUGUGGCUGCCCUCUCUCUCCCUCACUAUAUAUAGGGGGAAGGGGCGAGGAGGAGGCGCCCUAGGGUUCCCUAGGGGAGGGGCGGCGGCCACAGGGGAAACCCUAGAUGGGUUUGGGGGGUCCCCACCCCUAGGAAACUUGCCCCCAAGCCGGGAGGGUGGCUGCCCUAGGGGAGGCGCCCCCACCUCUCCAGGUUAUGUGAGAUGGGGUAGGAGGGGCGCUGAGCCCCUUAGUGGGCUGAUGUGCCCCCUCCCCUUGGCCCAUAAGGCCCCCCAAUGCUUGCCGGGGCAUCCGAAACCACUUUCGGACACGCUGGUCGUCACCCGGUACCCCCGGAACAAUUCCGGACUCCAAUACCCUUCGUCCAAUAUAUCGAUCUUCACCUCCGGACCAUUCCGGAGUUCCUCGUCAUGUCCGGAAUCUCAUCCGGGACUCCGAAAAGCCUUCGGUAACCACAUACUAUUUUAAAAAACAACUCUUAGCGUCACCGAACCUUAAGUGUGUAGACUCCACGGGUUCUGGAAUCAUGCAGACAUGACCGAGACAUCUCUCCGGCCAAUAACCAACAGCGGGAUCUGGAUACCCAUGUUGGUUCCCACAUGUUCCACGAUGAUCUCAUCGGAUGAACCACGAUGUCGGGGAUUCAAACAAUCCCGUAUACAAUUCCCUUUGUCAAUCGUUAUGUUACUUGCCCGAGAUUCGAUCGUCGGUAUCCCAAUACCUCGUUCAAUCUCGUUACCGGCAAGUCACUUUACUCGUUCCGUAAUGCAUGAUCUCGUGACUAACUGCUUAGUCAAAUUGAGCUCAUUAUGAUGAUGCAUUACCGAGUGGGCCCAGAGAUACCUCUCCGCCAUAUGGAGUGACAAAUCCCAGUCUCGAUUCGUGCCAACCCAAUAGACACUUUCGUAGAUACCUGUAGUGUACCGUUAUAUCCACCCAGUUACGUUGUGACGUUUGGCACACCCAAAGCAUUCCUAUGGUAUCCGGGAGUUGCACAAUCUCAUGGUCUAAGGAAAUGAUACUUGACAUUAGAAAAGCUUUCGCAGACAAACUACACGAUCUUGUGCUAUGCUUAGGAUUGGGUCUUGUCCAUCACAUCAUUCUCCUAAUGAUGUGAUCCCGUUAUCAAUGACAUCCAAUGUCCAUGGUCAGGAAACCGUAACCAUCUAUUGAUCAACGAGCUAGUCAACUAGAGGCUCACUAGGGACAUGUUGUGGUCUAUGUAUUCACACAUGUAUUAUGAUUUCUGGUUAAUACAAUUAUAGCAUGAAUAAUAGACAAUUAUCAUGAACAAGGAAAUAUAAUAAUAACCAUUUUAUUAUUGCCUCUAGGGCAUAUUUCCAACAUCCAUACCUUAGAUGCUCUAUGCCGAUACGAUUUGCUUGGAGCUUGUAGAUCUGAGAUAUAGCAGCUCACGUGAUGUCUUAAUAUUUUUACAAGAAACCUUGAUGAGUUUGAGAAUUGCACACAAUUUGUACAAAAACUACUCAGAUGCCCUUGGAUCCCAUACCCAACGACCUCGAAGCUUGUAUCACCGUAGCAUCUAAGAUGAAGGAGGACAUCAUAUUCUCCUGUAUGUAAGAAUAUCAUGUGCUACCACACCUUAGAUGCUUUGGUGAUACAAGCUCUUCGGAGCCGUUGGAUUUGUGCCCCAACACCUCCUCGGUGGUUCGAAUGGUUUUUUGCAGAAAAGACCCCAAAGAGUUUGGCCACUGCUUACAAGCACAAAGACUGCUCAGAUGCCAUUGGAUCUCAGAUCAAACGACCUCGAAGCUCGUAUCACGGUAGCAUCCAAGCUGCGAUAGCACCUUAUGUUUUCUCGCACGGGAGAAUAUGAGGUGCUCCCGCACCGUAGAUUCUAUGCUGAUACGAGUUCACUAAGAUCUAACGGCCCACGGUAGGAGGUUUGAAUGUUUUUGCAAUCUACGACUGAGAGAGUUUGGGAAAUGUGCAGAAAGUACAAGUACUACGCAUGUGCCAUCUGAUCACUGAUCAUACGGCCUAGAUGCUCAUAUCACCGUAGCGGGUAAUUAAGCUACGGGGAGCACCUAAUAUGAGCAACGGGGAGCCGUUGGAUCCAAGAUGCAGUGGCACACACGAGGCCUGAAUGUUUUAUUUGCAAAAAAACCUUUGGAGAGUUUGGAAAUUGUGCAUAAUUACAAAGACUACUCCCAAGCCAUUGGAUCUCACUUCCAACGAUGUAAAAACUCGUAUCACCAUAGCAUCUAAGAUGCGGGGUGGAUGUGAUAUUCUAUGCUGCUGUCAUUUUUCUUCGUAAACUUGCAAAAUAUGUGUGACUCGUGCUGUUACUUGUCUAACCGUGCAAAGGGUUUGUUCAAAAAAACCAUCCUACACUGAAAUAUCGGAACAACACAUGGGGGUCCCACUAGUCAUUAAUCAAAUUUGGACCCUAAACUAACAAAUCUGAAAGACGAGAUUCAAACUGGCAACCUCGACUACAAAGCGUAAGUCGAUAGCCUGAAACAACAACGGUUGUUGGCUUUGUCCCAUAACUUGAUUUUAUGCAGUAUUGCGUUGAGUAGAGUAGAGGGAGUGCCUCGUCAACACGUGCAUGACCAUUGACUCACUUACUGGUGGGUCCCAGGUCUGUGAUCUCUCUCUUCUCUCCAUCGUCUAACCUUUGCACGGGCACACAGAAGAGCGGCGCUAGCUUGCCGUGGUGUUAUUACAACUAAAAAAAGCUUGGAAAAUAGAAGAAUCGCCUAGAACAAGAGACGUUGUGGCUGGUCGAGAUGGAGCUAAUCACAUCUAUCCUCCGUGCCACGUUAGCAUGAUGAAGCUGUGUGGCUAGUGGGGUGUUUUCGACCGACUGGCUGGGUUCAAGGUCGAACCAUAGGUAUAUUUUUACACGCACAUUUUUCCUCCGUGCCGAGACGUGGCACACCCUAUCACGCGGUUUCAGGGUCCUCCUGGGUGGUGCACGCAUAUAUUCUUCCUAACAUGGGACGCCCUACCGCGCGUUUUCUGGGUCCUCCUCGGUCGUAGCGCCGAAGCAAGUAAAUGAGUCGUCAAAUCACGAAAGACCACCUUUCCCGCCGAGUACAUCAAUGAAGCACGGUGGCUAGCUAGUUGGGCUAGUUUGACCGAUUAGCUAGGCCGCUGCCACAUUUGUUUUUUCACCCUUUUUUAUCUACUUGCCGCCAGGUAAAUUUAAUUAUCCACCGCGGCAUUGCUCUGGUGUUUGGGUGCGGCAGGAUUUUUAAUUUUUUGAUUGAUGGGAGCAGGUGCGGCAGGAUUUUUAAUGUUUUGAUUGACGGGAGCAGGUGCGGCAGCAAUUAGUCAUGAUGACUCCGCCUGUAAAACCCACUGCUCCCUGAUGUGAGAAAUCGUCGACUGGUGUUUUACCAUGGUGAAAACCAAAAGAUUCCCCGCUCCUCGGCUGGCUCCCUCCGCCUUCCCGUACAUUGCACUGCCUUUCAGCCGUUUUGCCCCCUUUGCUUCCUCUCCCCAUUGCUUCUACCUGGUGCCAUGGCGGCGCAGCAGAUCACGGAGUCCGAGGUGUGGCUCCUGACACAGGAGCUCCAGGCCAAGGAUGUGAAGCUCAGGGCCAAGGACAUGGAGCUCCGUGAGCUCAAGGAGGAGAGGAGUGCCAUGCUCCUCCAUUAUGUGCGGGAGUUCACAAAGCUUCAAAAGCGGCAGGCGUCCACCACAAAGAUGCUCGAGGCAUCGGCGUCGUUGCUGCAGAAAGCGGGAGAUACGAUAGGCCGUCAGGGGAGCCGGCUGGAGCGCGAGCGGGCCGAUCGUGACGAGGUCCAGGAUCGCCUCAGCCACUUGGUGAACCAAGUUGCCACACACGUGUUGCGGCUGUGCAAUGCCUACCGUCGUGCCAGCACGACCAUGCCGGCCAUUGGGCUAAACCGGUUUGACCACCCGGUCGACUUCAACGAGCUGCGGCUUCCUGACCUGGUCUCCUUCUUCACCUAUAUCUCCGAGGAGCUGAGCCGUCUCCGCGCGAUGGUGGGGGCGGAGCUGGACAAGGAGGGGUUGCAGGCUGCCCUCGCCAUUGUCGGGCGAAUCCUUUCAGGGCUCCGUCAUCGGAAUCCAUUCAUGCCAUUGGACGCCGUCUUUGAUGAGCUGGCUCCCGUCGACCGGGAGCGGGCUCUGCGGGCGGUUGCCCCUGCAUCACCAACAUCGUGCGCCUCGAGAAGGAGAGGGACUUCGGUGGUGUUUAGGCGCCCUCUGCAUGGGCAUGUCCAUGUCUCGGCGCAACAUGACCGUUGGAUCAAACUCAGACGGUGUAGAUCAGUCACUGUAGCAGAAAGCGUGUGGGUGUGUUUGGUUGCAUUCUCAUCUCAAUGUAGUUGUUUCCUCUUCGUGUAUUUGUGUUAACCUACUAGUGUGGACUGAUGCACCCUUCAUGCACUCUGCCAAACACCCAAAAGUGGGUCGAGAAGGGAACUUUUGCUCCCAUCCCGUGCACCCUUCAUACACCCUGCCUAACACUAUUCGUGCUUCAUAUGGUUCAUGUUUCAUGGAGUACUGUAGCACCGUAGUCUUCGUGCAUUGUAGACCUAGUUCUGUUAACAUUGAUCUCACGGUUCAUUCUCGACCGGACAGUCGAAAAAGCGGUACUAUGUUACUACAUUAAUGUUCAUAUAGUUGACAUGCGCACAACAUCAUUUGUUAUCGUCCUAUCUUACUACACUAGCAACAAGAUUAUGUAGUACUGACGUAUGAACCACUGCACAUGCCUAGCAGUAGGAGCAUUCUGUAUGUUCAAGUGGCUGUCGUGUUUCGCACUCCUCCCUCGUAAGAGUGGAAACGCUUGCUGUAAUCAUUUUUUCUUCAGAAAAACAGUGGACAUGCUCUACCGUGCGGAUCCUCCUCCAGCCAUGCACUAAAUUACUCACUUUCGCAGACGUGUGGGACAGCGAGCAUCUGGGUCCACCAGCCAUGCACUAAAUUACUCCGUAGUAGAGUGACGGUAGACUACCCCGAUCGAAGCGCCGCAGUAAUGCCCAACGAGCCGUCAAAUCACAAAACCCCCUCCUUUCCAGUAGUAAGUUGGACGAACGAAGCAACCAUCAUUUCACUCUUCUCUCUCAGCUUCCUCUCUUGAAGAAAACCCCCACCACUCACUUCGCUUCUCCCUCAUCUCGUUCUCAUUUCACUCUUCUCUCUCAGCUUCCUCUCUUAGAUGGACGCUGGAGCACCGGCCGACGUGAUGUCUAUGGCUCUGGCCAAAACCGUCGAGGCUCAUGGUACGAAGAAGUGCAAGCCCCGCCGAGACUACCGCAGACAAGCUCAAAGCCAUCACCCUGCCGAAGCCCCCCUCUCCGCGAUCCCUCAUUAAGCAAAUCUAGGUAAUAUCUCUUCUUGAAGAUCUUUUUCUCGAUCUUGAUCCUGUUUUUUCAUCUAACACGCAGUAUUAGUACUAGUAGUACAACUUCUGGGUGAUCUUGCAUGUGAUUUUAGUGUGCCAAAUGACGGUUCUAAAUUCCUCUUUUGACCAAAACAUGUGACAGGUUGACACUGAUUUCUUAUAGAUUACUUUCAACUACUCCCUCUAUCCCAAAUUUCUUGUCUUAGAUUUGUCUAGAUACGGAUGUAUCUAAUACUAAAAUGUGACUUGAUACAUCCGUGUCUAGACAAGUCUAAGACAAGAAUUUUGGGACGGAGGGAGUACUUUAUGAACAUCAAUGCUACCUUUGAAGAGGGUAUAUUUGCCUCAGUAACUUGUGUUAUGGAUAUUGCAAGUAAUCCCUCUACUCUCAUGCCUUUGAAGACAUGUUCUAGUGUCUUUGUUCACUCAUUUCUGUGCGUAUAUGUAGUCAUAUAUGGAGUAUAAUAUCGAAAAUCAUCUUAUAUUUCUGAACGGAGGUAGUAAUAAAAUAUGGUUUCAGUUUGAAUUAGAACCAGGUCCGCGGUGGAGAUGAAGUUCUCAAAGUCAUGCCGUGUGAACUGGAAGACCCGAGGAUGAGUUCUACUGCUAAACUAUCGAGCUGCUGUGUCCUUCUCGCCAUGUGUCCUGAACUAGUGUUUUCCUGUAGCAUUGUUGUCAGGCGUGUUCUCGAGGCUGUACUUGACCACAACAAUUUCCUGGCUGUGCCUUCGAUUACGAAGGGUGUGGUUCUUGUAAAGCUUCCCAACAAAUCUGAUGCGGCCUGUCUUCAUCAUCAUGUUUAUGAGUGGAAAGACCACUCUGUUAGGUUCUCCAAGGUUGACGAGAUGGUGCUGGUGCAUGUAGACAUCUCUCAAGAAGUCCAUGGCCUAGUCAGUUAUGCGGGGUUCAUCCCGUAGGUCGGUGGCAAGAAAUAGUCUGCAGAGUUUAAUUAGUGCAACUUUGCUUGUCUGUAGUAGGUACUAUUGUUUAGUACUUGAUUUGUGUUUGUGAACCCUAUAUUGUUUAUUAGUACUGCCGCUUUUGGUGUGUGGUCAGUCCUGAGAACGGUCUAUGUUAAUGUCUGUCCACUCAAUUCAGUCUGUAUAUUUUGAAGUAUCCAGAUCAUCUUUUUUGUGAGGACGGUUUAUCAAUUAUGGUUACACUCCAAUAUCUGUAUGCAUUGCAGGGUUUAUCGCACCCACCAGGAUUUCCAGUCCCAUGGAUGUUCGGUCCAUAUGACUUGUCACGACCUUUGGAUUGUCCUGCUUGUGGAAGUAGGCGGGGCCCCUGCAUGCCACCCGUAGUUGGGCGAUCAAUCUUCUGUUUAGUACUUCAACAUAGUGAUUUCCUGGUAAGGAUUCACUCGUGUCACAUCAAGUAAAUCUUAUUGAUUUACUGUCUAAAUCUUAUUGAUUUAAUGUCAUGUUUUCUUUCUUUUCCUGCAAUUUUACGAUGCAAGUUGUGCCAUGUGACAUUCAUCACAGAAUAAACCGUUUGGUUUGCUCUACGAUGGAUAUUUUUGCAGGUUUCACUUCUUAUGUCGUGUCAGUAACGAAGGCACUGUCCAUCACUUAUAUUAAUGGAAAAAAUUGGAUCAGUCUGUUGUCUGAGUACAAGUUGAAUCCCUAUGAUGAACUGCAGUUUGGUUUAAUAAAAACGCCACAAUUAGUCCUUCUUGCAUUUAAAAGAAAUGAAGAAAAAAACUGGAUCACGGUCACGGAUCCUAGUCAAGUUAGAAAGCUGAUCAUAGCAGACCAGACACGAUCGCCGCUAUCUCGCACAUCGGUACCACCCUCAGCAACGGAUCGAGCAUCAGCAGUUGCUCUAGCACUGACAGCGGCACCAACUCAGUCUGAUCCAGUAGAGGAUUGGGCACCGGCCGCGUCAGCGGAUCAGGCUAAUCUACCGGAGGAUCGGGCAUCGACACCGGCACCUGCUCCGACACCGGCACCAGCUCUACAAGGAGCACCAUCUCCGGCAGCAGCGGCGGCUUCGGCACCUGCACCAACACUUGCACUUGCAUCUGCUCCGGCCCGUGCAGCGGCAACCCAACGAGCGGUUGCACCGGCAAUAGACUGGGCUGCAGUUCGCACUUCAUAUACCAAUGUCCUUACAAAAACCGACAUGUCCACCUUCUUGGUAAGCAUUGGCCGCCCAAGUGCUUCGUUCUUUUUUAUUUCCAUGUUGUUUCACAUGAUUCACUGUGUUGAUGUAACUGUUUGGAUAUGUCUUCUUGUUUGCAAACAGAGAAUUCCUAGAGAAACGAGGGAGUCGUUCAACAAUCCGGGCGACCGCCGCCAAGUUUCUCUUACCAUGCGCAGCCUUGGUGUGAAUGAACCUGCUCAAUAUACCGUAAGUACAAAGGAUGGUCGCAUGACGAUUGAUGCUAAAGGAUGGUCAAGGUUCAAAUCUAAAUCAUAUCUUGCGGUAGGGGAUGAUGUCAAAAUCAAACUUUCUCGGCAAGGAGAGCUGGUCCAAAUCAACUUUGAAAUUCUUCAGUAGCAGCACGCAACUGCCGAACUGAUCUAUCCUCGGAGAGAUUUUGAUGUAAUAAUCUGGCAUGGUGAAACAAGUGUCCUGUGUGUAUAAGUAGUAUGACAGUAUUAUUUAUCACAUGGUAUAUCGUUGAUAGAAUUGCAACUCUCAUUGUUGGUUAGGAUCUGUCGUUCGAUUUCAUUCCAAUAGCUGCCGUGCUUUAUUCAAUUCUAUGUAUUAUCCUUGCGAUAGCAUCUAAAACCAGCGCCGUACCGAUCGCUUGCAAUAUGAAAAGCGCUGAGGUAGAACACAUGGGCCCCCAAACAUGCAGGGUGGGCCUGCGGCCCAAAGUCCAGAACCGUGAGCCUGUCUGAGUAUUAUAUUCUUAGCUGAACCCCCAUAAUGCCCGUGCGUUGCAUGUAACAUCAAGAUGCAUUUGUAUGAGUAUUUUAUCUUGUGAGAGAAAAGGAUGAACGAGGGAAGGCCUUAUUUGCAAAUGUGGAGAGAUGUGUGGGUACCUUUUUGCAAAAUUGCCAUAAUUUCCUUCCUAUCUGUCAGAUAUAACACUACUAGGGAAAUGAUUUUUAACGAUGGUAUAUGUGGUCGUUAAAUGUCAUAUUGUGGUCGUUAAAGAUCAGUAACGACCACAAUAUGGUGGUCGUGAUAGGCUCCAUCGUUAAAAGUAUUUUUUCGGCCGUUAUUCUUGUAACGACGGGAUGGUUUGUUGUUGUUAAUCCUGAGCCAACGACGACCACACUUCUAGUAUCAACAACCAUUUGUCCUCGUUAAUAAUUUUCCCGUGGUGAAAGAAUUAUCAUUAAUGGACACGUCAUAUUAUUGAUGACCAUUAUCUUUACUACUAUUUGGUUAAUUUUUAGCUACCACUUGUUUUUAAAAUGGUGAUCAUUUUUGUUUUUGUAGAACUUCAUGUUCGACAACCUUUAGAAUCGUUGACGACCACUCUAUGUAUCAUACAACAUUUGAAGAUUGACAUAGAAAUCAAUAUAGCCACAAGUUUUUGAAUAAUGAAAGAAUAUAUGCACUUCUUUAUUAAUAAGAAAUAAUAUAACGUAACAGAAUUCCGAACUAUAAUACUAAAAGUACUUAUCAGUUAAGAAAUAUGAGUCAAAAUCUAUCUAUAGAGGACCAAUGUACUUCCUCAUCUCUAAUUGGAAAACGAGAAAACUAAUAAGAUAAAAUAUAUUAAUCUUCAGUCGAGGGACGCCAUCAUUGUUGUCAUGGAUGUCUGCUUUGGCUAUUCCAAUGCCUCCUCGUGUUUGUAUAACUUAUGGUAGACCAUCGACUCUACAAGACAUUGAAUAAUUUAUAGAACUCAGUCCAUGUAAAAAAAUUCGCACAAAAGUGUAUGAGAACAACUUACUCGAUUGUGCUGGCUUUCACGAGGGUUCCUACUUAGUUAAGCCCGCUUUUUCCCUGCAAAACAAAACAUUGAAUUACAGGCAGAAAUUAAUUAGUUCCAGUUCAUAAGGUGCUUGUGUAAGAGCAAUGUGAACAAGUUCCAAAUUUGUAACCAAGGUAACCUCUCGUGUUAGUUUUAGCUAGAUGCAGGUAGUUUCAGUACCAAUCAGAAAAAAAAAAACAUUUUAAAACCACGUGGUAAGCAUAGAGCCAUGGACGUCUUAGUUCAAUAUCUCACAUAAUGAUAUACAUGAGUAUUUGAAUAAAAUCAUUGUCUAACCGGAUAGAUCAGUAGAGUAAUGAACUCUAAAGGACGACUAGACUAGUACAACAGCCAAAGCAGAAUGAAACCAAAACUUAAAAAACCACCGACCAUGAAUCCUUUCACAUGGUACUAAUGCCCUUAUAUUGAUUAAAAUCAUUGACUCACAGGCAACGGAAACUCUACGCGUGGGCAUCCACUGCCGCGUCUUCCCCCGCUCCGCGUCAUCCCCUUCCUAGGCCUCGCCGUCAUCCACUGCCCUAGUGCUCUCGGCGCAGCGUGGUCAACGUGGUCAAGGAACGACUUCCAUCAGACAUGGACUGUACGUGGAGAGGCUGACAGCUGUGUCCAUGGCCGCAGCAAGGAAGUGCCUCCUUAUUACGCGGAAAAUAAUGAUUCCUCCACCUGACAGCAGGGACCAACUGAACGGGCCACCGUAUUUCGCGAAAAAAACGUUUCCCCCCUGACUGCUGGGACCUAGCAGCUACAUCUUCGCACGCAAGUCAGUGCGUCCAUAUUACGGGGAAAAAAUGAUUCGCCCCCUGACUGCUGUGACCCACCAGCUACAUCUUCGCACGCAAGGAAGUGCAUCCGGGGAAAAAAUGAUUCGCCCCCCUGACUGCUGGGACCCACCAGCUACAUCUUCGCACGCAAGGAAGUGCCUGACAGUCGGGACCCACCUGGUCGAUGAAGGAAAUAUGCCCUAGAGGCAAUAAUAAUGUUAUUAUUUAUUUCCUUAUAUCAUGAUAAAUGUUUAUUAUUCAUGCUAGAAUUGUAUUAACCGGAAACAUAAUACUUGUGUGAAUACAUAGACAAACAGAGUGUCACUAGUAUGCCUCUACUUGACUAGCUCGUUGAUCAAAGAUGGUCUGGUUUCCUAGCCAUAGACAUGAGUUGUCAUUUGAUUAACGGGAUCACAUCAUUAGGAGAAUGAUGUGAUUGACUUGACCCAUUCCGUUAGCUUAGCACUCAAUCCUUUAGUAUGUUGCUAUUGCUUUCUUCAUGACUUAUACAUGUUCCUAUGACUAUGAGAUUAUGCAACUCCCGUCUACCGGAGGAACACUUUGUGUGCUACCAAACAUCACAAUGUAACUGGGUGAUUAUAAAGGUGCUCUACAGGUGUCUCCAAAGGUAUUUGUUGGGUUGGCGUAUUUCGAGAUUAGGAUUUGUCACUCCGAUUGUCGGAGAGGUAUCUCUGGGCCCACUCAGUAAUACACAUCACUAUAAGCCUUGCAAGCAUUGUGACUAAUGAGUUAGUUACGGGAUGAUGUAUUACGGAACGAGUAAAGAGACUAGCCGGUAACAAGAUUGAACUAGGUAUCGAGAUACCGACGAUCGAAUCUCGGGCAAGUAACAUACUGAUGACAAAGGGAACGACGUAUGUUGUUAUGCGGUCUCACCGAUAAAGAUCUUCGUAGAAUAUGUGGGAACCAAUAUGAGCAUCCAGGUUCCGCUAUUGGUUAUUGACCGGAGAGGUGUCUCGGUCAUGUCUACAUAGUUCUCGAACCCGUAGGGUCCGCACGCUUAACGCUAUGAUGAUAGUUAUAUUAUGAGUUUAUAUGUUUUGAUGUACCCAAGGUUGUUCGGAGUCCCGGAUGUGAUCACGGACAUAACGAGGAGUCUCAAAAUGGUCGAUACAUAAAGAUUGAUAUAUUGGAAGCCUAUGUUUGGAUAUCGGAAGUGUUCCGGGUGAAAUCGGGAUUUUUCCGGAGUACCGGGAGGUUACCGGAACCCCCCGGUAACUUAAUGGGCCUUAGUGGGCCUAGGUGGAAGAGAGGAGAGGAGGCCAGGGCAGGGCCGCACGCCCCUCCCCGCAGUCCGAAUAGGACAAGGAGAGGGGGGCGGCGCCCCCCUUUCCUUCCUCCCCUCCACCUCUUCCCCCUCUCUCUCCUAGUCCAACAUGGAAAAGGGGGGAGUCCUACUCCCGGUAGGAGUAGGACUCCUCCUGGCGCGCCUCUCCCCUUGGCCAUCCGAACCCUCCCUUGCUCCUUUAUAUACGGGGGCAGGGGGGCACCUCUAGACACACAAUUGAUCAUUGAUCUCUUAGCCGUGUGCGGUGCCCCCCUCCACCAUAUUACACCUCGGUAAUAUCAUAGCGGUGCUUAGGCGAAGCCCUGCGUCAGUAGAACAUCAUCAUUGUCACCACGCCGUCGUGCUGACGAAACUCUCCCUCAACACUCGGCUGGAUCGGAGUUCGAGGGACGUCAUCGAGCUGAACGUGUGCUGAACUCGGAGGUGCCAUGCGUUCGGUACUUGAUCGGUCGGAUCGUGAAGACGUAGGACUACAUCAAUCGCGUUGUGUUAAACGCUUCCGCUUUCGUUCUACGAGGGUACGUGGACAACACUCUCCCCUCUUGUUGCUAUGCAUCACCAUGAUCUUGCGUGUGUGUAGGAUUUUUUUUGAAAUUACUACGUUCCCCAACAGUGGCAUCCGAGCCUGGUUUUAUGCGUUGAUGUUAUAUGCACGAGUAGAACACAAGUGAGUUGUGGGCGAUAUAAGUCAUACUGCUUACCAGCAUGUCAUAUUUUGGUUCAGCGGUAUUGUGAGAUGAAGCGGCCCGGACCGACAUUAUGCGUACGCUUACGCGAGACUGGUUUCACCGUUGCGAGCACUCGUUGCUUAAAGGUGACUGGCGGGUGUCUGUCUCUCUCACUUUAGUUGAACCGAGUGUGGCUACGCCCGGUCCUUGCGAAGGUUAAAGCAGCACCAACUUGACAAACUAUCGUUGUGGUUUUGAUGCGUAGGUAAGAACGGUUCUUGCUAAGCCCGUAGCAGCCACGUAAAACUUGCAACAACAAAGUAGAGGACGUCUAACUUGUUUUUGCAGGGCAUGUUGUGAUGUGAUAUGGUCAAGACAUGAUGCUGAAUUUUAUUGUAUGAGAUGAUCAUGUUUUGUAACCGAGUUAUCGGCAACUGGCAGGAGCCAUAUGGUUGUCGCUUUAUUGUAUGCAAUGCAAUCGCCAUGUAAUUGUUUUACUCUAUCACUAAGCGGUAGCGAUAGUCGUAGAAGCAAUAGUUGGCGAGACGACAACUAUGCUACGAUGGAGAUCAAGGUGUCGCGCCGGUGACGAUGGUGAUCAUGAUGGUGCUUCGGAGAUGGAGAUCACAAGCACAAGAUGAUGAUGGCCAUAUCAUAUCACUUAUAUUGAUUGCAUGUGAUGUUUAUCUUUUAUGCAUCUUAUCUUGCUUUGAUUGACGGUAGCAUUAUAAGAUGAUCUCUCACUAAAUUUCAAGAUAAAAGUGUUCUCCCUGAGUAUGCACCGUUGCCAAAGUUCGUCGUGCCCAGACACCACGUGAUGAUCGGGUGUGAUAAGCUCUACGUCCAUCUACAAUGGGUGCAAGCCAGUUUUGCACACGCAGAAUACUCAGGUUAAACUUGACGAGCCUAGCAUAUGCAGAUAUGGCCUCGGAACACUGAGACCGAAAGGUCGAGCGUGAAUCAUAUAGUAGAUAUGAUCAACAUAGUGAUGUUCACCAUUGAAAACUACUCCAUUUCACGUGAUGAUCGGUUAUGGUUUAGUUGAUUUGGAUCACGUAAUCACUUAGAUGAUUAGAGGGAUGUCUAUCUAAGUGGGAGUUCUUAAGUAAUAUGAUUAAUAGAAAUUAAAUUUAUCAUGAACUUAGUACCUGAUAGUAUCUUGCUUGUCUAUGUUAAUUGUAGAUAGAUGGCCCGUGCUGUUGUUCCGUUGAAUUUUAAUGCGUUCCUUGAGAAAGCAAAGUUGAAAGAUGAUGGUAGCAAUUAUAUGGACUGGGUCCGUAACUUGAGGAUUAUCCUCAUUGCUGCACAGAAGAAUUACGUCCUGGAAGCACCGCUGGGUGCCAGGCCUGCUGCAAGAGCAACACUAGAGGUUAUGAACGUCUGGCAGACCAAAGCUGAUGACUACUUGAUAGUUCAGUGUGCCAUGCUUUACGGCUUAGAACCGGGUCUUCAACGACGUUUUGAACGUCAUGGAGCAUAUGAGAUGUUCCAGGAGUUGAAGUUAAUAUUUCAAGCAAAUGCCCGGAUUGAGAGAUAUGAAGUCUCCAAUAAGUUCUACAGCUGCAAGAUGGAAGAGAAUAGUUCUGUCAGUGAGCAUAUACUCAAAACGUCUGGGUAUAACAAUCACUUGAUUCAACUGGGAGUUAAUCUUCCGGAUGAUAGCAUCAUUGACAGAAUUCUUCAAUCACUACGACCAAGCUACAAGAGCUUCGUGAUGAACUAUAACAUGCAAGGGCUGAAUAAGACAAUUCCCGAGCUCUUCGCAAUGCUAAAGGCAGCGGAGGUAGAAAUCAAAAAGGAGCAUCAAGUGUUGAUGGUCAAUAAGACCACUAGUUUCAAGAAAAAGGGCAAAGGGAAGAAGAAGGGGAACUUCAAGAAGAACAGCAAGCAAGUUGUUGUUCAGGAGAAGAAACGCAAAUCUAGACCUAAGCCUGAGACUGAGUGCUUCUACUGCAAGCAGACUGGUCACUAGAAGCGGAACUGCCCCAAGUAUUUGGCGGAUAAGAAGGAUGGCAAGGUGAACAAAGGUAUAUGUGAUAUACAUGUUAUUGAUGUGUACCUUACCAGAGAUCGCAGUAGCACCUGGGUAUUUGAUACUGGUUUUGUUGCUAAUAUUUGCAACUCGAAACAGGGACUACAGAUUAAGCGAACACUGGCCAAGGACGAGGUGACGAUGCGCGUGGGAAACGGUUCCAAAGUCAAUGUGAUCGCCAUCGGCAUGCUACCUCUACAUCUACCUUCGGGAUUAGUAUUAGACCUAAAUAAUUGUUAUUUGGUGCCAGCGUUAAGCAUGAACAUUAUAUAUGGAUCUUGUUUGAUGCGAGACGGUUAUUCAUUUAAAUCAGAGAAUAAUGGUUGUUCUAUUUAUAUGAGUAAUAUCUUUUAUGGUCAUGCACCCUUGAAGAGUGGUGUAUUUUUAAUGAAUCUCGGUAGUAGUGGCACACAUCUUCAUAAUGUCGAAGCCAAAAGACGCAGAGUUGAUAAUGAUAGUGCAACUUAUUUGUGGCACUGCCGUUUAGGUCAUAUCGGUGUAAAGCGCAUGAAGAAACUCCAUAAUGAUGGACUUUUGGAAUCACUUGAUUAUGAAUCACUUGGUACUUGCGAACCGUGUCUCAUGGGCAAGAUGACUAAAACACCGUUCUCCGGAACUAUGGAGAGAGCAACUAAUUUGUUGGAAAUCAUAGAUACAGAUGUAUGUGGUCCGAUGAAUAUUGAGGCUCGUGGAGGAUAUCAUUAUUUUCUCACCUUCAUAGAUGAUUUGAGCAGAUAUGGGUAUAUCUACUUAAUGAAACAUAAGUCUGAAACAUUUGAAAAGUUCAAAGAAUUUCAGAGCGAAGUUGAAAAUCAUCGUAACAAGAAAAUAAAGUUUCUACGAUCAGAUCGUGGAGGAGAAUAUUUGAGUUACGAGUUUGGCCUACAUUUGAAACAAUGCGGAAUAGCUUCGCAACUCACGCCACCCGGAACACCACAACGUAAUGGUGUGUCCGAACAUCAUAAUCGUACUUUACUAGAUAUAUUGCGAUCUAUGAUGUCUCUUACUGAUUUACCGCUAUCGUUUUGGGGUUAUGCUUUAGAGACGGCUGCAUUCACUCUAAAUAGGGCACCAUCGAAAUCCGUUGAGACGACGCCUUAUGAACUAUGGUUUGGCAAGAAUCCAAAGUUGUCGUUUCUUAAAGUUUGGGGUUGCGAUGCUUAUGUGAAGAAACUUCAACCUGAUAAGCUCGAACCUAAAUCGGAGAAAUGUAUCUUCAUAGGAUACCCAAAGGAGACUGUUGGGUACACCUUCUAUCACAGAUCCGAAGGCAAGACAUUCGUUGCUAAGAAUGGAUCCUUUCUAGAGAAGGAGUUUCUCUUGAAAGAAGUGAGUGGGAGGAAAGUAGAACUUGAUGAGGUAACUGUACCUGCUCCCUUAUUGGAAAGUAGAUCAUCACAGAAACCAGUUUCUACGACACCUACGCCAAUUAGUGGGGAAGUUAAUGAUAAUGAUCAUGAAACUUCAGAUCAAGUUAUUACUGAACCUCGUAGGUCAACCAGAUUAAGAUCGGCACCAGAGUGGUACGGUAAUCCUGUUCUGGAGGUUAUGUUACUAGACCAUGACGAACCUACGAACUAUGAAGAAGCGAUGGUGAGCCCAGAUUCCGCAAAAUGGCUUGAAGCCAUGAAAUCCGAGAUGGGAUCCAUGUAUGAGAACAAAGUACAGACUUUGGUUGACUUUCCCGAUGAUCGGCAAGCCAUUGAAAAUUAAUGGAUCUUCAAGAAGAAGACUGACGCUGACGGUAAUGUUACUAUCUAUAAAGCUCGACUUGUUGCGAAAGGUUUUUGACAAGUUCAAGGGAUUGACUACAAUGAGACUUUCUCACCCGUAGCGAUGCUCAAGUCUGUCCGAAUCAUGUUAGCAAUUGCCGCAUUUUAUGAUUAUGAAAUUUGGCAAAUGGAUGUCAAUACUGCAUUCCUGAAUGGAUUUCUGGAAGAAGAGUUGUAUAUGAUGCAACCGGAAUGUUUUGUCGAUCCAAAGGGAGCUAACAAAGUGUGCAAGCUCCAGCGAUCCAUUUAUGGACUGGUGCAAGCCUCUCGGAGUUGGAAUAAACGCUUUGAUAGUGUGAUCAAAGCAUUUGGUUUUAUACAGACUUUUGGAGAAGCCUGUAUUUACAAGAAAGUGAGUGGGAGCUCAGUAGCAUUUCUGAUAUUAUAUGUGGAUGACAUAUUGCUAAUUGGAAAUGAUAUAGAAUUUCUGGAUAGCAUAAAGGGAUACUUGAAUAAGAGUUUUUCAAUGAAAGACCUCGGUGAAGCUGCAUAUAUAUUGGGCAUCAAGAUCUAUAGAGAUAGAUCAAGACGCUUAAUUGGACUUUCACAAAGCACAUGCCUUGACAAAGUUUUGAAGAAGUUCAAAAUGGAUCAAGCAAAGAAAGGGUUCUUGCCUGUAUUACAAGGUGUGAGAUUGAGUAAGACUCAAUGCCCGACCACUGCAGAAGAUAGAGAAAAGAUGAAAGAUGUUCCCUAUGCUUCAGCCAUAGGCUCUAUCAUGUAUGCAAUGCUGUGUACCAGACCUGAUGUGUGCCUUGCUAUAAGUUUAGCAGGGAGGUACCAAAGUAAUCCAGGAGUGGAUCACUGGACAGCGGUCAAGAACAUCCUGAAAUACCUGAAAAGGACUAAGGAUAUGUUUCCCGUUUAUGGAGGUGACAAAGAGUUCAUCGUAAAUGGUUACGUUGAUGCAAGCUUUGACACUGAUCCAGACGAUUCUAAAUCGCAAACCGGAUACGUGUUUACAUUGAACGGUGGAGCUGUCAGUUGUUGCAGUUCUAAGCAAAGUGUCGUGGCGGGAUCUACGUGUGAAGCGUAGUACAUAGCUGCUUCGGAAGCAGCAAAUGAAGGAGUCUGGAUGAAGGAGUUCAUAUCCGAUCUAGGUGUCAUACCUAGUGCAUCGGGUCCAAUGAAAAUCUUUUGUGACAAUACUGGUGCAAUUGCCUUAGCAAAGGAAUCCAGGUUUCACAAAAGAACCAAGCACAUCAAAAGACGCUUCAAUUACAUCCGGGAUUUAGUCCAGGUGGGAGACAUAGAAAUUUGCAAGAUACAUACGGAUCUAAAUGUUGCAGACCCGUUGACUAAGCCUCUUCCACGAGCAAAACAUGAUCAGCACCAAGACUCCAUGGGUGUAAGAAUCAUUACUAUGUAAUCUAGAUUAUUGACUCUAGUCCAAGUGGGAGACUGAAGGAAAUAUGCCCUAGAGGCAAUAAUAAAGUUAUUAUUUAUUUCCUUAUAUCAUGAUAAAUGUUUAUUAUUCAUGCUAGAAUUGUAUUAACCGGAAACAUAAUACUUGUGUGAAUACACAGACAAAGAGAGUGUCACUAGUAUGCCUCUACUUGACUAGCUCGUUGAUCAAAGAUGGUUAUCUUUCCUAGCCAUAGACAUGAGUUGUCAUUUGAUUAACGGGAUCACAUCAUUAGGCGAAUGAUGUGAUUGACUUGACCCAUUCCGUUAGCUUAGCACUCGAUCGUUUAGUAUGUUGCUAUUGCUUUCUUCAUGACUUAUACAUGUUCCUAUGACUAUGAGAUUAUGCAACUCCCGUCUACCGGAGGAACACUUUGUGUGCUACCAAACUUCACAACAUAACUGGGUGAUUAUAAUGGUGCUCUACAGGUGUCUCCAAAGGUAUUUGUUGGGUUGGCGUAUUUCGAGAUUAGGAUUUGUCACUCCGAUUGUCGGAGAGGUAUCUCUGGGCCCACUCAGUAAUACACAUCACUAUAAGCCUUGCAAGCAUUGUUACUAAUGAGUUAGUUGCGGGAUGAUGUAUUACGGAAUGAGUAAAGAGACUUGCCGGUAACGAGAUUGAACUAGGUAUCGAGAUACCGACGAUCGAAUCUCGGGCAAGUAACAUACCGAUGACAAAGGGAACAACGUAUGUUGUUAUGCGGUCUGACCGAUAAAGAUCUUCAUAGAAUAUGUGGGAACCAAUAUGAGCAUCCAGGUUCCGCUAUUGGUUAUUGACCGGAGAGGUGUCUCGGUCAUGUCUACAUAGUUCUCAAACCCGUAGGGUCCGCACGCUUAACGUUAUAAUGACAGUUAUAUUAUGAGUUUAUAUGUUUUGAUGUACCGAAGGUUGUUCGAGUCCCGGAUGUGAUCACGGACAUAACGAGGGGUCUCGAAAUGGUCGAGACAUAAAGAUUGAUAUAUUGGAAGCCUAUGUUUGGAUAUCGGAAGUGUUCCGGGUGAAAUCGGGAUUUUUCCGGAGUACCGGGAGGUUACCGGAACCCCCCGGUAACUUAAUGGGCCUUAGUCGGCCUAGGUGGAAGAGAGGAGAGGAGGACAGGGCAGGGUCGCACGCCCCUCCCCCCAGUCCGAUAGGACAAGGAGAGGGGGGCGGUGCCCCCCCUUUCCUUCCCCCCCCCACAUCUUCCCCCUCUCUCUCCUAGUCCAACAUGGAAAAGGGGGGGAGUCCUACUCCCGGUAGGAGUAGGACUCCUCCUGGCACGCCUCUCCCCUUGGCCGUCCGAACCCCCCUUGCUCCUUUAUAUACGGGGCCAGGGGGGCACCUCUAGACACACAAUUGAUCAUUAAUCUCUUAGCCGUGUGCGGUGCCCCCCUCCACCAUAUUACACCUCGAUAAUAUCGUAGCGGUGCUUAGGCGAAGCCCUGCGUCGGUAGAACAUCAUCAUUGUCACCACGCCGUCGUGCUGACGAAACUCUCCCUCAACACUCGGCUGGAUCGGAGUUCGAGGGACGUCAUCGAGCUGAACGUGUGCUGGACUCGGAGGUGCCGUGCGUUCGGUACUUUAUCGGUCGGAUCAUGAAGACGUACGACUACAUCAACCGCGUUGUGUUAAACGCUUCCCCUUUCGGUCUACGAGGGUACGUGGACAACACUCUCCCCUCUCGUUGCUAUGCAUCACCAUGAUCUUGCGUGUGCGUAGGAAAUUUUUUGAAAUUACUACGUUCCCCAACAAUCGAAGCGUAUGUAGCGUUGUCAUUCUGGUCGCGAACGUGUACGUACAUAUUGGUCGAUGUAGAGGCGCGUACGUAGCAUGUACACUUACGUACAUCUGCCAGUGUGCAAGAAAGAAAAUACGGUCACGUACGUACAUACAGACGGGGUCUCAAACGCCUACUCGCGCAUACGUACGGCGAGGACUGGUGUACAUGGCUGGGUCGGAAUGGAGAAACAUCGUCGUCGUCGUGUUCAUGGGGAGCCACCCGGCUGGGUCGGAACGGAAUGCGUCGUCGUGUUCAUCGGGAGGGCUUGGACGGAACAGGCGAUGGAAACAGUGCCUGGCGUACCGUAGAACGGAGGAAACGGCCUUGUGUUCGACCGUCCACGUUCGAAACGGGAUCCUGUUCAUCGGGAGGGGUCUGGCGUACCGCAAAAACGAAGGAAACGGACUUGUGUUGGACCUCCUACGGUCGAAACGGGGUCCUGUUGAUCGGGAGGGGUCUGGCGAACUGCAAAACGGGGGAAACGGACUUGUGUUGGAGCGCUACGGUCAAAACGGGGGUCCUCUUCAUCGGGAGGGUGUGGCGUACCGCAAAACGGGACUCCACGGGAUAUUGUUCAUCUCCACCGUCGACCUCCUCCAGCCUCCAUGGGCUACUGUUCAUCCACCGUCGACCUCCUCCAGCCUCCACCUGCGACUGUUCAUCCACGGGCUCCUGUUCAUCCAGCCUCCACCGUGCGCUACUCCACCGGCUACUGUUCAACCACCCCUCUCCACGGGCUCUUGUUCAACCACCCCUCCACGGGCUACUGUUCAUCCACCCCUCCACCAUCUACUGUUCAUCCAGCCCUCCACGGGGUCGUCCUGUUCAUCCAGCCCUCCACGGGGUCCUGUUCAUCCAGCCGCAACCGGCUCGAUCGAUCGGGGUCCUGUUCANNNNNNNNNNNNNNNNNNNNNNNNNNNNNNNNNNNNNNNNNNNNNNNNNNNNNNNNNNNNNNNNNNNNNNNNNNNNNNNNNNNNNNNNNNNNNNNNNNNNNNNNNNNNNNNNNNNNNNNNNNNNNNNNNNNNNNNNNNNNNNNNNNNNNNNNNNNNNNNNNNNNNNNNNNNNNNNNNNNNNNNNNNNNNNNNAACACCACGGGGUCCUGUUCAUCCACCCCCAUCGCUCACUAUUCAUCCAACCACCCCCCCCCCGCAACGCUCACUGUUCAUCCAGAGGCAGCAUCGAUCAGCUUCAGUUAGCAGCAAUAGCGAAGGAAUCGCUCGAGCGGGUUCAGUUAACAGCCAUCGGCUCGGGUUCAGUAACGCAUAGCCUGCAGUGCAAUCGCUCGGGUUUAGUUAGAGCCCAACGCCUCGCUCGGGUUCAGUUAGAGCCCAACGCCCUGCACGCACACGUGUAUGUGUAUGAGUGAAACGCGCAAACCUCCGUGCAUCGCUCGGCCCCGACCACCCACCGUAACCGGGAACUCACCGAAACUUUCCUCGCCCUUGCUUCUACCACGGUUUUUUCCGUCAUGGAUGGCCCAAAGAAUGUUAUGCAGCUGCAUCUCCGGCCCUCCCAGGACGAAAAGCCCAUUUCCUGUCAUGAUUUUUUGUCAUAGAAGUAGGAGCCCCCAACAUCUAUGAUGAUACCGGGUUUUGUCACAAUUAUCGUCAUAGAUGUGUCAUAAGUAUGACAGAUUUUUUUUUCGUUCGGCCCAAAAUGUCACGGAUGUGUCUUUUUUUGUAGUGUCGAGGAGCGCCUGCAGUGCAUGCAUGAGCUUCUCACCGUUGCGAACAUGCAGCAUGAAUGCCUUGACGCUCUCGCAGCGUUCGAAUCGCACCGCACCAAAGAGCCCGAGCAACAGAACACGGCGUCUUCUCCACGCCACACUGAGGCUCAUUCCGGCCGGACCCGAACCUGGCGCAACUGCACCCUGACGGCUGGCGGCGACCUAGGCAACGAGCUGGCUGUAGAAGACCGGUGCCGGCAAGACCCUCCCCCGCCAUCCGUCCGGCGUGGCCGUCCAGCUUCAACUGACCCGGCUCCCCAUGGCCUAGUCGCAACCUGGCUGGGCCCGCGCGACAUCGACAACAACGACGCUCGCGACCACAUCGAGCAACUCGCCCUUUCCCUCGAGUUGGAGGAAGAUAACGCGGUCGGGCCAGCUUCCUUCAACCCGCGGAUCCGCGACAAGCCCUUCCACAAAGGGUUCACGCUCCCUCGUGACACCCCCAAGUACAAUAGGAUCGUCAAGCCAGAGCACUGGCUCAUAGAUUAUACCACCGCCACUGGCAUCGCAGGCAGCAACCGGCGUCGGGCCGUGCGCUAUGCCCCGGUCAUGCUCCAGGGCUCGGCCCGGAUAUGGCUGAACAGCCUGCCGGCUAGCAGCGUCAACUCGUGGCUCAACUUCGAGCCCUUCGUGCGCAAGUUCACCGGCACCGACAAGCGACCCAGCCGUCCCAGUCAGCUUGCCAUGUGCGUGUAGGGGCUGAGCGAGACCAAACGUGAGUACCUUGCAUGCUAGAAUGAGCUCCGCAACAACUACGAGGUGGUCCAUGAGGUUCAAGCUAUCUAGUACUUUGGGAGCGGCUGCUGGGAUGGCACCCUCCUGACGCAAAAGCUCCUGCGCUCCGAGCCAACCACCAUGGCCGUGCUUAUGGUCAUGGUGGACAAGUACGCCAUGGCCGACUCCGCCAUGAAGAUCCAUGUCGUAGUGGACGAGGCCGGCAAGGCGUUGCCCGCACCGCCCUUCAAGCCGGUUGGCGAGAACGGCCGCCAGCAGAACAACAAGUGUAAGGCCGAGUUGCCAGCUACACUACAAAAAAAAUACACUUCCGUGAUGAUACAUGUUUGUCACAGUAGGUCACGUUUUCUGUCAUGCAUGUACAUCCAUGACGAUUUUAUGAGAAAAUUAAGAUAGUCAUGCCUGUGCUGUCAUAGAAGUGUUCCAUGACAUUACCAAAAUUAUCAUCACAGAAGUGUCCACUUCCAUGACGAUAAAUUGUGCGUCACAGAAGUGCUUUCGUCAAGGGUGGCCGACAUGUGGCAUCCACCGUAACGGGUCACCGUUAAGCUAUUGGGUUCCGGUUUGGGUCCGAUAACCCGUUAACAGCCCAGACCAAUGGGGAUUUUCUAGGUGUAAAAUUCUCAAUGGCCAGAGUAACCACGUGUCGGCUCACCAUUGGGACAGAUGUUAUCCACUCAUUGGACCGAAGGCACCUAUGAUUCAUUGACACGUGGCAUGGGCCAACAGAGGCCCAUUCGAGUGAAAAGGCCGGCCCGUUCGACUUGGUCAAAAGGUAGCACGCCGGCCCAUGCAAAGCCUAUUAACGGACUGUUCGAAUAUAGCCCAUUUACAGCACGCUAACUCACGACCUACCGGAAUUUGGCCCAGUAGCGUCAUCUGGGCCGUCCAAUAUGAUACCAGCCCAUUGUAACUUCCAGCCCAUGUAUGGCCCAUGACGUCUUUCGGCCCAUACGAGGCCCUUUGUAACUCUGGGCCCAUUAAAGGCCCGAGAUGAAACUGACCCAUAAUGAACAGUGUAUCGCUUUAUACCCAUUAACGGCCCAGUAUUCCAUCGGUCAUUUCCAGCCCGUGUUAAGUUUUGGCCUUCUAAGGGCACAUUUAUUCUUGGGCUCAUUUCUAGAAUUUGGUUAGUUACGGUCCAUUAAUGGCCUGUUCCGUUAAUGGGCCAAACUCAGCCCGUGGUUACAUUUGGCCCGUUUGUGGCUCGUUAACCCACUAGGCUGUUUUCAUAGCGUUAUCAAAUACGGCCUAUUAAUGGCCUGUUAUGGUCCAUGAAUAGUACGGCCCGUGUUUCGCGAAAUGAUUAUACGCCCCGUAGAAGGCCCAUGGAUCCUACGGCCCAUAGAAAGCCAAUGGAUCCCACGGCCCGUAGAAGGCCCAUGGAUCAUAUGGCCCGUAGAAGGCCCAUGGAUCCUACGGCCCAUAGGAGGCCCAUGGUUACAACAGUCUGUGUGUUGCCAUGGUUAUUGUGGCCUAGUUACCAAAAAUAGGUUAUUGUGGCCACUAGAAAAAUGCGGAAAAAGAACUGCAGUGACUACAAGCAAACAACUAAACAAGACAAUAAGCAAAUAAAUAAGCAAGCAACUAACGCUAGGCUAUUACGUCUAUUACACAUAUUACAUCCACUAGGCAUCAAAGUUCGCCACCAGUGCAAAUAUAGGGAACAAAGCAGUAUAUUACAUACACUGGCCGUCUAAAUUGGCCACCAGUGCAAAUAAACAAGGCAGGAAAACAAGUCCAAAACUGAAACAACUUCAGAAGAGCUCAAGAAAUGUUAUCAUGGGUAUCCACCAUGUUGGCAAUAAGCUUAGCAAGCUUAUUAGCUUUGUCCUGUUUGGCGGUAAAAUCCUCCAACGCUUGUUGUUGCACCAGAAAGUAUGCAUCUGAAUGCUCCAUGGACUUCCGCAGUCAUUCCGCUUCUUGACGCAGCACAACUGAUCGAUGUCUUUCAGCUUGUAGUUGAGACUCAAGAAACCGAACUGAUUCACACAGUGAGUUUGAAUAGCUUGUGCCAGCGGUAGUGGCCAGUAACUCGAACACUAAACCAAGCAGAACAUUGGGGUUGUCUCGCUGUCUCCAGUAUAGUUUUCCUUAGCUGUUUUAUCAGCUUUGUUGGAGACCAACAAGGAUGUCAAACUAUCCCGAACCUUAUCUGCAUUACUUCCUUUACCAUUUCUUAAAAAGGCACUCUUCCCCAAUAUUUUGUCAGCAUUCUAAAAGAAGAAACAAGCAUACACAUAACAGGUUUAGCAGGUACUAGUAUAUGAAACUCAUUUCGGUGAACCAGUUCAUUAGUAAGGUGGACAAGAUUAAACUACCAAGUCUUCUAUUGCCAAGUAGUACAUUAUAAAAGCAUCAAACAAACAUAUAUCUAUGUCCUAUGGUCACUGCAUUGUCUUGCCAAAUCAAAAUAGAGACACGGUUCAAAUCAUAUUAGUUCAAGAGAAAGCAGCACUAAAAGAAUACAAAGCAUGGGAAACUACACGGCUCAACAAGAUUUCAGAUGGGUACUACGGGGUCUACAUGUACAACAACACUAUUGGCUCUGUUGUGAUCCUAGUAAUGUGCAUGAUAUGAGAAGUCAACUGCAUAUACAAUUGAAAUUGAAAUCAGCAGAGCUAUUUAUAAGAGCAGACAUGUUAAAGAAAUAUGCGUAAACAUACCUGUUGUGCCAUUGGAGUUUCGAUUGGAUCCUUCAAUUUAAAAAUAAUUUUGUAUGAGUAAAUACAAUGAUACAAGAGCAAAGCAGUAUGCACGAUAGCAAUGGAAUCUUAAAUGACAAAAGUUGUUCUUCAGGUUUAAGCACUUGUUCUACAUGAACAGAGUACAGUAAGACGCAAGCAUAUAGUACUUAAAAAAUGAGCUCAUAGACCUUACCACAUUCUUGGUUCGGGACCAGUACAGAACAAGGCAUUCCCAGUCAUCGUCUAGUAAAUGUGUCUCGGGAGAACGUAAGGGAAUAUUACGAGUUUCUUUGCCAGUGAAGUACAUUUUAUUCAGGUAAUUCUGACACUGCCACCAAGCAUUCUUGAAGAUAGCAGAGGUAUUAGCAUAGGUGUAGGAUUGAAAGUAUGUCUAGAGGGGGGUGAUUAGACUACUUGACCAAAUAAAAAUCUAGCCUUUUCCCAAUUUUAGUUCUUGGAAGAUUUUAGCAACUUAGCACAAGUCAAGCAAUCAGCCUACACAUGCAAUUCUAAGAGUAUAGCAGCGGAAUGUAAAACAAUUGCAUAUGAAGGUAAAGGGGAGGAGUUUAAGGGAGCAAAUGCAAUGUUGACACGGAGAUUUUUUACCCGUGGUUCCGAUAGGUGGUGCUAUCGUACAUCCACGUUGAUGGAGACUUCAACCCAUUAAGGGUAACGGUUGCGCGAGUCCACGGAGGGCUCCACCCAUGAACGGUCCACGAAGAAGCAACCUUGUCUAUCCCACCCUGGCCGUCGCCCACGAAGGACUUGCCUCACGAGGGUAUAUCUUCACGAAGUAGGCGAUCUCCUUGCCCUUACAAACUCCUUGGUUCAACUCCACAAUCUUGUCAGAGGCUCCCAAGUGACACCUAGCCAAUCUAGGAGACACCACUCUCCAAGAAGUAACAAAUGGUGUGUUGAUAAUGAACUCCUUGCUCUUGUGCUUCAAAUGAUAGUCUCCCCAACACUCAACUCUCUCUCACAGGAUUUGGAUUUGGUGGAAAGAAGAUUUGAGUGGAAAGCAACUUGGGGAAGGCUAGAGAUCAAGAUUCAUAUGAUAGGAAUGGAAUAUCUUGGUCUCAACACAAGUGUAGGUGGUUCUCUCUCAGAAAAUGUAUGUUGGAAGUGUAGGCAUGUUCUGGUAGCUCUCUCCAUGAAUGAAGAGGGGGUGGAGGGGUAUAUAUAGCCUCCACACAAAAUCUAACCGUUACACACAACUUACCAAUCUCGGUGAGACCGAAUUGAGAAACUCGGUCGGACCGAUUCAGCAAAUCAUGUGACCGUUAGGUUUUUCCGUGGGACCGACAUGCAACUCAGUAGGACCGAUAUGAUUAGGGUUAGGGCAUAACGUAAUCUUGGUGAGACCGAUUCACAAACUCGGUGAGACCGAUUUUGGUAAUAAGCUAACCAGAGAGUUGGUCAGGCAAACUCGGUGGGACCGAUUCGCUCAUCUCGGCGAGACCGAAACGUUACGAAAAGGAAACAGAGAGUUUGCAUUGUAAUCUCGGUGGGACCGAUCGCUCAUCUCGGUUUGACCGAAGCGUUAUGAAUGGAAACGGAGAGAUUACAACCCCAUCUUGGUGAGACCGAGAUCCCUAUCGGUGAUACCGAUUUGCCUAGGGUUUGUGGCAGUGUCUAUGACAUCUGAACUCGGUGGCGCCUGAUAGAAAGAAUCGGUUGGGCCGAGUUAGACUUUUGGUUUGGGUCAAAUGUGGAUGUGAGAAAGUAGUUGAGGGCUUUGGAGCAUAUCACUAAGCACUUAGAGCAAGAAAGCCAUUAAGCAACACCUCAUCCCUCCUUGAUAGUAUUGGCUUUUCCUAUGGACUCAAUGUGAUCUUGGAUCACUAAAAUAGAAAAUUUAGAGUCUUGUGCUUUGAGCUUGAGCCAAUCCUUUUGUCCUUAGCAUUUUGAGGGAUCCACUUUUCUCAUCCAUGCCAUGCCAAUCAUUGAGCUUUCCUGAAAUAUUUAUCUUGAAGUAGCAUUAGCUCAAUGAGAUAUAUGUUGUUAGGAAUUACCAAAACCACCCAGGGAUAGUUGCACUUUCAAUCUCCCCCUUUUUGGUAAUUGAUGACAACAUAUAGAUCAAAGCUUCGACAAAUGAUAAUAAGAUUGAAAAACAUUGUCGCUUUGAGAACUAUGUGAAAAGUAAGAGCUCCCCCUAAAUUUGUGCAUUAUUUAAAAAUUUGCUUUGGACUGCAAAUGAACAAUGAGUUAGGAUCAUGGGUUACUCUUCCAUGUCACAUACAUCUUGGUGGAGCGCUCAAAAUGAAAAUAAUUAAAUACAUGCACUCAUCACCAAGCAAAGUGAAUGAUCAUAUAGGGAUAAAGGAUAAUGUCAUCCAACAAGCAUUAAGGUAGCAUAUGAUCAAACACAUGAUCAUCCAAGUAUCUCACAAAAGCAUAGAGUAUCAAGCAAACAAGCAAGUAACGAAGUUCAACCAAAAAGACAAGAGAGACCAAAAGCAACACUCUCUCUCGAAGCCUAUGAUCUAUACAUUUUCUCCCCCUUUGGUAACAAGUUACCAAAAAGUUCAUAAAAAAAUGCAUAGUGCUAAACGACUCUCAGGCUUGGUCUUCAUGGGUUGGUGUAGAGAUGACUCCAAGGAUGAAGGCUUCAGAUGAAGUAGCUGGAGCUGGUGGAGUAGGUGCUGGAGGUGGAACUGGAGCUGUUGCUGCUGGUGCUGAUGCUGUAGCUCUGGUGUCUGAAACAGGCACUGCAGUAGAUCUCUGACUUCUGGGCACUCUAGCAAAAGCAUCUAUAGUUGAUUUGCCCUUCUUCUCCUCCACUUCUUCCUGAAGUUGCUCAACUGUGGUUUGGAUCUCAGUAAUUUUGACAUGAAAAGCAUAAAACUUCUGCUCCAUGAUUCUCUCCAAGCUCUGCUGGUUUUGAGUCAGGGUGGCCAAGCCCUUCUCAAUCCUCAGAGUGGAGGCAAUCAAGUAGACAAGCUGAUCUUGCUUGCUCUUCAGAAGAAUCUGAGAUGCCUCUUCAGCAGUUGGCAUCUUUGCAGCCUUCUCAGCCCUUGCCUUCUCCUUCUUCUCUUGUGCUUGCACAUAAGAUGGUUCAUUGUCAUCCAUCACAACAGUGUUGUCCUCAAAAUCAGGGUAGAUGGGCAGGUGUUCCUUGUCCAAGAGAUAUGUGCCAGUGCCCAUCUUGGAGUUUAUAAGCUCCUGACCUUAUAGCAUCUCCCAUUAGCUUUUGAGCUUUAGGAGCUGGUGCAGCUUCCUCUUCCUCUUCUUCUUCAGAGUCUCUCCUCAUUGAGGGCUUCCCAAGUACUUUGGCAGUAGUAGUUCUGAAUCUCUUUUUCUUCUUAUCUUGGCCAGCAGCUUCAUCAUCAGACUCAAUGGUGAACUUCAUGGUUUCACUAGUGGCAACUUUUCUUGGCUUAGACAUGGGUUGUCUUCUUGCUGGCAUCUUAGUUUUCAGUCCAGGCUUUGUUGUGGCAGCAGUGCCAUAUUCUUUCUUCAGCACUUUCUUCUUGGAAGUGGCCUCAUCCUCAACAGCCACAUAGUCCUCAUCUCCAGACUCAGAUGUCUUCCUUCUUUCUGGCCCUGGUGGCUGCCUCUGGCAAAUUUCUGGGUGUGCUCCUGCUACCCUCAUCAGAAUUGCUAGAGGGACUAGUGCCCUCACUUAACUGAACUUGCUCCUCAGACUUGUUCUGACUGUCACUCUGAUCUGACAUGAUGCAAACUCUGACAGCAGACCAUGUGAAUAGUUAUAGAUGAGGUAGAGUGGAUGAGCAUCACAAAGCACAGAGGUUUUUACAAAAGAUUGAGUCAAAAACUUAGUUUUAGUUUUCCAAGGAAAGCAUUUCGGAGCUACCGAUCUGUAAACUUGGUGAUACCGAAGCAUCUUUUGGAACCUAAACUAGUGAACUCGGUCAGAUCGAGUCACAGUUCGGUGGCACCGAGACUGCUAGGGUUUCACAAAGAACCGAACUCGACACACAGAUUUGCAAUUCUCGGUCAGACCGAGAAUCACAAGUGCACUGGCCUGAGCCAAAUCGGUGGGACCGAUUUCUACAACUCGAUCGGUCCGAGAUGAGUUCGGUGGAAACCUAACCCUAAAUUUUCAAUUCAAAACUAAUCUACGGAGUGUUUUCGCUAGAUAGGAAGAUCUCAAUCGUGGCAAGAUACAUGGCAAUGCAAUGUGCUAGGAAUCGGAGUGAGGAAUAGCACAAAGAUCAAAUCCAUACCCAAGUUUCGUGAUGGACUUGCUACGGCGGCAACGGCGGAGUUGAAUCCCGUUGACGGCGGCAGAGACCAGCGGCUGGAGGUCGCUGGGGAUGAGGAGGACGAUCCGGAGACCCAAGGAGAUAGAAGGCUGUGCGCGGGUGAAGAGGUUCGGAAAAAUUUCCAAAUUUUGGCCCGUGGAUAUAUAUAGCCUGACCCUGUCGGUGUGACCGAGUGGAACAACUCGGUGGCACCGAGAUGCAUAACUGCAAGCAGUUACAGCAACUCGGUGUGACCGAAAAGUUCAAAUCGGUUGCACCGAGGUUGAAAACCCAGAUCAACUUAAUGAUCUCGGUAUGACCAAAAUGGAUGAAUCGGUCAGACUGAAACACACAAAGAGGUUUUGGAAGUUUAAGUCUAUGACGAAUCGGGGACUCUGAGUGCUCCUCACACAGAGUGGUUCAAAUCUGACUUGAUCAAACUUUGUGAUGUAGCAUGAAUAGAGUUUGAGACAAGAAAAGCAUAGAUAGCUAGAGAAGGUUCUUAGGCAUCCUUGUCCAUCCACUAGGCAAAAGAAAAGAACCCAAACAAUCAAAACAACAAGUGGAUGUCCUCGAAUGAGCAAAGUAUGCAACCAACAUGCUCACACAAUAAAAUGACAAAUAAAAUAUGUGGCAAAGCAUGCACAACCAUUCUAGCAUCUAUCAAGCAAUUGGCGAUGACUAGGUCAUCUAUAUAUGAGUAUAUUGACUUAGGAGUCAAAUGAGAAUCAUUUGAUCAUAAGUCAUACUCAUCGUUUAAGCUCAAGUGGGGUUACCACUUUUACAUAAAGCAUUGUUGUGUUCACACCAUUAGAGUUGCUUUAGCUCAAUUCUUAGAUUAAAGCUCCCCCUAGAUGUGAGAUCCCCCCUAAGAGGGAUGAACUAACCUUGGGUUUUGUCGAUGAUGAGUUCAUGUAGGUGUUGAAGAUGUGGAUGCUCAAAGUUGAUGUAGAUCAUUUGGAGCAAUCCUUUGGAGUGAGUUGCACUUUCAAUACCUACACGGGUUAGUCCCACAAGGAACAAACAAGGAUAUCCAUAGACAUAGAGUGAUGCAGACACAAGAUGAUGUCCAUGAAAGCAUUGGGUUACCUUGUCCCUUGUCUUACCAACAAGAGGGUUUGUGACUCCUUGAACUAGUGCAAGAUGUGGAAGUUUAUUGCACUUGUCCUUGCCAAAAUGAUAAGAGUGAAAUAUGUUGGCGGAGUCACCCUCAAGAACUCUCUACUUCUUCUUCUUCGGGAUCCACAUCAUCUUGAUGGGAAUCCUUGGAGUUGUAGUUGUACUUGAUGAGGUAGAACUUGACGUAGUCUUGGGAAUCCACUUGACCAAGGCCUUAGGAGCUUCUUCAAAUGCAUCAAUCUCCUCUUGAAGCUUGUCCUUGCCUUUUUGCUUGUGGUCUUGGGGUGGAAGAUCAUCUUGAGCUUGUGUCCCUUUGAAGGAAGUAGGAUCAUACUUCUCUUGUUGAGGAACAAACUUCAUCUUGGGGUAUUGAUCUUCUUCCCACUCAACUCCAUUGGCGUUGAACUUUCGUUCAAAACCAACACCUUGGUUCUUCCGGUGCCUUCCUUGCUUGCGUACAAUUUCCUCGAAUUGCUUACUCCCGGCAAGGCUCUUGUAAACACCUUUCUCUAUAAUUCCCUUCAAUAAGCUAUUUUCUUGCUCAAGUGUAACUUGGCUAAGAGAAUCAUUAGUGGAAUCAAGAGAACUACUAGAAGCAACAACAUUGGAUUUAGCAUGAUUAUUGUUACUACUAGAGGAAGAAUCCUUCUUGUUCUUGUUACUAGACUUGACUUGAGGCAUGUAAGUAGAUAAAAGUAAACGCUUGGCAAUGUAAGAAGAACUUUUCUUGCGAAUAUCAUCAUUGAUUGCUUUUAAGAACUCAUGUUCUUGCUCAAGGUUGAGCUUGUCAAAGCGUAACUUCUCAUGGGUUCUUAAAAGUUCUCGAUGAUCUUCUAAGAUAAUUUCAUGAGCUAACUUAAGAGUGUUUAGUUCUUUAGUUAGGUGCUCAAUCUUCUCCUUACCAUUGUCAUUCGUUUUAUCGUGAUUAGCAUGAUUAAUUGACGUUUCAUCAUAGUAUUCAUCACUAGAGUUGUCAACAAGUAAACCAUCAUCACCUAACAAGUCAUCUUCAUCACUAUUGAAAUCAACAUACUUGGGGUGUGAUACCUUUGGGUCUUUAGCCAUGAAGCAUCUUCCAAGUCCUUCAUUUGGUGAAUCAAAUAUGUCGUAGGAGUUGGUUGACACAAGUGCUAGACCGGCAACACCUUCAUCUUGAGUAUAUUCGGAGUCGGAGUGAUACCUUCUCUCGGAGUGAUUGUCGGAGUCGGAGCCGGAUACCCAUUCACCAACAUGAGCUUGAUGUCUUCAUUUUGUGUAGCUCCUUGAUGACUUGUCCUUCCUUUCCGAAUGCUUGCUUCUCCGGGAUAUUCUUCGUUCAUAACGACCAUCUCUACUCCUUCUCUCUCUUGAUGGUGAUUCUUCUCUUUGGAGAAUCUUCUCUUCUUUUGUAGGGUGCCUUACACUCAUUGGAAUAGUGUCCGGGUCUUCCACAAUUGUAGCAAUUUCGCUUACGACUAGAAGAUCUUUUGUCAUUGUAUGACCUUGACUUGGAACUUCUUUCCUUGCUUCUACUCUUGUAGAACUUGUUGAAGUUCUUCACCAUUAGGCUCAAUUCUUCAUUGAAGGUUUGUUUCUCACUUGAUGAUGUGGGAACUUCACAUGAGGCUUUGUAAGCACCACUGGACUUGUUGUGGAGCUCCUCCUUAUACUUGAGUGACAUCUCAUGAGCAACAAUUCUCCCAAUGACUUCCAUUGGCUUGAGAUCUUUGUAAUUUGGCAUCAUUUGGAUCAAUGUGCACACAGUAUCAUAUUUUCCAUCCAAAGCUCUUAGGAUCUUCUUGAUGAUGAAUUUGUCGGUCAUCUCUUCACUUCCUAAGCCGGCAAUCUCAUUUGUGAUAAGGGCAAGCCUAGAGUACAUUUCAGCGACACCUUCACCAUCCUUCAUUUUGAACUUGUCAAGUUGAAUUUGAAGCACAUCCAACUUGGAUUCCUUGACGGAGUCGGUACCUUCAUGCAUAUCAAUCAAAGUAUCCCAAAUUUCCUUUGCAUUCUCAAGACGGCUAAUUUUGUUGAAUUCUUCGGGGCACAAUCCGUUGAAGAGGAUAUCACAAGCUUGAGCGUUGUACUGCAGCAUCUUCAACUCUUCCGCGGUAGCUUCACGGUUCAGUUCUCUCCCAUCAAAGAAUUCACCUUGCGAGCCAAUACACACAAUAGCCCAAACGGCGGGGUUAUGUCCAAGAAUAUGCAUUUUCAUCUUAUGCUUCCAACUAGCAAAAUUUGUACCAUCAAAGUAAGGACCUCUACGAUCGUAAUUUCCCUCGCUAGACGCCAUACUCUCCUAGGUUGUGAAACCAAGGCUAUGACCACCAAAAGCUAUGGAAAUCAAAGCAAAUGGAGACCAAAGCUCUGAUACCACUUGUAGGAUCGAAAGUAUGUCUAGAGGUGGGGUGAUUAGACUACUUGACCAAAUAAAAAUCUAGCCUUUUCCCAAUUUUAGUUCUUGGCAGAUUUUAGCAACUUAGCACAAGUCAAGCAAUCAACCUACACAUGCAAUUCUAAGAGUAUAGCAGCGGAAUGUAAAACAAUUGCAUAUGAAGGUAAAGGGGAGGAGUUUGAGGGAGCAAACGCAAUGUUGACACAGAGAUUUUUUACCCGUGGUUCCGAUAGGUGGUGCUAUCGUACAUCCACGUUGAUGGAGACUUCAACCCACGAAGGGUAACGGUUGCGCGAGUCCAUGGAGGGCUCCACCCACGAACGGUCCACGAAGAAGCAACCUUGUCUAUCCCACCAUGGCCGUCGCCCAUGAAGGGCUUGCCUCACUAGGGUAGAUCUUCACGAAGUAGGUGAUCUCCUUGCCCUUACAAACUCCUUGGUUCAACUCCACAAUCUUGUCGGAGGCUCCCAAGUGACACCUAGCGAAUCUAGGAGACACCACUCUCCAAGAAGUAACAAAUGGUGUGUUGAUAAUGAACUCCUUUCUCUUGUGCUUCAAAUGAUACUCUCCCCAACACUCAACUCUCUCUCACAGGAUUUGGAUUUGGUGGAAAGAAUAUUUGAGUGGAAAGCAACUUGGGGAAGGCUAGAGAUCAAGAUUCAUAUGAUAGGAAUGGAAUAUCUUGGUCUCAACACAAGUGUAGGUGGUUCUCUCUCAGAAAAUGUAUGUUGGAAGUGUAGGCAUGUUCUGAUAGCUCUCUCCACGAAUGAAGAAGGGGUGGAGGGGUACAUAUAGCCUCCACACAAAAUCUAACCGUUACACACAACUUACCAAUCUCGGUGAGACCGAAUUGAGAAACUCGGUCGGACCGAUUCAGCAAAUCAUGUGACCGUUAUGUUUUUCGGUGGGACCGACAUGCAACCCGGUAGGACCGAUAUGAUUAGGGUUAGGGCAUAAUGUAAUCUCGGUGAGACCGAUUACACAAACUCGGUGAGACCGAUUUUGGUAAUAAGCUAACCAGAGAGUUGGUCAGGAAAACUCGGUGGGACCAAUUCGGCAAUCUCGGUGAGACCGAAACGUUACAAAAAGGAAACAGAGAGUUUGCAUUGUAAUCUCGGUGGGACCGAUCGCUCAUCUCGGUUUGACCGAAACGUUACGAAUGGAAACAGAGAGAUUACAACCCCAUCUCGGUGAGAUCGAGAUCCCUAUCGAAUGGAAACGCUAUGACACCUGAACUCGGUGGCGCCGGAUAGAAAGAAUCGGUAGGGCCGAGUUAGACUUUUGGUUUGGGUCAAAUGUGGAUGUGAGAAAGUAGUUGAGGGCUUUGGAGCAUAUCACUAAGCACUUAGAGCAAGAAAGCCAUUAAGCAACACCUCAUCCCUCCUUGAUAGUAUUGGCUUUUCCUAUGGACUCAAUGUGAUCUCGAAUCACUAAAAUAGAAAAUGUAGAGUCUUGUCCUUUAAGCUUGAGCCAAUCCUUUUGUCCUUAGCAUUUUGAGGGAUCCACUUUUCUCAUCCAUGCCAUGCCAAUCAUUGAGCUUUCCUGAAAUAUUUAUCUUGAAGUAGCAUUAGCUCAAUGAGAUAUAUGUUGUUAGGAAUUACCAAAACCACCCAGGGAUAGUUGCACUUUCAAUAGGUUACCUCAUCCUGAGUUUCCAAAUUGGUCCUUCUAUAUAGAGAAAAAUGGGAAAAUUUGCUGUAUUAUAACCAUCAUGGAGGUAGAAUGUAUGGGACAAAGCAAAGUAAUUGCCAUGAAUAACAUUACUUACACAUAACUCCUAGACAAACACCUCAACUGGCAUUUUCCUUCAUCUUCAGUAUAAUAUUUCCAUGAUGGGAAGAUACGAGCAUAGGAUUUAAAAACAUCAAAUGCGAUAGAUGCUAAACUAUGAAUGACUGGUUGUGCUUCCUCCACAGGAAUAGGUGUACUAACUGGUGGAGUUGGGGUUCGCCGUGGUAGUACUGGUGCUUUGGGCACUGGAGCUACCUUACUAACUGCUCUUGUUUGGGAGCUCUGUGGUGGCGAUGGUGUUGUGUCAAUAGGAACUGGGUUACUAUCUGCUAGGGUUGGGGUUAGAUUCGGUGAAGCUGGUUCUCUGUCCAUUGUAGUAGGGGUAUAAUCUGCGAGAGUCUGGGUUGUGUGUGGUAGGGCUAGUUCUCGUGCAUGUACAACCGGGUUGCUAUCUCCACCAUGAGGUAGCACUAUUUUAUUUGAAGACCGUAUUUUUACUCCGCUAGAUACUGCCAUCAGCCGCUCCAAUUCAAAGGGCUAAUAAACAGGAAACAUAGUUGAAUGUACAAACAUUGUAUGAGAGAUAGAUGCAAUAGAUAGUGUGGAAAAAAGAGGGCAUGAAAUAGUUGACAUGUAUAUUGUUUAACUAGAACAGAUAGCAUGACAUAAUUUCACAUAUAUGAUGUCUAUCUAAACUGGAUAGCAUAGCAUAACAUAAUUCAAAGAUAUGAUGACUAACUAAACAAGAUUAAAAAAUAAUUCACAUACAUGGUAUCUAAGUAAUCAGGAUUGCAUGAUUUAAUUCAGAUAUGUGAUGUAUAUGCUAAGCAGAGGGCAUUCAUAUAUAUGAUGUCUGAACAAAAACAUGGUGUUGAAUAUUGUGUAUAUGAUGUCUAAACUAUGUAAUGCAAGACACCAUAUGCAUGAUAUGAGCAGUAUAACCAUGCCAAGUUAGAGCAUACACCUCGAUGGGGGAAUAGGACUGGUUAUUUGUCUCUAAAUCCAUCUCCGAGGAGCUAUCGGGACCCAGCAAGAGAUCUACUUCGACAGGUAGCACUGUCUGCUCUAAAGGCCUUGUUUUCACACCAGAUUUUUCCAUCCCCACUCAAAUGGCUGAUUCACAGGAAGAGUAGUUUAAUGUACAAACAUUGUCGACAAAUAGAGUAAUGAAGAAAAGGAUGGGCAAGAUAUCAUUCAAAUAUAUGAUGCCCGGUUAAACAAGAUGGCAUUGCACAUUUCACAUAUAUGAUACUACAUAAUUCCCAUAUAUGAUACAGAAACUAAACAGGUGGCAUUACAGAACAUGUCUAAACUAAGUAGAUGAUAUAUAUGAUGUCGAAAGUAGGCACUGCAAGGCAACAUAUGCAUGAUAUGACUAAGAUCAUCAUGCCAAGUUAGAGCAAACACCUUGGGGGGUAAAUAGGUGUUGUCAGCUGCAUCUGAAUCUGCCUCAGAACAGGUAUCUUCCUCUAGAUUACAAUCUGGAGAGAGGGGAGGGUUUGCCAUUGAACCGGCCACGGAGCAAUGUCUGCAUGACAUUGUAUUGCCGCGCAAAACACUUCUUUUUUUCUCUACAUGUUCAGGAUGCCUGUGUACAAUAUCUGACAUGCCUACAAAAAAAUAUAGCGAUAUUAUGUAAGGAGAGCAUGCGGAAAUAUAGAGUGAUGGUAACAACCAGUGGAUGGAUCCAAAAAUAAUGAUAGCAGGCUGAUGACUGCUUUAAUUGAAUAAAAGACAGAUGAUGAUUGCUUUACUAUUUGUUUACCACCCAUGAUGAACAACAUAGGCAUACCCUAGGUGAACCAGAUAUUAGACAGAGAUACUAUCCAUUGUUUCCUCGAUAUGUGCCCCACAACUAAUUUAGAACCCAAGUUUGAACAUUAAUUUGGACCUGACUUGGAGUCUAAGAGGUGAACCGGACGAUAAAGUAGCAGGUAAUUUUAAGCAAUGCAUAACAUAAGCAGAAACAAAAGAGUGUGACCUCUCUUGUGGACCCAUGUACUCCUCAGUUUCAUCUACUGAGUCGAUGAUGGUGAUGCCGUUGCGGUGGGUGCUGGCGGCAGGGAAGGAGAUCUGAGGUGGCGAAAGACGGUCAGGAGUCGUGAUGUCUGGUUUAGAGGAUGCUUCUGUCAAUGGAGCAGCUCAGGUGAGGUUGACCACGUCGCGGCAGGAGCAGGACAAACCACACAGAGUUUUCUUCGACACCUACCUUUAACUGAAGUAAUUCUAUAAGGGCUCCUUUGGCUUGCAUGAUCUAAAAAUGCAGGGAUAGGGAAAACACCAGAAUAGGAUAGGAAUGCACAUGGGAAACAGAGCAUUUGUAAACACUGGAUUUCUGUCAACUUCGGUGUUUGGUUCACAGGAAUUGGAAGAGCAGAGGAAUGCAAAGAAACAUGGCCAAAUUAAAGUGAAACCAUAUGAAAGCGUGUACAGUUAGAAUGUUAUUCUGCGACUAAUGCACUUUGUCUUGUUUUCAUGCAUAGGAUUUUGAAAAGAAGGUCCAGUUGGAUGUUUUGCUCCAUUCCUUUCAACAAAAUGCAUGAAUAAUUGAAUAGUAGAGUGCCAUAGGAAAAUUUCCUAUUGCUAUGUUUUUCCUUUGAACCAAAAUAGUCCUAAUGGAUCGACAUGCAUGUAGAGUAAUAAGUGAUGCAACAAGUGUACAACCUCUUUGCCGUAGGUGUGUCGACCUCAGCAUCAUUGGGCUGGUCGCUGAAGAAGUUGAGGCAGAGGUGGCUGUCGGAGGUGUGGAGGAAGAUCUGUGGAAUCUGUAGACGACAUCUAGGGCACUGCUCUAUUGUGAUGGAUGAUUCCGUUGUUGGAGCAGCUCCGGCGAGCCGUAAGACGUCGAGGCUGAAGCAGUACAAGAUAGGCAUCAUUAAUCUCAAGUGGGAUUCUAAUAGCAUGUCCAAUGGAUGAAGUAAAAUACAUUACCAAAAAGUGAUAGAUGUAAAAUUUACAAAACCAAAAAACACCUGACUACAACAGGUGAGGUAAAAACUGUUGACUCUAAACUUAACUGUCAAAACUAAAAUUUACUGUGGAAUAUGAAUGUUACUGUUGAAACAGAAUGCAAUGGUAGUAGUGAGGCACUUCACAUGUAGUUUCGGGAGGGCCUGCAGUUCAUCAUCAACCUACACCCCCUGAGCUGCCAGCCACCACCGGCCGAACUGCUGGCCCAGGCCGCCCGCGGUCGGCGGCGCUCCCGCACCACAUCGCCGCCCCAAAACCACUCCCCACCGCCGAUCCACCGUCGCCCCGGCCAGCACUCUAGCCUCCCCCUCCCCCCGUGCCGAGCUUUUUCUCCGGCGAUCCCCACGCCACCGCCCCACUACCGCGCCCCCACCGCCGACGACCACCGCCUCCACCCUGAACCCUAAGAUAGAUAGUAGGGUACCUCUCCAGCGAGCACCCUCCUUGCUGUGGGUGGUUCUUCCUUAACUCCGGUGAGCCCCCCACCCCUUGAAAAUCGAAUGACCCAAAAGUCGAUUCAGUCAACUGAUGUGUAGUUAAAUCAGAGCAGAGCAGCAGCACGAGCGAGGGGGGAGCAGCAGCAACGCCAUGAGCGAGGGAGAGCCGGAGCAGCAGCAAUAGCACGAGCGAGCGAGAGCAGGAGCAGCAGCAGCAGCGCGAGCGAGCGAGAGCUGGAGCAUUAGCAGCAGAUCCGGCUGGUAUGGACACCGCCACCGAAGGGGCCUCGCACUGGGGGAGAGCCGCCAUGGAGAUGUCGCCCGUGGCGCCGGCUUCGAGGUAGCGGCGCCAUGGGGGAUCCGGAUGGAGCACCGUCGGUGCCGGGGGGUUGAGUUAAGGAAAUUAUGCAAUGCGAUGAGUGUACAACCUCUUUGGUGGCACCGAGUAGGCCUCUGCUUGGGCCGAGGAGUCGGCGAGGAUGCGGCGAGGAUGCUGCGGUUCCGGUGGAGCGGGUUAAGGCGUCGUUGUGGGGAUGGAGCAGCCACGAUAGACGAGGUGAUCUUGGAGGAGCUCCUUGGAGGUGGAGGAGGGGUGGCUGAACCGGCGGGACAACGAUAUGGACGAUGGAUCCUCAUCCGGGGAGGUGGAUGAGGGACGUCGAGUUGUUGCGAUGGACGACAUCACCGGGGAAGAGUCUCCGGCUGGGCAGCGGUGAGGUGACGGACGAAGUCGGGUGGGGUUUCGCGGCUGGAGCAGAGAGGUUAUGGCGGCCAGGGAUUUCGAAUGGCGAAAAGGAGGCGAUGGGAGGGGGGAACCAUGACUUAGGGACGCGCUUGUCCAAAAUGUAUGGUGUGUUACUGAAGUACCCCCACCGAUUUGAACUAGCGGCCCUUUCGGCUUAGGGUUAGAAGGGGGAUUUCGCGUGUCGGGAUUUGGCAGCUGGAGGGAGUUUUCGCGCGCGUUGUAAUUUCGGGAUAGCAAGGCGCGGGUUGCGAAGGCGCUAGUUUUGGGAGCACGAUAUCUGAAUUUUCGGGAUAUAACAAGGCGCGGGUUGAAUUUUAGGGACAAGCCUGAUAACCCACAAGUAUUGGGGAUCGCAACAGUUUUCGAGGGUAGAGUAUUGAACCCAAAUUUAUUGAUUCGACACAAGGGGAGCCAAAGAAUAUUCCCAAGUAUUAGCAGUUGAGUUGUCAAUUCAACCACACCUAAAAUACUUAAUAUCUAUAGCAAAGUAUUUAGUAGCAAAGUAGUAUGGAAGUAAUGGUAAGGUGGCAAAAGUAACAGUAGCAGUUUUUGUAGCAAUCGUAACAGUGGCGACGGAAAAGUAACUAAGCAAAGAUCAAUAUGUUAAAAGCUCGUAGGCAAUGGAUCAAUGAUGGAUAAUUAUGUUAGAUGCGAUUCCUCAUGCAACAGUUAUACCAUAGGGAGACACAGAACUAACUCCAGUUCAUCAAUGUAAUGUAGGCAUUUAUUCCAAACAUAGUCAUACGUGCUUAUGGAAAAGAACUUGCAUGACAUAUUUUGUCCUACCCUCCCGUGUCAGCGGGGUACUAUCUAUACAUAUACUAAUUAGAGACUCCCUAAAAAUUACCACAUUCAUUUGAAAUUAAGAGCCGUUGAUCUGGUGAGACCGAGUUAUUAUGGUGGAGAUUAACCCAAUUAACCCAUGUAAUUUUGCUUAACGAUGUGCUUAAUUCUGCAAAAAAAUGCUUUGGAGGUCCAUGGUCCUUUUCCUCAUGGUUGUCGUUCUCCCGUAUCCCUAACCUCACGAACCCCACUAUCCCACUCAUCCCCUUCCAUGGAUGGCGCCGCCGCCCUGCUCCCGACUGUUGUCGUCGCUCCGCUUCCCAUCUGCCGCCGCUGUCCACCGCUAUCCACUACAUCCAGCCUCUUUCGCAUCCCACGGCCUCCACCACCACCAUGAACCAUCUCUCUUCUUGGUCCUCUCUCUUGGACCUUCACAUGGCAGCGGAUGCUUCUGGUGGCGUGUGGCGACGCGACCGGUGGAGGGAACGGGGUUGAGGCCGACUGUGUCCCGUUCAUCGAUCUGUGCCCACCACAUGUUCCUCCUCUCCAUCGAAUGUCACGUCCCCAGUUACUGCAACACACGGCGCUCUCCUCUCUUGAGACGAUGCUUAUAGGCGACAAUAAUGGUGUCCUGUUGUGCCCCUCCACACUUGGGACCACCGAGGCGCAAAAGUAUCCAGAGAAGAUCGGCCGUGUUCUAAGUGGCUACCCAGCAAGGUAAUUUUCCGCUCUGAAGUUCUCUCAUGGAAUGUGGGUGGAAUGGAUUGGCGGAUGUGCUAGGUGGAGUGCCAGUGGAUGGCCAUGUUAGUGGGCAGAAUCUCCUCUCCUGCACACACAAACUUGGGUUUGGCAAGGAACUGGGUCAAUACUACUAUCCUUUGGCUUUGCAAUGGUGAUUUAGGUUGUUUUGUUUUUUCGAAUCAUGGUGGUUUAGUUAAUUUGUUAACAGGCGCUUCAGUUAGGACUAAUAGUCAAGAGUGGUCAACUGGAUUGAACUUAACAAAGGACAAUGCAAUUUUGUUAUAAUUGGUAAUUUAGUUAGCUUUAAUGAAAUGGUUCAUUGGCUCAACUUCUAUUUAGCUUACUAUAGUAUAGUCGUGUGGAUUGUCGGUGAUGAAUAAUACCCAAUGCAUUGUUUCCUAUUGCCCAGUGUUCUACAGUUAAAUAUGCAGAACUUGAGCUUUGUUUGCCAAGAAAAUGUCUAUUAAUUCCCACAAGGAGUAAUUCAUUCCCCGUCCAAGUAUUUAUAUACAAUCAUUGAUACAUUAUUUGUUUAUGCUGCAGAGACGUGGUCACAUGGAUGAUUAUCAUCUUUUGGCAAAAGGAUACUGAAGAAAUAGCACUGCACCUAUGACUAUGAUCGUAGAUGUCCAGUCCUGAUUUUUGAGGACCAGUUUAGGAUGUGAUCAUUUGUGCGGAUUCAAAGCUGCUUGACAUGAUUUUUACUAAUCUGAACGUCGGGCAUAAUCAAUGUUAAGUAGGCUUCAUUGAAUUCUUAAUAAGGAAAUUAUACAAUAUGAUGUGUCUGCCAUAGUAUUAGUGUUGUUUGAAGAAUUUCUUCUUCUUACCAAUUAGGCAGAUGCUUUAACUGUCGAUGCAGACCCUGUGCAGGAUGUUCAUCAGCAACGCCAGUCAGGGAUUCAGGAUGUUCAUUGAAUUUCUUCUUCUCAUUUCCUAUGGAGCUCAUGGGAUCAGUCAUAUGAACCUCAUGUAUUUGAUAGUUUUCUCCAUCACUUUUAUGCCUUCAACUAUAGAUAAUUAAGGCUACCCCAAAAGUUCAUUGAGAUUUGUUUUUUAUAGGACUUGGAUUAAUAAUCUCCAACAAUAUUGUUAUUGCCUCUUAUAUAUAAUUUCAGUUCUAGUUACAUUUCAGAUUUUCUUUAUGCUGUACUACUAAACUGUGUGUUCUAAACCAAAGAUGACAUCUGCGUCUUUUUAUGCAUGCAUGUUUCAAGACAAUAUAUCUAAUAUGUAGUAUAUAGAAAGGUACCUAAAAUAUUAGCUUAUAUUGCCAACUCUUGAAAAUAUACGAUCCUUUUACAUUUUUUGCCGUGAACCUGGGGAGCUUGGAACGGAGUAUGGUGUCAAUAAUCAGUAUAUACCAGGAUAAUAUUUCAACAAUGACGUUGCUUGCCUCAAUACUUCCUUCACCACCAAUCUAGCCGCAAACUCUGUUUCUCCUUGAAUGUAGGUCCACAAAGGUUGUGCUUUCUGUGCAUCUAAAAGUAAGGUUACUAUCAUAAUUACAGUAAAGUUUCUUCUCUAUUCAAAUUGAAUUUGAUAAGCAACAAAGUCCUCUGUGUCAUGCUUCAGUUAUAUGGCUCGAGCUGGCCAAACCUGAAAUGUUCGGUGAAGAUCCAAAGUACAUCUAGAUUACUUUGUGUUGCCCACAAUCCUAUUACUUGAUUUUUUUUGCUAACUAUCUCUAUGGAUAAAUCUGCAAGAUGAUGCAAAAAAGUUGCAUGCAGAUAGGCUGUGUACAAACAUGCAUGGUGUAAGUUUAUACCAAUUUUACAAUAUUGAGAUUUGUUCAGAUGCUUCUAAGCAGUGCUCUAGCAGAACGGUGCUACAUUUCCUUACUGUUGUUGCCAAAUAUUUGUAUUGUGGCAUAUUAGGACUGGACAGCAUCAUUCUAACGACCUCACCCUAGGAGUCCACUUCUACACGGUCAUGGCAUCCGCCUCCACCAAUUAUCUAGAGGUAAUUGAUUUGGUGCCUCCGUUGGAUGAAGAUGCUCUAUUAUGUGUGGUUUAGUCGCACGUGGUUCAUGCAAGCUGCCCUUAAGUUCUUAUUGUCAUUGGAUAGAGCUGAGAAAAAUCUAUUUAUGCUUACAAUUUUGUGUGCCUUUUUCUAGCAGUUAAGUUCUAGAGACGAUCGGGGAGGUCAACUUUGAGAUGCAGCACUCUAUGUGUUCACGCAAUCGGAACGCCCGAAAUAUCACGCCAAUAUGAGGGACGCCCGAAAUAUCAAGCCAAUAUGUGAUUUAUGCCUUUUCUGUUAGGUAUGUGAUCAUUGAUUCAUAGGAUUAGUUGGUACUUAGGAACAUGCAAACCCCUGUUUUCCAUCAUAAUCCAGAAGGUCCAAAUUUUAAAUAUGGAUGUUAAGCUAAUGAGGAGAACCUUUUUGGCUUGGACAUCAUAUUUUUUUAGGUAGGUGAUCAUUAGUUCAUUAUGAUUAGUUGAUAUUUCUAAACAGGGGAAGCCAUGGUGUCCACAAGGCUCAAGCAAGUCGGAUUUCUGAUAUGGAUUUUAAAUGAUCAAGACAACCUAAGUGGCUCUUUGCUUGGCCACCAUUGCCAAUAUUUAUGGAGCAGUUUUCAAAUAUGCAAAUGUCCAACCCAUUAAAACAUCCUCUUAGGUUCAUACGCAUAAGCAACUGCUGGUAUUUUGUGAGAGUGCAUUUUAAAACGAUUUGCAAAACUUCUGACGAGGAUAAUCAUAAAAUGCACAAAGCGUUUUAAAUUAUUUUUCCAAUUUUGUAAAUACUGAAUCAAAAUAUCGAAUAAAUAUUUUUUAGGUUCAUUAAUAAAGAUAGAGUGGCAGUGACAACUAUUAGAUGUUCCAUAUCUAUAUUAGCUUUCCCUAAAUAUAAAAUACUAAAAAGGUCUGAGUGGUGAGUGCUACUUCAUUGGUAUUUUAAUGUGUCUUCACAUUAUAAAAUACAACUGAUGGUCUUGCAGGAUUAUCUCCCUUCUCCACAGAUAAAUUGCUUGAUGUGUUCAAUGGUCCUGUUGAAUUGGAUACAAGCAUGCUACAAAUCUAACAGUAAUUUAAUAAGGUAUUUGAUGAGCUCCUGUCAUUCUAAUCUACUUCUCACAUUUUAGUGUUGAUGUUAUUUAGUACUCUGUAGUUAGCAUAAGAAAUAGUACUAUGGGAAGAACCAGGCAACACCUAAUAUGUGUGUCGUUUGAGAAAACUGAAACUUCCUACUUUCCAACUGUUGAUUGCACAUGUACAUGUAUAAAAGACACUAUCUAAGAAAAAUAUAUGAUUCACUAGGUUUAGUGAAAGUUAGCUUAAAUACCAUGUAUUUUUCUGCACACAGAUUAUUGCCUACUGUAGAUCAUCCUCUGUACAUCUGUUAGUCUAAUAGUCAAGAAGGACGAAAAACUUCACUCCAGUAAUGCCUUUGCUCCAUAAGAGCUAACAAUUGUUAAAAAAACAAAUCAAAGACUAAUGAUUUCAUUUGUUUGCAGGAAUAGGCACUGUAUUUUUCACUAUUAUGCAAAAACAACUUUAAGUCAUGAUUUUUUAAAAUAUUUUUUUCAUGAAAGAUCUCGAGGGUGAGAAAAUUAUCAUCAUAUUCAGAAGAAUAUUAGCUUGAGUACCAUAUAGAGGGUGAAAAAAGUGGGGCUCUUACGUCAAUUUUCUUAUUCAGGUGGUACACUACGUGUAGCAAACUCAUUCAUUGUAAAGAAAUGAAUGGUAUCGUUUAUCAUGCCAUGGAAGUAUGGUUUGAAGUUGCCUUACUCUUAGGACUUUUUUCAACAUCUAUGAGCUAACUAGCAAAAUUAUGGCAACUGCAGUCACAUCAGGCAUAAUAACGUGUAGGGCCAUCACCUAGCUCCAUAAAUCUUAAUCUCAUUUUCAGUGAUUGUUGUUUUGCUAUCUUAGUCAUUGAUGAUGAAGGAAUGUAGAAACCACAUGUUGGGUACAAUAUUUAACCAUACAAUUUCUGCUAGAAGCCAUCAUAAUCCACUCCUCCCCCCUAUUUUUCUUACAGCAAACCUAUAGAUAUCAACUAACCACAAGCUUAGCAUGUGGUAUAUUGCAUAAAUAUCUAGCUUAUGGAAAGCCUGGUAAGUGGAGCAAUGGAGCAAUGGAGCGCCUUCUAACUAGCAGUGCCCACUUCACUGUUUUGUACAUAGAUGAGAAGUUUCCUUGCUGCCACUCAUCUAAUAUUAUAUGUUUCUGUUCCAUGUGGAACUAAGAGUUCACAUCUCUAGCUUCUACUGCUUUAUUGUUGUACACAGAAGCUUUUGUAACCUGCCACCACAUUUGUAGGCAGGUUUCAAUAAAAGUAUUAGAUUACAAUUUUCCACAUUAAUCCAGUAUUCAGUAACGGGUUUUUGGUUCUAUUUCUAUUGCAAACCAGUUCAUUCUUCGCAAACAAGAAACUCUACAUGCUGUGGAGAACCACUUCUACAACAGAUUAGGUUACUUGGUGGGAAGAAAUUGGCAUGGGCCACAACUCAGUCUGUCUCACAUGAGUUUACACUAUUACAAAAAAUUACUACAGGUGUAGAACAAGCCAGCUGGAAUUUCGCGUCUUGACUAUCUGUCAUAUUUUAUAACUAUCAUACUUUGUUGUGCUUAUAACGGGGGAUAGAUUCUGAGAUGUACUACUACUGAUGUGACCAAGGAUGUCCAGUUUCUUUACAUGAUAUUGAGUACUGCAACUUCAAGGCUUCUUCAACUCAUGUAUGCUUAAUUCAUUUUUUGGAAUUUAAUUAUAAUAAAAAGAUGUUCUUCAAUAUAAA